AUCAUCUGACUCAGCACCAUCUUCCUCAUGAACUUCAUCCUCACUAUCCGGAAUCAAAUUCAGAUAGAUAACAGAAAUCCCGGGCCUAUCUUUUCUGAAGGAGAAGCUGAUCAAUUCACCCCCACUAAGACGGUUGUGGGCGAUGAAACGAUCCCAAUCAUCUCCUCCUAUCUGGGUUAUCUUUCGCCCCUUCUCGACUUGCAUAGUGUAUGGGCCCCCAAGAGCAUCGAAGGUCACGGUGUCUGCGACGAGCUCAUUGAAUGCCAAUCUCACAUUGCAUGGUACGAUCUAUGUAAGAUAAAAACAAAUAACAGACACAAUACAUUAGUGGAAAUAGCAAAAAAACAAAAAGAAUGUACUGUCAGAAGGUUCAUAUAAAUUGUUACCGCUGUAAAAACAAAAGAAGGCUGGAAGUAGAUGCUGAACAGCGUGGCAGUAGAAAGGCUGGUCCGGCACCGUGAGUUGCAGCGUCCACAUUGUGCUUCCUCCAUUCUACACAGAACGUGUUGAACUCUAAGUUGAAUUGUACAUAGUACAAUACAAAGAUCAUACAUAUAAUAAAUCACAGUGAUAACCUAUACUGGCAAUGGCCAAUCAAUCUAUUUUCUAUCAUCUACGUAAUAAAGCAAUGGCAAUGACAAUUCAUCUAAACCUGGGAAUAGUUCGGCAUCCAAACUAAAACCAGUCCAAUCCACAGCACACAUCAAAACCAAACCAAUCCAGAUAUUUUCAUUUAGAAUCUAGACCAAACCGAACUAUACAUGCUCGUCAUCCAACCCAGUCCAAACCGUUUUCAACUUUUGGAUUGAAUCCAAAGGUUCAAACCGUGGACAAAGCCAUACACGAGGGCACGUCAUGAAUCUAGAUCAGACAUGGCGUCAAAGCUCGAGAGAGGCGACGAGCUCCGGCCAGCAACAGCGGGAUUUGAAGCAGUAGUAGGUGGUAGUGGUGGCUCAAACUAAUUGAUUGAUUUGGUCUCAAACCAUAGAAACCAAAUCAAGAUCCAAUCCAAAAACUAAGUUUCAGUCCAAAACCAAUCGGCUCAAAUCCGCCUCCGUAGGGAGACGCGGUUGGGGAAGGGAAUAAGAGGGGAGAUCUCACGUACUUGCCGGAGUUGGCGGCGGCCGCGCACCGGCAGCAAAGAGAGGGGUCGUCGAGAGAUGGCGGCGACGGCGGCGGCGCUGGUCGAGAAGGGGAGAAAGAAAAAUGUGGAGUGGUCGAGACGGGGAGAAAGAAAAAUGUGGUACAUGUGGUGGCUCGGUUGUGUGGAUGACAAGGGGACCCACUUGUGAGACCGAUAGCAAUUGAUGGCUAACCGCAGGAGGUGCAGGACCGCGUGCACGACCGCCACGUCCCCACGUGGAAUGGGGACGGCCGGGUGGGUGUGUCAAGUCAAAUUGGCACCCGCGGCUUCUCGGUAACUCCAAGAGGCAGGAGCAGUGCAUUUCUUCCCCAUAUCGGGUAGAAAACCCUCGUCCUCUCCCCACCCUCUCUUCCUUCGUCACCACCUCACCACCCUCUCCUCCUUCCUCACCACCCUCCUCCCUUCCUACGCCUCCCUCCUCCUGUCUUCGACCGACAAUGAAGCGCGGGCGUGAAGAUGCGGCGGACGAGCCGGAGGCAACCAUCGGAGCAGAGCAGUCUGCUGCCGUGGAUGCAGCCGUGGGUGGAGCGGCUGAGUCCGCCGUAGCGGCGGAAGCUGGCGGUGCAGCGACCGUUGUGCCUGCUCCCGCUGCCAUCGCAGCUGUCGAGGCACCCGUCGGCGAGCACAAGGUCGGGGAAGAUCUGGAGGAGGAGGAGAUGAGAAGGCAUAAGCGGAAGGUGCAUGACUGAAAGUGCAACUAUCCCUAGGUGGUUUUGGUAAUUCAUAACAACAUAUAGCUCAUUGAGCUAAUGCUAUUUCAAGAUGAUUAUUUCAGGAAAGCUCAAUGAUUGGCAUGGCAUGGAUGUGAAAGUGGAAUCCUCAAAAUGCGAAGGAAAAAGAAUUGGCUCAAGCUCAAAAGUUCAAGACUCUUCAUUUUAUAUUUUAGUGAUCCAAGAUCACAUUGAGUCUUUAGGAAAAGCCAAUACUAUUAAGGAGGGAUGAGGUGUUGCUUAAUGAGCCUCUUGCUCUAUGUGCUUAGUGAUAUGCUCCAAAAUCCUCAACCACUUUUCCAUAUCCACAAAUGACCUAAACCCUAAGCCAAACUCGGUCUUACCGAUUCUGUCAAUCCGGCGCCACCGAGUUUCACUUGUCAUUUGAGACUGCCAAACCCUAGCAAUUCGGUCCUACCGAUAAGGUUCUCGGUCUCACCGAGAUGGGCUUGCAAACUCUCUGUUUCCCUUUCGUAACUUUUUGGUCUCACCGAAAGAGCGAAUCGGUCCCACCGAGAAUGCAAGGUAAACUCUAUGUUUCCUUCUUGUAACGUUUCGGUCUCACCGAAAGAGCAAGUCGGUCCCACCGAUUUUGCCUGACCAACUCUCUGGAUAGCUAAUUGCCGAACUUGGUCUCACCGAGAUUACGUUAUGCCCAAACCCUAACCGAAUCGGUCCUACCGAGUUGCAUCUCAGUCCCACCGAAAUUCCUAAUGGUCACUAGGUUUACCAUUUCGGUCCGACCGAGUUUGAUUAUUUGGUCCCACCGAGAUUGGAAAACUGUGUGUAACGGUUGGAUUUUGUGUGGAGGCUAUAUAUACCCCUCCACCACCUCUUCAUUCGAAGAGAGAGCAAGCAAAACACAUACAUCAUUCCUACUCAUAUGUUCUGAGAAAGAACCACCUACUCAUGUGUUGAGACAAAGAUAUUCCAUUCCUACCUUAUGAAUCUUGAUCUCUAGCCUUUCCCAAGUUGCUUUCCACUCAAAUCUUCUUUCCACCAGAUCCAAAUCCUAUGAGAGAGAGUUGAGUGUUGGGGAGACUAUCAUUUGAAGCACAAGAGCAAGGAGUUCAUCAUCAACACACCAUUUGUUACUUCUUGGAGAGUGGUGUCUCCUAGAUUGGCUAGGUGUCACUUGGGAGCCUCCGACAAGAUUGUGGAGUUGAACCAAGGUGUUUGUAAGGGCAAGGAGAUCGCCUACUUCGUGAAGAUCUACUGCUAGUGAGGCAAGUCCUUCGUGGGCGAUGGCCAUGGUGGAAUAGACAAGGUUGCUUCUUCAUGGACCCUUCGUGGGUGGAGCCCUCCGUGGACUCGCGCAACCGUUACCCUCCGUGGGUUGAAGUCUCCAUCAACGUGGAUGUAGGAUAGCACCACCUAUCCGAACCACGGGAAAACAUCCAUGUCUCCAAUUGCGUUUGAAUCCUCCAAACCCUUACCUUUACAUUCUUGCAAGUUGCAUGCUUUACUUUCCACUGCCAAUAAACUCUUUGCAUGCUUGCUUGAAUUGUGUGAUGAUUGCUUGACUUGCUCUAAGAUAGCUAAAAUCUGCCAAGAACUAAAAUUGGGAAAAGGCUAAGUUUUUAAUUAGUCAAGUAGUCUAAUCACCCCCCCUCUAGACAUACUUUCAAUCCUACAAGUGGUAUCAGAGCUUUGGUCUCCAUUUGGCUUGAUCUUCAUAGCUUUUGGUGGUCAUAGCCUUGGUUUCACAACCUAGGAGAGUAUGGCAUCUAGCGAGGGAAAUUAUCACCGUAGAGGUCCUUACUUUGAUGGCACUAAUUUUGCUAGUUGGAAGCAUAAAAUGAAAAUGCAUAUUCUUGGACAUAACCCCGCCGUAUGGGCUAUUGUUUGUGUUGGCUUGCAAGGUGAGUUCUUCGAUGGGAGGGAACCAAACCGUGAAGCUACCGCGGAUGAGUUGAAGAUGUUGCAAUACAAUGCUCAAGCUUGUGAUAUUCUCUUCAACGGAUUGUGCCCCGAAGAAUUCAACAAAAUCAGCGGCCUUGAGAAUGCAAAGGAGAUUUGGGAUACUUUGAUUGAUAUGCACGAAGGUACCGACUCCGUCAAGGAAUCCAAGUUGGAUGUGCUCCAAAGUCAACUUGACAAGUUCAAGAUGAAGGAUGGUGAAGGUGUCGCUGAAAUGUACUCCAGGCUUGCUCUCAUCACAAAUGAGAUUGCCGGCUUAGGAAGUGAAGAGAUGACCGAUAGAUUCAUCAUCAAGAAGAUCCUAAGAGCCUUGGAUGGGAAAUAUGAUACCGUGUGCACAUUAAUCCAAAUGAUGCCCAACUACAAAAUCUCAAGCCAACGGAAGUAAUUGGAAGGAUUGUUGCUCAUGAGAUGUCACUCAAGGAUAAAGAGGAACUUCACAAUAAAUCAAGUGGUGCCUACAAAGCGUCAUGUGAAGCCCCCGCAUCAUCAAGUGAGAAACAAAACUUCAAUGAAGAAUUGAGCUUAAUGGUGAAGAACUUCAACAAGUUCUACAAGAGUAGAAGCAAAGAUAGAAGCUUCAAGUCAAGGUCCUACAAUGACAAAAGAUCUUCUAGUCGAGAGCGAAACUGCUAUAAUUGUGGAAGACCCGGACACUAUUCCAAUGAGUGUACGACUCCCUACAAGAGAAGAGAAGAUUCUCCAAAAAGAAGAAGCAAAGAAUCUCCACCAAGAGAGAGAAGGAGUAGAGAUGAUCGUUAUGAACGAAGAUACUCACGGAGAAGCAAGGACUCGGAAAGGAAGGAAAAAUCAUCAAGGAGCUAUACAAAACAAAGACAUCAAGCUCAUGUUGAUGAAUGGGUAUCCGGCUUCGACUCCGACAGCCACUCAGAGAGAAGUUAUCACUCCGACUCCGAAGAUACUCAAGAUGAAGGUGUUGCCGGUCUAGCACUUGUGUCAACCAACUCCUACGACAUAUUUGACUCCCCAAAUGAAGGAAUUGGAAGAUGCUUCAUGGCUAAAGGUCCUAAGGUAACACACCCCGAGUACGUUGAUUUUAAUAGUGAUGAAGAUGACUUGUUAGGUAAUGAUGAUUUGCUUGUUGACAACUCUAGUGAUGAGUACUAUGAUGAAACAUCAAUUAAUCAUGCUAAAACGAAUGACAAUGAUAAGGAGAAGAUUGAGGCUCUAACUAAAGAACUAAACACUCUUAAGUUAGCUCAUGAAACUAUCUUCGAAGAUCAUCGAGAACUUUUAAGAGCUCAUGAGAAAUUACGCUUUGAAAAGCUCAAUCUUGAGCAAGAGCAUGAGUUCUUAAAAGCAAUCAACGAUGAUCUCCGCAAGAAUAGUUCUUCUUACAUUGCCAAGCGUUUACUAUUAUCCACUUACAUGCCUCAAGUCAAGACUAGUAACAAGAAUAAGAAAGAUUCUUCCUCUAGUAGUGACAAUGAUCAUGCUAAAUCCAAUAUUGUUGCUUCUAGUAGUUCUCUUGAUUCCACUAAUGAUUCUCUUAGCCAAGUUACACUUGAGCAAGAAAAUAGCUUAUUGAAGGGAAUUAUAGAGAAAGGUGUUUACAAGAGCCUUGCCGGAAGUAAGCAAUUCGAGGAAAUUGUGCACAAGCAAGGAAUGCACCGGAAGAAUCAAGGUGUUGGUUUUGAACGAAAGUUCAAUGCCAAUGGAGUUGAAUGGGAAGAAGAUCAAUACCCCAAGACAAAGUUUGUUCCUCAACAAGAGAAGUAUGACACUUCUUUCAAGGGGACACAAGCUCAAGAUGAUCUUCCACCACAAGACUACAAGCAAAAAGGCAAGGACAAGCUUCAAGAGGAGAUUGAUGCAUUUGAAGAAGCUCCCAAGACCUUAGUCAAGUGGAUUCCCAAGACUACUUCAAGUUCCACUACACCAAGUACGACUACAACUCCAAGGAUUCCCAUCAAGAUGGUGUGGAUCCAAAAGAAGAAGAACUAGAGAGUUCUUGAGGGUGACUCCGCCAACAUAAUUCACUCUUAUCAUUUUGGCAAGAACAAGUGCAAUCAACUUCCACAUCUUGCACUAGUUCAAGGAGUUACAAACCCUCUUGUUGGUAAGACAAGGGACAAGGUAACCUAAAGUUUUCAUGGACAUCAUCUUGUGUGUGCAUCACUCUAUGUCUAUGGAUAUCCUUGUUUGUUCCUUGUGGGACUAACCCAUGUAGGUAUUGAAAGUGCAAUUCACUCAAAUGGAUAGCUCCAAGUGAUCUACAUCAACAUUGAGCAUCCACAUCUUCAACAUCUACAUGAAGUCAUCAUCGACAAAACCCAAGGUUAGUUCAUCCCUCUUAGGGGGGAUAUCACAUCUAGGGGGAGCUUUACUCUAAGACUUGAGCUAAAGCAACUCUAAAGAUGUGAAUACAACAAUGCUUUAUGUAAAAGUGGUAACCCCACUUGAGCUUAAACGAUGGGUAUGACCUAUGAUCAAGUGUUCUCACUUGACUCCUAAGUCAAUAUGCUCAUAUAUAGAUGACCUAGUCAUCGCAAAUUGCUUUAUAGAUGCUAGAAUUGGUUGUGCAUGCUUUGCCACAUAUUUCAUUUGCCAUCUUAUUGUGUGAGCAUGUUGGUUGCAUAUUUUACUCAUUCGAGGACAUCCACUUGUUGUUUUGAUUGUUUGGCUUUCUUUUUUUGCCAAGUGGAUGGACAAGAAUGCCUAAGAACCUCCUCUAGCUAUCUAUGCUUUUCUCGUCUCAAACUCUAUUCAUGCUGCAUCACAAAACUUGAUCAAGUCAGAUUCGAACCACUCUGUGUGAGGAGCGCUCGGAGUCCCCGAUUCGUCAUAGACUUAAACUUCCAAAACCUCUUUAUGAAUCUCGGUCUGACCGAUACUCCAUUUUCGGUCCUACCGAGUUCAUUAAGUUGAUCUAGGUUUUCGAUCUCGGUGCAACCGAUUUGAACUUUUCGGUCACACCGAGUUGCAAUAACUGCACACAGUUUUGCAUCUCGGUGCCACCGAGUUGUUCCACUCGGUCACACCGACAGGGUCGGGCUAUAUAUAGUGACGGGAAAUUUUUUGGAAAUUUCUCCGAAACCCCUUCGCCCGCGCGAUAGCCUGCUCUGCCUUCGUGGUCUCCGGAUCGUCUUCUCGUCGCCAGCAGCCUCCAGUCACUGGUCUCCGCCGCCGUCAACGGAUUUCUGCCCCGCCGUUGCCGCCGUAGCGAGUCUCCGCCGAACUAGGGGUCAGCAGUCAGUUUGCAACAUGUCUGAUCAAAGUGACAGCCAGAAUGUGUCUGAGCAGCAAGUUGUGAUGAGUGAGGGCACUAGCCCCUCAAGCUCUUCUGAUGAUGGCAGCAGGAGCACCCCCAGCAAUCUGCCCAAGGCCGCCACACGUCAAAGGAAGAAGAGAACGUCUGAUUCUGAGGAUGAAGACUAUGUGGCAGAGGAAGAGGCCACAUCAAAGAGAGCUGAACCAGCUCAAGGAACCAAGCCAGGGCUGAAGAUCAAAAGGCCAACAGGCAGGCAGCCCAUGUCAAAGGCUAGGGCUUCAACUGUGAAGCCUGCUCCCACUGAGCCCGUUGCUGCUGAGGGCAAGAAAAGGAAAGAAAGGGUGAAAAAGACUGUAGCCAGAGUGCUUGGAAAGGCCUCCAUCAUGGUCGAUGAGGAGGAAGAAGAAGAGGUUGCUGCACUAGCACCCAAGGCAGCCAAACUCAUGGGAGAUGCUAUAAGGUCAGGAACAGCUGCAUCCAAGCCCAAGGAUGCACCUAAGGCUGCAACUAAGCCUAAGAGUGCACCCAAGAGAAACACACGAAGCAUCCCAGCUGCAGAAAAGAACAAGGCCCCAACGCCUGAAGCUAUUGAAGAAGAGGAAGAGAGUGUCCUUAGGAAGAUCAAGCCUGAGCGUCGACUUAGCACUAUGCAUUUUCUAGGAACUUUUUGGUAACUUGUUGCCAAAGGGGGAGAAGAUGUAUAGAUCAUAGGCUUCGAGAGAGAGUGUGUUGCUUUUCUCUCUUGUUUUUAUUUGGUGGUUUUUCGAACUUUGUUUGCUUGUGUGUGAGAUACUAUGUCGUUAUUCGUGAGACAUCGAUGAUCAUGUGUUUGAUCAUAAGCUACACUUAAUGUUUGCUUAAUGCUUGCUAUAUAUUAUCAUUCCAUCUAUCGUUUGUGAUCAUUCACUAUUCUUGGUGAUGAGUGCAUGUAUUUCAAUCUUAUCAUUUUUGAGCGCUCCACCAAGAUGUAUGUGACAUGGAAGAGUAACCCAUGAUUCUAACUCCAUGUGCAUUUGCAGUCCAAAGCAAAUUUUAAAUACGCACAAAUUUAGGGGGAGCUCUUAUUUGUCACAUACUUCUGAAAGCGACGAUAUAUUUCAUGCUUAUUAUCAUUUGUCGAAGCUUUGAUCUAUAUGUUGUCAUCAAUUACCAAAAAGGGGGAGAUUGAAAGUGCAACUAUCCCUAGGUGGUUUUGGUAAUUCAUAACAACAUAUAGCUCAUUGAGCUAAUGCUAUUUCAAGAUGAUUAUUUCAGGAAAGCUCAAUGAUUGGCAUGGCAUGGAUGUGAAAGUGGAACCCUCAAAAUGCUAAGGAAAAAGAAUUGGCUCAAGCUCAAAAGUUCAAGACUCUUCAUUUUAUAUUUUAGUGAUCCAAGAUCACAUUGAGUCUUUAGGAAAAGCCAAUACUAUUAAGGAGGGAUGAGGUGUUGCUUAAUGAGCCUCUUGCUCUAUGUGCUUAGUGAUAUGCUCCAAAAUCCUCAACCACUUUUCCAUAUCCACAAAUGACCUAAACCCUAAGCCAAACUCGGUCUUACCGAUUCUGUCAAUCCGGCGCCACCGAGUUUCACUUGUCAUUUGCCACUGCCAAACCCUAGCAAUUCAGUCCUACCGAUAAGGUUCUCGGUCUCACCGAGAUGGGCUUGCAAACUCUCUGUUUCCCUUUUGUAACUUUUCGGUCUCACCGAAAGAGCGAAUCAGUCCCACCGAGAAUGCAAGGUAAACUCUAUGUUUCCUCUUGUAACAUUUCGGUCUCACCGAAAGAGCAAGUCGGUCCCACCGAGUUUGCCUGACCAACUCUCUCGUUAGCUAAUUGCCGAACUCGGUCUCACCGAGUUUGUGCGAUCGGUCUCACCGAGAUUACGUUAUGCCCAAACCCUAACCGAAUCGGUCCUACCGAGUUGCAUCUCAGUCCCACCGAAAUUCCUAACGGUCACUAGGUUUACCAUUUCGGUCCGACCGAGUUUGAUUAUUCGGUCCCACCGAGAUUGGAAAACUGUGUGUAACGGUUGGAUUUUGUGUGGAGGCUAUAUAUACCCCUCCACCACCUCUUCAUUCGAAGAGAGAGCAAUCAGAACACAUACAUCAUUCCUACUCAUAUGUUCUGAGAAAGAACCACCUACUCAUGUGUUGAGACCAAGAUAUUCCAUUCCUACCUUAUGAAUCUUGAUCUCUAGCCUUUCCCAAGUUGCUUUCCACUCAAAUCUUCUUUCCACCAGAUCCAAAUCCUAUGAGAGAGAGUUGAGUGUUGGGGAGACUAUCAUUUGAAGCACAAGAGCAAGGAGUUCAUCAUCAACACACCAUUUUUUACUUCUUGGAGAGUGGUGUCUCCUAGAUUGGCUAGGUGUCACUUGGGAGCCUCCGACAAGAUUGUGGAGUUGAACCAAGGUGUUUGUAAGGGCAAGGAGAUCGCCUACUUCGUGAAGAUCUACUGCUAGUGAGGCAAGUCCUUCGUGGGUGAUGGCCAUGGUGGAAUAGACAAGGUUGCUUCUUCGUGGACCCUUCGUGGGUGGAGCCCUCCGUGGACUCGCGCAACCGUUACCCUCCGUGGGUUGAAGUCUCCAUCAACGUGGAUGUAGGAUAGCACCACCUAUCCGAACCACGGGAAAACAUCCGUGUCUCCAAUUGCGUUUGAAUCCUCCAAACCCUUACCUUUACAUUCUUGCAAGUUGCAUGCUUUACUUUCCGCUGCCAAUAAACUCUUUGCAUGCUUGCUUGAAUUGUGUGAUGAUUGCUUGACUUGCUCUAAGAUAGCUAAAAUCUGCCAAGAACUAAAAUUGGGAAAAGGCUAAGUUUUUAAUUGGUCAAGUAGUCUAAUCACCCCCCCUCUAGACAUACUUUCGAUCCUACAAUGACGAAAUCGAGGAGCUCUUCGAGGAGAACGCCAUAAAGGAGUUCGACCUAGAUAGCAGGAAGGGCAGCGACUUCGACGAGGAUGCCAUCGACGACCUAUCUGAGGUAGUACUCUGUUUUUGCUCUGUUUUUUUCAUGACAUUGGGGUUUUUCUUGUUAACUACAUGAGCAUCAAUUUCACUUGGGCGUGCUAGUUGUACGUAUGUAGGAUUGUAGGGAUCUAGCAUAGAUCUUCAUGUUGGAUGUGGUUUUUUAAAUCUGAUUGACAUUCUGAUUCCAGCAAAUACUUUGGGUUUUUUUCAUGGCAUUGGGGUUUGUCUUGUUAACUAGAUGAGCAUAAGUUCCACAAGGGAUACAUUAAUGAAAGAAGUGGGGUAAUGAACCCAACUACAAGAUAAUGUUCAUGGCAGGGAUACAUUAAUGGAAAAAGUGGGUUAAACAAUGGAUAUAUGGCAGGAUUCUCCAUUGGCUUCCCCAGGACAGUGACAAAAUGCUGCAGUUCCUGAUUCAUUUUAGUUUAUGUAGAUGAAUUAAUUUGCACACAUGUUCAUAGAUGAUUAGUUUGCACACAUGUUCAUAGAUGAUCCAUUUGCAAAUUCUAUACAGCUUUCCAUUUUGCAAAGGAAGUGAUCGCUCCCUUAAUAAUUAUGGGCUGACAGUACAUAUCCACUGGAUACCAAAAAAUCAAAACAUUUCAUCUAGCCAAUUUUCCACAGUAUGUUAUCUAGAUGAUCACAGCCACAUCUCUCAUCAAUAUGAGCAGUGAGACACCCCAUAGCUCCUUUACCAAUUUCCUUCUGAAACUUAUCAGGGUCUAACAAUGUUGGACAAGCAGUAUUGCCGGUGUCAGAAAGAAUAAUGGUUUCUUCAUUCCAGUAGAUAGAACAAACCCCCCUUGUGUGAAACAUGGAGGAGUACAAUGAAGCCAUUUUUCUGAUUCCAAUAAGAAUUACACCUGUAACAAGUAUCAAAUAUCAUUAAACCAAGCCACUUCAUGAAGUCUUUCAUGUGUUAAUUAUGUACUACUUGUGCACUAAUCUAUAAAUGCAACUAUUCCACCAUCCGUAUUUAUGCAUGUCAGUUUCUUUGGCUCAAUUAUGUAUGUGCACAUACGCCUUGUUUCUAGCAAAUAGAUAGUUGCCAUGUUACACGUGUGUACUUUCAAAACAUUGUAAUUAAAGUCAAUGUACCAUAAUGGAUUAGCUGAGUUCUUCUAUGUGUACUAAUUCACUAAUUCACAGGAGGAUGACGACGAUGUGGACUACUGCAUGGACAGCAGGCACAACAAGAGCCGGUACACCCUGAGGCAUCUGAUUGCUGGGAAGAUCAAGUACCGUUUCUUUGGCAAGAUUGGGUGCCCUUUCUGUUGCAAGGUGAUCGGUGGCGGCAUAGAUGGCAUGAUCCAGCAUGCCUUCAGCACUGGCAAUGGACAUGGUAAGAAGCAUAAAGCCAGUACUUUGGCUAAACAUGCUGCCUACGCACGCUUCCUCGAGAUUGUGAAAGUCAAUGAGCCCUACAACAUGCAUUGAACAAGGGAGAGAAGUGAUGUGCUGCUAGAGUGCUGCUGCUGCCCCAGGACCCCCGUGUCCUGUUAUGUUAUGUAUGUUUGUUUGUUGUUGGAGUCUAAAACUGAUGUCCUAUGGUGUGUCUGAACCUAUGCUGAGCGGUGGUUGAUCUGCCGUUUAUGUUAAGAGUUUGCUGCUACUCUAGUUUAGUGUUCCUAGUUGUUAAUACUAUUUUGGUGAUGCAUGUUUAAGCCUUGUACAAUGCUAGAUGCUUAGGGUGGUGCUUAGAAAAAUAAACAGGGUUUUUUUGAAGCACCAGUGCCUAUUUCUACAGGAGAGACGCCUAGUUAUGCGUCUACCCUGUACAAAUAAGCACCUGUGCUUAAGAAAAGCCUAGUUUAUUUCUAUAAGCAACUCCCCUAAGCGCCUUGCAUUGUACAAGGCCUUAGCAACUCAAGUAUCGUACGGUGGUCUACGUUAUGGUUGCUGUGUUAUUCUGCCGUACGGUGAUGCAUGCUAGGAACUGUCAUAAUAUGACUAUGGUAGUUAUAGCUUCGCAUGAUUAUGUUUAGUGUAUAACUCAGCAUGUUCCUACCAUAUCUAUGGGUAAUUACAACUGAACUAUGCAUUAAUUUUUGACAAAAUGAAAGCAUGCAAAUGAUUGCCGAUUCCACCUAUUGGAAAAUCAAGCUUUGGACUGAUGAUGCAUUAUAUAUUGCAAUAAGUAGAGGAUGCUCAUGAUUGCCAAAAGUACCUAUUUCCACUUUCUGAUAAGAACUAAACGUGUAUCAAAUGAUGCUAAAAGUAGAGCAUGAGCAUAAGCAUGUAUCAAUGCAUUAGAUAUUGCAAUAAGUAGAGGAUGCUCAUGAUUGCCAAAAGUACCUAUUUCCACUUUCUGAUAAGAACUAAACGUGUAUCAAAUGAUGCUAAAAGUAGAGCAUGAGCAUGAGCAUGUAUCAAUUGAUGCUACCUAUUUGUGUUUGAAUGGGCUCAAUAAAGCUGGUGCUGGUUUAUGCUCUCUGCGUGACCGUGAUGGUAACGAAGACACUUGGUUGGCUAUGGUCUUGCUGUCAAAUUUAAGUUUCAGUUCUUUAAGAUUCUUUGUUUUUGCUGCUUGCUCGGGAUCGACUAGCUUUCUCGGGCGUCCACGUGCUCUCUUCCUUUUGGGGGAGUUGGGUGCACCAUUUUUGGGGGAGUUGGCUGCACCGGUAUCCUUCUGGGAGUUGGAUGUGUCAGGUUCGUUGGAACCAUCGGGAUUGUUGACUAAUUGUACGUCCUCUUCUGAAGCAUCAGGUAGAACUGCUUGCUGGGCAUCGUACACCUCCUUCUGUAUAAGAGAGAGUGCUGCGUUAGUUCUAAUCAUGAGACUUAUGAAAUAAAUGAUAUAUUCUUCAUGUAGCGCUAACCGUUAUGGGGAACUUAUAUGAUUCGAGACGAAGCGCAUUGCAAUUUGAAUGCAGUAAGGCUGUACAUAUUUUCCACCUGAAAAUAUCUAUCCUUGCCUAUAUUGGAUAACCGACACUGACGUCAGCAUAGCUUUCAAGCUAAACAAAUUACAAAUUUAAAUUAGGCAUUCAAUUACCUGGUUCAAAAUAUCGGUCAUUUCAUCCCCGUUCCAUGACAACAUGUACUGCAGUGUCCAAACCGCACAGGAAGUCUUGCAAUGUUUAGUUAAAGAUCAGUAAUCUUAUUCGUGUACGCAAAUAAUAAUUUAUGAGGCCAUGCGUACCCAUCGGUCUGUUGUGGUAUGUUCUCAUAGUGUUUUUUGGUCCAUUUGGCAAAAUUGAUGUUAUUAGCUGGUGAUAUCAACCCUUUCUUGACCGCUUCGUCAAUGCAGAACUGAAUCGAGUCCACCUAGGUUACGACAAGUUAUACAUAGGGUUACGGUACUUUGGGAGCUCAUGUUCCAUGCGGAUCAAGAGAGGCAGCAAGAGAACACUUACAAGAGAAUCUUCCUUGGUCUUGUUGCAAUGAUAAUUCAUGGAGUUCAGAGUCUGAAUUUCUUUUUUGUCAAAAUUAAACAUCAUUAGCAUCCAAUGGUUUUGGUGUACAUUGAGUGGGACAUGCACCUGCAGUAAAAUUUGGGUUGGGUUGAGAACCGAAAUUUGUCGUGUACAGUGUGUACGUAAACUAUAAAAGUGUGGAAAACGUGUACCUUUCGGCGCCCUACAAAUUUUCCUGCUACACGAGCUAACCAUGAUGCUGCACGUCCAACAGGAACCACCCCCUUCAUUUGUAACAGCUUUUCGGUUUCUUGAGGGGAUAUGAUUGAGGUAGUAUCAUUCUCAAUUUGGCUAAUGAGAGCAUAUGCCAUAAUAACCUGCCAAAUUUUCAAUCAUACAAUAAUAAGACAGUUGUUGCAGUAAUGAUGUACAAUAGAGUAUAAUGGGCUUACAUCACCAUAAAUGUAUUUCUCGUCCAAAUUUCGCUUCAGAUUUUCUGCUGUGAGGGAAAUGUCUCCGAUUCUAGCUAUUUCAACAGGGUCAUAUGUUCCGCGGGUGUAAACGGCUGUCUCUAUGUCCUCAUCCGUGAACUUGUAAUCAUUACCAAAGACAGGCUUCAUCGGAGUUAAUUGUGGUUCCUCAUUGUUUUCCCUCACAUGUCUUGCACUUGGUGUACUCAAAGUCCCUGUCGUGAUUUGGCUAGCCCUAGGAGUUCCUGUCAGGGAUGAAUUGCACACAUUGACUUGAUCCUACAAUGAACAAAGGUAGUUCAUCAUUAGUUUGUUACUUUUAGAUAUUAACGUGUUGGGCCAAUUUUGAUCACCUGCACGCCUCCUUUCUGUGACACUGAUUGUCGGUUCCUUGUAAAUUCGUAUUUUAAGUCCUGUAACAAUGCAAACAAUAAUGAACAUGAAGGAACAUAUUCAUAAAAAAUACAAAAUGCACAGUAUGACAUACAUGGAGUUCCCUCCUUAAGUCUUUAAUUUCGUCCUCGGCCUUCGACAACCUAGGAUUAGUGCCAGUUUUAGUCUUCAUGUCGAUCAAGUCUUCACCUAGAGUCUGGUAUUUGACAUCAAAUCUGUGCUCAAUUUCCAUUAACUUCCUGCAUACCUUCUUUUCAUGAUCAGCAAUGCGUGCAUUCAUGACUUCAACUACCAUUUCAAUCUGUGUAAACAAAAUAAAACCCCAUUGGUAACAAUAGCUAAAUGAAUGAGGUUCCAUGACACCUAUUUGUGAUAUUGCAAAAACAAAUAGUCUUUGGAGUACAUACUUGCUGGCUACUAAAUUGCUGUCCUUGUGAUGGUGCUCGAUACGAAUCAUGUUGAUGCACAUGUUCAUCUUUUUUUCUUGGAAAAUUAUUAGAAUUAUCGGACGGUCGUUGAGGAGCACAAAUUUCCAUGACAACCUAUUUUUUUAAAAUAUAAUGAACCAUUAGUACCAAAUAAAAAAUCGAAUAUAGAAAGUUCAAUUGUAGAUAGGUACCAGCCCGUUAUGAAGACCUCCUUUCUCGUAAGCAUCGCUUCUUAAAGUAGCCAUCAUUUCGUCCCAUCGUGCGAUCAAUGGAGGGGGUCUAGAAGCAUACAUUAAUCGGCCACUACGCACGUGCUCCCAGUACCAAUACUACACAAUAAAUUAGUUCAUCACCAUACAGAUAUGCAACAGAACAAUAAUUAAAGGACAUUAAGUAGUGAUCUAUCACUAACCUAGAGCAGAAUUAGAUUUCAUUGUAGAUUUACGUGAUCUCGAUUUCUAAACUUGUGAACGGACUUGAAGAAGUGAUUAAGUGUGAAACAUCCCCAGUUAAAUUUCCGAAGGUUUUCAAGAUCUGUAACGAGGUUGAGAAAUUUCGAGUCCACAUAAUGUUGUGCUGUUGGUGCUAGAACAGUACCAAUUGCGUACAGAAUGAACCGCCUCAGGAAAUCGCCGUCUGGGGCUUUGGAAGCUCGGAUCAUUGUUUCAAGGUCAGAAAUCAAAAUUUGCCCAUUGUUUGCAUAGGCGGUAAACAAUUCUGUGUCGGUUUGCAUUUCCAGAUGUGGCUCUAUAUCCUCCCCUUCUAUCGGAAUGCCAAAUAUACCUUGCACGUCCUCUUUUGUUAUAGGAAUUGGCGUUUUACCGAUGGUAAUGGAUUGCGUGUCCAUAUCUAUGCUCUUGGCUAGUCUAACCAACAUUAUGCGCCGUAGAGUCACUUCAUGCAUCUGGGUCAGACCGCCAAGACUGGUUUCUGAUAUGAUGUACUUUCUGUGGUCUUAUGAAAACAGUUUCAUGGUUUUUCCGAACCUUGUCUGUGAGCAUACUAACUUCAUAUGACCAUGCUUUUCGGCGAGUUCCUGUUACAUGCCAUUAAAUAUUACUGAGUACACAUGAAUUAUGUGUACGAAACGAUUGUACACAAACAGUAAAUUACUUACCACAUCGGUAAUUUCGGAGAUGGGCUUUUCUCCAUUAUUAAGGUUCGUAUCUGAAACUGACAUUGCUGCCUCGUAUGCAAUGAUAAAAUCAGGCUCAAUUAAUCUGAACAAAAUUGGAAAAUCUAUAACAAAAUUAGCAGAGAAUUAAUUUUAACAAAAUUAACUGGGUCAUUUAACAUAUGAUCCACUUAUGGGUUUAAGCACAGAACCUACUUGGGUGCAAAACCUAUGAGGGUUCAACAACUAAAGCAUCGGCGAACAACGAUUAUAAAGAGUUACAAUCAGCUAAGACCUUACCUCGGAGAUGGUGCCACCGAGUAGAUGGCGGCGGUUAGUGCGUCGGAAACUAUAAGUGCCGGUAUAGCGCGGUCGACGGCGCAAAGGAAAAACGGCACGUUCACGCGAGGAGGAGGCGGCGAGAAGAACACUGACGUCCGAGCCCUUAGAUCACGUUGGCGGUGGGCGGCGAGUGGUGGUCGCCGACUCCUGUAUUCCAUGGGCGACCGGCGUCUCCGAUCUGAUCUUGCAGCGGUCGUGGGAGGUGCAGACGACCCGGGUGGUUAGAAUGCGGAGCUGUAAUCGCGGGAUUUAGGGAGGGGUGGGCCGCGUGAGUUAUGUGAGAUUUGGAUAAAUGAUAUAAAGAAAUAAGAAAAUCUUGUGAACUCGGUGUGGGGUUUAUGGGCUUUAGGGUUUAGGGGUUUAGGGUUAUUAGGGUUUAGGGAUUUAGGGGUUUAGGGUUAUCAGGGGUUAGGGUUAUCAGGGUUUAGGGUUGAGUGUUUACAUGCAAGCCCGGAAAUGCGCGUGUCAGAGAACAUACUUGCAUGUGUAUGUACUAAUGAUCCCAAACUUUCUUAAUGGCAUCCCAUGACCACAUAGAGAAUGAAUGCAUAAUGGUUUCCAUGUUGGGCAAAAUUUUGAAUGUUUUUACGGUUUAGUGGGGGGGGUGGGGUUAGGGUUAUCAGGGUUUAGGGUUUAAGGGUUCUAGGGUUGACGGAACUAUGUUUGUCUUACGGUGGACGUAGCACACACACCGGACAUUGGUGGAGCGUUGGUCUACAAUGGAUUCCCUCUGGUAGCAUCGAUCCGAUCCAUUGAAUGGCUCGGCCAACAAACUUCGUGCCACAUAGAGCAUGCAUCCAUCCACUGGACCGGAUCAAUGUUGGGUUGGUUUCAUACAGGUGAGGAAAGCAGCUAGUGCUUUCGGGGUGUUGACAUGCUAGGCCGGAAAUGCGCGUGUCAGAGAUCGUACUUGCAUGUAUAACCCCAAACUUUUUUCAUGGCAUCCCAUGACCCCAUAGAGAAUGCAUGCAUAAUGGUUUCCAUGUGGGGCAAAAAUUUGAAUGUUUUUACGGUUUAGUGGGGGGUGGUGGUUAGGGUUAUCAGGGUUUAGGUUUUAAGGGUUUUAGGGUUAACGGAACUAUGUUUUUCUUACGGUGGACUUAGCACACACACCGGACAUUGAUGGAGCGUUGGUCUACAAUGAAUUCCCUCCGGUACCAUCGAUCCGGUCCGUUGACUGGCUCGGCCGACAAACUUCGUGCCACAUAGAGCAUGCAUCCAUCCACUGGACCGGAUCGAUGUUUGCUUGGUUUCAUACAGGUGAGGAACCCAGCUAGUGCUUUCGGGGUGUUGACAUGCUAGGCUGGAAAUGUGCGUGUCAGAGAUCAUACUUGCGUGUAUAAUCCCAAAAAUCUUUCAUGGCAUCCCAUGACCACAUAGAGAAAUUUUGAAUGUUUUUACGGUUUAGUGGGGGGGAGGGGGUGGGGUUAGGGUUAUCAGGGUUUAGGGUUUACGGGCUCUAGGGUUGACGGAACUAUGUUUGUCUUACGGUGGACGUAGCACACACACCGGACAUUGGUGGAGCGUUGGUCUACAAUGGAUUCCCUCUGGUAGCAUCGAUCCGAUCCGUUGAAUGGCUCGGCCGACAAACUUCGUGCCACAUAGAGCAUGCAUCCAUCCACUGGACAGAAUCAAUGUUGGGUUGGUUUCAUACAGGUGAGGAAAGUAGCUAGUGCUUUCGGGGUGUUGACAUGCUAGGCCGGAAAUGUGCGUGUCAGAGAUCGUACUUGCAUGUAUAAUCCCAAACUUUUUUCAUGGCAUCCCAUGACCCCAUAGAGAAUGCAUGCAUAAUGCUUUCCAUGUGGGGCAAAAAUUUGAAUGUUUUUAUGGUUUAGUGGGGGGGGGGUGGUUAGGGUUAUCAGGGUUUAGGUUUUAAGGGUUUUAGGGUUAACGGAACUAUGUUUGUCUUACGGUGGACUUAGCACACACACCGGACAUUGAUGGAGCGUUGGUCUACAAUGGAUUCCCUCUGGUAGCAUCGAUCCGAUCCGUUGAAUGGCUCGGCCGACAAACUUCGUGCCACAUAGAGCAUGCAUCCAUCCACUGGACCGGAUCGAUGUUUGGUUGGUUUCAUACAUGUGAGGAACCCAGCUAGUGCUUUCGGGGUGUUGACAUGCUAGGCCGGAAAUGUGCGUGUUAGAGAUCGUACUUGUGUGUAUAAUCCCCAAAAAUCUUUCAUGGCAUCCCAUGACCACAUAGAGAAUGCAUGCAUAAUGGUUUCCAUGUGGGGCAAAAAUUUGAAUGUUUUUACGGUUUAGUGNNNNNNNNNNNNNNNNNNNNNNNNNNNNNNNNNNNNNNNNNNNNNNNNNNNNNNNNNNNNNNNNNNNNNNNNNNNNNNNNNNNNNNNNNNNNNNNNNNNNNNNNNNNNNNNNNNNNNNNNNNNNNNNNNNNNNNNNNNNNNNNNNNGGUUUUAGGGUUGACGGAGCACACACAUCGGACAUUGAUGGAGCGUUGGUCUACAAUGGAGUCCCUCCUGUAGCAUCGAUCUGGUCCGUCGACUGGCUCGGCCGACAUACUUUGUGCCACAUAGAGCAUGCAUGCAUCCACUGAACCGGAUCAAUGUUGGGUUGGUUUACAUGUACAUGUACAGGGACCCGAAAUGCGCGUGUUAGAGAUCGUACUUGCGUGUACAUGUACCAUCCUUCCAUCCACUGGCUGGGCCGACAACCUUCGUGCCACAUUGUUCACAUUGUCCAAUUAACACUUUGUAUAGAUUUUUUUCAUAAAAAAUGAACGAAAUAAUGCAACUAAUCUGAACGUAACGUUUGGCAUGUAUCAAACCAAGUUGCCACUAUUCCUCAAAAAAAGAACCCAGUUAGCCACUAAUUGCGCCAAACAUAUCUCGUAAUUACGAACGAAAAUGGGUUGACAAUUAUAUCUGGAAAUUCUUGGACUGAAUUUAUUGCUCUUCGUUUUUUAGAGAACAAUAAGUUAGAAUGGUGGGCGGCGGGUUGGCAUGGGCACGACCAUGGCUCGGGCUUGUGUCAUAUGUGGUUCGACCCGCGGUCAGUGCACAUGUUUUCGAAGCCCCGAAAAGAUCGUGCUCGUUAAAAAAAAAACUUGCAUCGACGCGCAUUACUUCAAAAUAACUAAUUAACCCUACAAUCACGGAUAUAGACCUUCCCAUUCUACCGCAUAUCUACCCUAUCCUAACCACCCCCAUCUACCUUGUUUCUCCUCACAUAGCCAUCGCCGGGAUCGCGCCAUCACUUCUCAAGCGACCACGCCGACGCCGGAUUACAAAAGGUCUCUUCCACGGCUUCUCUCAUCUUCGAUUGCAGUGAUGAUUAUUUUUUCCAUUGAUUCGACCAACAAGUAAUUUCCGAAGAGAUUAGAAAAUCCAGCUUUUACUAUGGUUGAGUAGUUCUGUUGUGAUUCGAGUACAGGAUGUCAUGCAAGAGCUUUUUGAUUGAUAGUUUGUACUAGUUGAUCGUGUGAACUUAUUAUGAAUAUUUUUUCACAGUCGUAUUGUUUCGAAUUAGUUGGAUGAGGGUGUGGAUACAGUUUUCAUACUAUGGGUAUAUGUGUUGCUGUAGGGACCAUGGUCUCAGAGGCGCAUAACAACCGUGCGGAGUACGACAAGUCUUUGCAUGAAGCGCGUCGGGAGAUCGACUUGAAGGUGCAAAAGGAUCGCGCUGAGGUAGAUAAGAAACAGAAAAAAGAACGUUCAUACGUGGACAGGAUGAUAAAGGAGGAGCGUGAGGAGUUUUCCCUUAAGAUGGCGAAGAUGCGUCUUGAGAUUGAAGAAAAGUAUAAGAGGGACUGUGAGCACAUGGAAAAAAAGUUUGUCUUAGGCUACAAGGAAAUGCAUCAAAUGUUGCAGAAGGACCGGAAGCUUGUGGACAGUAUUAUACAGACAGAGCGAGUCAGGAUGGAUGCCUAUGUGUUGCAGGCAUGUGCGGAUAUGGACAGUAAGCUGCUACAGGAGCGGUCGGACAUGGAUUAUAAGGCCAUGCUGGAGAAGGUCCGCUUGGAAGGACAUAUGUUAGAAGACCGUGCGAUCUCACGGCCACCCCGACAACAUGUCUUCAAUUAUUCUCCCCCUGUCAGUAUCUCGCACCGAUUCUAUAUAUUAAGGACCUACGUAUUCUAUGAUAUAAACAUCUUCAAUUUGUGGCAACCUUAUGUCGGCGAUUGUAUGUAGGCUAAGCAUCAUGACACGACACAGUCGCCAUUCACUCGACACAUUGCGAUAGAGUCACCCGUUCAAUGCCACAUCAGUCCACCCCAACAACAUAUCGUCAAUUCUCCCCUUGUAAGUACCCCGCAACAAUGCAUACCCAAUAUAUGGUAUGACCUUUCAAAACUUGUGUGUAAACCCACUAUCGACGUUUCAUACGCAGGAUAAGAAACCUGUGAUGGCAGAGUCCCCAGUCACACCACAUGAAGGAUACAUUCCACAUAAUAAGGUGAGAAGGUUUGAGAUGGCACAACCCCCAGUCACUCCACAUGAAGGAUACAUUCCACAAAAGCAGGUAACAACGCCGCAAUGUUGCUAUGCACAUAAAAAAUUAUGUUUGCCCCUUUACUCAUUGAAUGUAUUAACUCCGAUGUGAGAUACUAGGUGCUGGUCAUGGAAUUUUUUGUUAGUAGGGAUCAUGAGAUGUCACAUGUCCCGAGAGCAUACUUUGAUGAACACCCGGCAGAAGUCAGAAUUUUUGAACCCGCCAAAGUUACCUACGAUCUCAUUAUGAGUGAAAUGAGAGAUACUUUUGGUUGCAAACUGGGAGCAGAACUGUACUACUUCUUACCCGGGUCUGCGUGGAAGCUGCCAGAAGGAAUGUUCUUGAUUGCAGGACCAGAUGAUGUACAAAAAAUGCUUUCUGAUCUGAAUGGCAGCAAGACAUGUCACCUGUACAUUGUGUACAAUAGAACUACGGGUUGUUUUCCCGAGGAUGACGUUGAUUCCGAGGUUCAAAUUUUACAUGUUACAUGCAUCUAGUUUAUGGCUACGUCUUUUUUGAGUUCUUCCUAAUACAAUUCCUAUGGUUUUCUACAGGAAGUGAGAAUCCAAGAAAUGGAGUGUCUUGCUAGAGAGUUGGCAGAGAAAGACCAAGAACAACUUAAGUUGUAUGGUUACAUUGAUGUUAAAGAGAAAAAGAUUGAAGCACGUGGGUCGUCGCCAAGCCCGACGCAAUCUCCAACGACGCAACGCAAGAGGUCACUGGAUUUUGGUAGUGCAGAAGACAAUAUGGAGUAGGCUCAAUUGUUUUUCAACCAGUUAAAGCUUCAAACCAGGAUUAUUUAGUUGCAAACAAACAUUUUGUUUUCUGUUUCACACUAUGUUCGCAAUUAUGGUACAAUUUAUUCAUGAGACAUUUCGUUGAACAACAAUGCAUGUGUUUUAUGAUCAAUCAUACAGUUGUUUCUGAGUUGUUUUUGAGAUGGCAUUGUGUCUAAAGAAGUUUCCAUCUAUAAAACUUGCCACGCAGUCGCAUCGGAAUCGCGUAUCACGCGAGAGGCGUGCGUCGCACGGGAGAGCGUCGCACGCGAGCUUGUUUUCGGGUAGAAAUCAUAACAUAUUUCGGAUAGAUAAAGUUCACGUCCUCCACCCGCGCAUGCAAACCCACGUCGCCGCCAUUCCCAUGCACGCAUGCCUCAGGCGCAGACAACGAGACGGCCCAUCCGAAUUAGGCCCAUCCGAAGUAGGACAUUAGAACCCUCCCCCCACUCCACCUAUUCCCCUCGCACUGUGGCCUCCCUCCCUCCAUCGCCAGAUCCCCCACUCGUCCCCCUCUGUCCGCCGCCCCUGCAUGCCGUCAGCGACUUCACCUCCGCCGCCCCCGCACCCCCCGAACGAGAUCGGCCAGAUCCAUCUCCUCAACCAUCGCAGGACAACGCAGGUACCCCAGUUUCUGUUGACGUCUCAAUGGUAUCCAUGCUGAUAAUGCUAGGUAGAUCGACUGAGUGUAGCAAUUUUGUGCCACCAUCUGAAACUUGUGAUGCUUCCUACUGUACAAUAUAGGACUUUUCAAAGUUCUGUUAUGAUGGCACUUUUUGACACAUACAGUAGAGCUGCGUUUUUAGUUGUUAUACUUUCAGUUACCAUCACUGCUUGGGAAAGGACGAAUUGGAUGCAUUCAGGUCUGCAGUUGAUAGUGUAUCAUCAUAAUAUAGGUGCUGUGUUGUGUGAUUCUUCAUGCUGAGAACUUCAGCUUUUUCAGUUAUAGUGAAAGGCUUCUGUAUAAAAAAAACUACUAAAUGAUCACAAAAACUUCUAGACAACAUUUUGUAUGAUCUGACCAAAACUUGAACUAAAUGAUCACCAAAAGUUGAAGGAUUUUGCAUCACAUCACAACCAUAAGUCUUCUGCACCAGCAUCAUAACAAUCACAUAACUACAUAACAAAAGCAAACUUGUUCAUCAUUACAAAAGAAAACUUGUUCAACAUAAGAAAAGCUAACUUGUUCAGCAUUACAAAAGCAAACUUGUUCAACAUAACAAAAGCUAACUUGUUCAGCAUUACAAACGCAAACUUGUUCAACCACAUAACUGCAAACUGAGACACAUAAUACCACAAACAACUCAAUAUCCCAGUAGUAGGGGUCAUCCCAAUGAUCCUCCACCUCUUGCCAGUACUCCAAACCUUCUUUGACGAUAUCGAUUUUCUUCCAUGCCUCGUAGGUGACGUACGCAUCUUUCGCUGCGUACUCGAUGAGGUUGUUUGGCAGUGGGCUGUCCCCCCAUAGUUUGUGGUCCAAUUCCUUGUUGAUCUUCUUCUUCAUUUCCUUGUACGAUGGGUGGAUGAGGCUGGCUGCAAACUCAGCCAAAGCCUGCCACUUCUUUCCAUUCCUUGGAACUCUCCAUUUGCGCUGCAUGUCGACGUACUUGUCGGGGUUGAUCUCCAAACCAGACAAUUUCAGCUUCUCCUUGUCACCUCCAAUGGAGAAGCCAACAAAGGUGUAGAGCUUCUUCUCCUGCAGGAGUGGGCGGAGUUCCUUAGGCCUGCAUCAAAUUAAUCUGGUGCAUCAAAUUCAUCCACUUCAAAAACUUCAGAAACUACUAAUUAGACAUAAAAUUCAGAACUAGUAUUGCAUCUACUCCAGAACUUCAGAACUAGUAUUGCAUCUACUUCAGAACUUCAGAACUAUUGCAUCUACUUGAGAAACUUCUGAAACUUCAGAACUAUUGCAUCUACUUGAGAAACUUCAGAAACUACUAAUUAGACAGAAACUUCAGAACUUCAGAACUAGUAUUGCAUCUACUUCAGAACUUCAGAACUAUUGCAUCUACUUCAGAAACUACAGAAACUACUAAUUAGACAGAAAGUUCAGAACUUCAGAACUAGUAUUGCAUCUACUUCAGAACUACAGAACUAUUGCGUCUACUUCAGAAACUUCAGAAAUUACUAAUUAGACAGAAACGUCAGAACUUCAGAAACUUCAGAACUGGAUGUUUUUACCAUUUGGUUGCCGCGGUGAUGUGGUAUACCAGGACGAGAUCCUCCACGCAUAACUGUAGAACUGCAGCCUUUUGCGGAGGUUCAUCUUCCCUCGUAUACUCGACAUCAACGCCGAUCGACUGAGGAAACAUGCCGCCGAGCCUCCUCCUGAUCUCGCGGAUCCUCUUGUCGGCUUCGUAUGGAUUGCUGGUGCAUACGACAUCCAGCUUCUCCUUCAGGUGGAUAUCAACCAUGAGCUUCACGGUGUAGUCCUGCUUCUGCCCAGGGAUCGGAACGUCGUCGUCGACCACCAGCGGCUCCUUGCCAGACGCCUCACCUUGGUGAUGCUUGCCAGAUGGAGGGGAGUUGCUCCACGAUGCCUCCGCCAUUCUCUUGGCAGACGGAGGGGAGUUGCUCCACGAUUCCUCCGCCAUUGCCCUCCUGGCCAGCGAUGGUGGAGGCAGAGGGGAGUUGCUUGAUGGUGGAGGCAGAGGGAGGAAGAUGGAGCGGCAAUGGAAUAAGGAGGGAGGCAGAGGGAGGCAGAUUGAGCGGCAAUGGAAUAGGAGGGGAGUUCCCUGCGUCGUGGGGAGUUGCCAGUGGAGGGGAGUCGUGGGGAGUUGCCAGUGGAAGGGAGGCGUGGGGAGUUGCCUCGAAAACUCAAACGUCCUGCCCUUUGGCCCUCGAAAAAUCUGGAGGGGAGACGUGGGCUCUUUGGUUUGUCCCGUUUCUGAAACAAAAAAAAAAUAACAGCCAUAUUUUGCUCUCACUGCAACCAUAUUAAGAGAUGAAAAAUGGCACCAAAAAGUCACUGCAGCCAUCCUCAAUGGCACGAAAACAGCACCAAAACAACAUCAGCCAAAACAACAAAAAAUGCAUCCAUUGAUCGUUCUUUAUUUCUUCUAACAUUCCGUGUUCUGUGCAGUGAGAUAGACACAACACUACAAAUGCAGGCUGACAACGCCCGCGAUUUCAUGACCAUCAGGACAGACGGCGGCUUCAUCCACGCUCCGGUCCCAUGAGUCGAGUCGAAAGUAGUGAUGCUAUGUGUAGUUCUGAAACAUUGAUUGGCUCAUGUUGUAAUUAAACUUUAAUGAAUUGUAUGUCUCUUUGGUUUGGACAGUCGUUAAACUUAGAUGUACUCGAUGCUAUUUAUUACUAGGACCAUGAAUUGUGCUAUUAAUGUCUUGCUUUUCUCUUCCGAUCCUUUUGUUGCAUACUUAUUUAUUGCUUAUGUAUUGUCUGUUGUUUGGCUUGUGCAUAGAGAUGCCGUCGUAUGUCGUGUACAAGGUAAGGUUCCCGGAGUCUACGAUGACUGGGAGGAGUGUCGGAGACAGGUUCACCGUUUCAGCGGUAACAGUUACAAAGGGUACACCACUAGGGUGGAGGCGGAAUCUAGAUAUGCCCGCUAUCUAGCGGGAGAGAGGAGGGAGCGUUGGAGGAAACGGAUGAAGACCAAUUUCAUCGCGAUGAUGCUCAUCGUGAUGACCGCAACUCUCUUCUAUGUGAUGGUAGUUUAGAUGAUCGAUAUCGACUUGUAAUGUGAAGACAAACUCGCUACUCGCGGUCUCGAGACUUGUAAUGUUCUAUCUUUGUUCGGUCUUGUGAAUUCAGAGACUAAUAUGAUGAAUUGUAUUCGGAGAGCUAUCUUCUAUUGUAUUGGAUGAAUGUGCUGUUGCUGUGUGGUGUUGUCUAUAUUCUCUCCAAUAAUAUAUUUUGUAACCUGUGAAAAUAUCAGAAAUGUGCAUUUUUUCGACCACCUCCAAAUCACCUCAGUUUUGGAACACAUGAUCUCUUCCACAAACAAAACUAGGUUUCCAAGUUUUUGUAUUUUUUUAAAUUUUUUUGAAUUUAUAAUGCCCUCUAGACUGACUGCUGAAAACAUCGGUCUAUGCCUCAAGGGGGCAUUGUAAAAUAUUUUUUUUAAAAUUUUCUUGCAUACACAUGUUUUGCACAUGUGGGUCACCAUGUACAAGAAAAUUUGGGUGAUUUGGAGGUGGUGGAAAAAUUCACAUUUUUUCAAAAACUGACUUAAGUUAAGACCAAAUGGUCCCUCCGGGAAUGCGGGCAUUUUUUCGACCACCUCCAAAUCACCUCAGUUUUGGCACACAUGAUCUCUUCCACAAACAAAACUAGGUUUCCAAGUUUUUGUAUUUUUUUAAUUUUUUUUGAAUUUAUAAUGCCCUCUAGACUGACUCCUGAAAACAUCGGUCUAUGCCUCAAGGGGGCAUUGUAAAAUAAAUUUUUUCAAAAUUUUCUUGCAUACACAUGUUUUGCACAUGUGGGUCACCAUGUAUAAGAAAUUUUGGGUGAUUUGGAGGUGGUGGAAAAAUUCAUGCAAGACUCGGGGACCUGCAUGCAAGACUCGGGGACCUGCAUGCAAGAGUCGGGGACCUGCAUGUGAAUAGUGAUUCAUCAAGGCCAUGACAGCUAUUGGCACAGCGGCUGCCGCCCGAUUUGUAUGCAGCGAAGAUGAACGUGCAUGGAGGUUUUUCAAAGAUUUCCAAGCACACCCCAGUGGGCCCCGCUUAUUUAAAAAAGACGUCAGUCAUUAUUGCUCUGUAAAUGAAGAAUAUGCAUGAUGAUUAUGAAUACGCAUGACAACCAUAGUAAGGGUGAAGAAUCAUAGUGCCCAAUUUGUCGAAAUACAUCAUCAUUCUUAAAGUUGGACAUCAAAUGAUACACACAGAAAAUGGAAACGAAAGAUGUCGAACUAAUAUAGUAACAUGCCAGUACAACUGCACUUCACUAAAUUACUGUCACGAUGAAAUAGAAUGUAAAGACCACGUCACACAAACAUGAAUGACACACGACUUUCUCUGGCUCAUCGUCGGUUCAUGCUGUAUGUAGAUAUCACAGUUCAGCCUCGAUAUCCUACACAGAAGAAUAGAAUAAAUCACAUGGACAUCAAUUAUGAGUAAAACACAUGCAAAAAAAAUAUGAAAAUAUUUUGUACCUCUAGCAAUUUAGCGCAUUUACGUCGAUUGUGACCUGGUUUCUUGCAAUAGCCACAGAUAUUCUGUGAUGUUGACUUCUUUGUCUUUGCCUGCAGCCUUUUCUUCGGUGCACCUCGUCCUGGCACAUGCACGGGAUCCAGAACCUUAUCAACUUUCUGUGAGUGUGGCAUCAACGGGCCAAACCUAAUGCUGUUAUGCUGAGCAUUAGUUGACUCCUUGCUGUCAGCUUGUUCAAAACUUGAUUGCUUGCCAUGAUGUUGUGCUUGCAAAAGCAUCUUUAGACGGUGAUAGUCCUCAUCAGAGUGGCAUGCCUGGAAACUUGCGGCGUGACUACAAUUCCGCAACUCGCGGUACCUCUGCAGGCUUAGCGAAUAGUCAUACAUCUGGUUUUUUCUGGUAGGUGCGUAUGCACAUUUUGCAUUCAUAGUCCACCUAGUGGGAACGCAACAACCGGGCAGAAUUGUUUGUUUUAAAAUCCCCAAUAUGUAAAAAAAUGUGGGAACAUGGUGUGCCUGCGCAUUCCAGCUUAUGGCAAGAACAACUCACCCUGUGCAAAAGACCUCCUUGCUCUUCAAUGCGCACUCCAAACUUUUUAUCCAUUCUUUCCUGCUUGGACACAACAUAAGUGGAAUCUUCUGAUCCAUCUAGUAUCUCUCUAAUCUGACAUUUGCUGACAGAAUCUAUGCUCCAUAAGACCAUCUUAAAGACACUAGGUGUGAAAACUGUUGCGGCGUGUUUCUCAAGCGGCGAAGCAUUUUCCUCUGUAAAUGGAACGGACUGCAAGGCUUCAACGUCAUGGAGAGCUUCGUUAAUCCGUCGCGACGCAAGGCAACGCUCAUAGUGCUCUAGCCUUUCAAACAACGACAUCUUACCCUCAAGAUGCGUAUGUAGCACAGAGUUCAAGCUCUCACUCCUCUGAUUACUGCUCAAUCCUAGGAAACAACGCCCCUCAAGAUAUGGAGCACACCACAACUUUCUCAUCUGAUACAUCUGAUGCAGCCAAGACUCCUCACUGGUUACUUUAUUCCGUUGUAAGAAUUGUAUUCAUUUUAUCUCAUGCUCUUCAAUGGAAGAAGUAUCAUAAAUGAAAGAUCUGAAUUCCUCCUUUACGUCGUCAUCAUGCAGAUGGCGUACAAUGUUCUGCUGAAUGUGCCAUAUACAUAGUCUAUGGUUUGAGUCUGGCCAGACCACCCUUAUUGCUCUCUGCAUUGCAAGGUCCCCAUCUGUGAUCACAGAUAUCGGAUGCUUCUGUGCCAUGCAAUCAGAAAAGGUCCGCAACAUCCACUCGUAUGCCUGGCUUGUUUCAUGAGAAAUUAAUUAUACCACAGCCAAAUAUAACAGUGCUGCGGUGGUGAUUCAACCCGACAAAAGGCACGAAUGGCAGAUUGUAUUUUUUGGUUCUGUAUGUGCUAUCGAAAACAAUGACGUCUCCGAAAGCCUCGUAGUCAAGUCGCGAUUGACUGUCAGCCCAGAACAGUCCCUUCAGAUGGCCAUGCUCGUCUACCAAGUACUUGAAGAAAAAAAUCCACAUCUCGCUCUCGCCUCGCCAUCAUAUGCAUGAUCACCGUUUUAGCAUCACCGGCACUGAUUGUCUCUUGCUUAUUAGCAUGGCAGAAAUUAUAAACGUCCCUCUUUAUGCAUCCAACCUUAUCAAAUCCACCGUAUUGGAAGCACAAAAUAUCCAUAAUACGGUAUUUGUGGAUCCCACAUUUUCCAUGUCCGCAAUGUCCGCUUUCUGCUCAUCGCUAAUUCGUCUGUGCAAACGCAACAGACAAGAAAGAUCCCAUGGGGCUAGAGGAUGGUUGUGCUCAUCGAUGAAAUCCUUGACAAACCACCGACCGGUUUCCUCUUGUCUCGUAAUGACCAAUUUAGCAUUACAUCCAACACGAGUUAAACUUUGUGGCCUCCUUUUUCUAUCUUCCAUCUUUCUUUUCAUGUGCUUAUCUUCGCGAAACCCUUGACGACUACACACAAUUUUCCUUAAAAUUAUGUAUUUGUUGGAUCCAUCCCACUCAACGUAGCUUUUCCUCACACUAAAACCUUUUUCAAGAGCAUAUUUGUUGUAGAAUUCAUAGCCUUCAGCCUCACUAUCAAACAUCUUGCUGACAACAUUUACAUACUCGAACAUACUCUCAUCACUUGCAUACGCCAUGUCUUCCUGCAUAUGACAUGUGAGGGAAACCAAUCAUCAACAUCUUUCUGUUUAUCAAUGUUGCAGGUGUAAAAUAGCUCAUAGGCAAAGACAAGUGCAUGGAAAAGACUUUGCUGGUUUGACAUGUGAGGGAAACCAAUCAUCAACGUCCAACAAGUACUAUCCUAGCAUGGAUGAUGACUCUAAUAAACUGGAUUCAUACCUGGUACGCGCGAAGAGAUGGGAUCGCCCGCCGCCGUCGCCGCCUAUUCCGUCGGCACAGAUCCGGCCUUCUUCUUCUUCGGUGACAGCGUGGGGGGCUGGGGUUGGUUGGGUGGAGGACGAGGACGAUGAAUUUAUUCCUCUCACCAGGCAGGUCGAGGACGGAGAAGGUCAGGAGCGGCGACGAAUAGAUCGGAGGAGGUUUCUGAUCUGGAUCGAGUAUACAUGGAUCUGGUCUUCGGGUGAUCGGUUCAAGAAAAGAUUUUUGUCCCUGGACCAUUAUGCCCUUAUCGCUUAAAUUUAAUCAAGUUUAAUUCCCUGCAAGAUCGGUUUUCUAAUAAUAAUCAGACGUCACCAGACAUGUAAGUACUGCUAAGUACUCCGAGUACUAACCUAAUCACCGUAAAACUGCUCCCAAAUAGGAUGACCGCUUUAGAGAAAGCAAUAAGGGAAUUCAUGGACAAUCAAACUGAGAAUGUAAUUGUAUUUGUACCGAUGAUGGGAACGAGUUCACAGAUUCUCUGACUUAGCCGAGACUAUGGCAGAGGGAUGUCAAAUUCAUAUAACUGUUCAUGCACCAUCCGACGGCAGCAAGCAAAGCCCAUGGACACACAGCAUUAUCGACCUAGAAGGGUGAUGCUGCCCAGUCCAACGCAUAGGCGAAGCAGGAAAAACGGUGCGAGGCAGCCGAAGUAUGAAUGAAGGAACCGAUCACCAAGCUGCCGAAGGAUGAGCUGCUCUGCUCUUGUGAGAGAUGUUAAAUUUUGUAGUGUUCAUUUUACCAUUCUGUAAUGUGCACUUAUGUUGCUGCUCAAUUCAGUUCCCUUCUCCCACUUGCAUUUCACAGUCAUGUCCAGUUCAGUGAGCAAAGUCUCUAAAAUUCAGCUCAUUCAAUUAUAGCAUUCAUUCACAACAACCACACUGAGAGAUCUCAACCCCUUCUGCCACUGAGUGAUCUCAACCCCUUUUGCCAUACUCAAUUCUGUUAUCAAUUUUACAACAUCAAGUGAUAUGCUCACAAAUUGACAAUGUCAAUGACCUGCUCUUAAUUUACAACAUCAUUGAUAUGCUAAAAAAUGAUAAUGUCAAUGAUCUGCUCUCAAAGUACUUCCUCUGUCCCAUAAUAUAAGAGCGUUUUUGACACUGUCUGAAACUCUCUUGUUGUUUUGUGUAAAUCAGUUUACAAUCUGAAACUCAACUGAUGUUUGCUUGUAAAUCAGUUAAUAAUGUGCUCUCAAUUUCCAGGCUAGCUUCGCCGGCGCCUGCUCGACGGAGUGGUGCAUCGAUGGCAGCCACGGCCGUCCUCCUCUUGCGAUGGUGCGGGGUCAGCGAUAUGGUGCUUGCUUAGUGCCUCCAGCAACAGCGGCGCGACCUCGCGGCGUGAUACAACCAUGACUUGUAGCCAAGGCAGCGGCAGUCGUCCUCCCAGGGCGAUCGCGAGCAAUGGCGACGGUGAGCGAUGGGUUGUUUAUGGGCUGCACAGCAUUGUUGUUAUUCUUAUUUGUUUUCACCUUGCUGCUGUCGAAUGACGCAUGUGAUUUGGAUUAGACGUCCGUCUAGCGUAAAAAUAAUACUCGAUGCUAUACAGCCCAGGUCGGGAAUCUCGAAGUGAGUUCACGAUGGAGAUAGCGAGAGUAUCUGAGCUCGUGCUCAGAACAUCACUUUCCUUAGGAAAGGGGGAACCAGGAUCGAUUCCUGGUCUCAAAGGUGACAGCGGGUGCUGCUACCAGUCCGAUCAAGUUCCGUUCGUGAUAAGUUGUAGGUGCGCGUCGUACUUGAGCCGAUUCAAGCCGGUUUUCUUUGAGUUUUUUUCCUUCUUCAUUUUUUUCAUUCUUUUUUGCACUCGUUUCUUCAUUUUUUUUCAUUUUUUUCUUUUGUUUAUUUUCUUUGUUCUUUUGGUUAUUAUUGUGCAUUUUUUGUAUACGUCAACAAUAUUUUUUUAAUACACGUCUAACAUUUUUCAAAUACAAAUCAACAAUUUUUGCAAUACAUGGCCUACAUUUUUGUAUACACAUUUUUUAAAUGCUUGAUUAUCAUUUUUCAAAUACAAUAUUAACAAUUUUAAUACAUGGUUAACAUUUUUUUAUCAUUUUUACAAAAAAAUAUAUUAAAUGCUUGAUUAACAUUUUCUUAAUAGAUGGUCAACCUUUUUUUCAUACACAUUUAACAUUUUUUCCAAACGCUUGAUUAACUUUUUCAGACCCUUGUUCGACAUUUCUUUCAAAUGCUGGAUUACAUUUCUAUAUACUUAAUCAAAUAUUUCUAUCAUUUUUAAUACAUGGUCAACAUUAUUAACAUACACAUUUAACAAUUUCCCAAUUCUUGAUUAAUAUUUUUUAAAUACUCGUUUAACAUUUCCCAAUUUUAGCUAGUUAUGGUGCAAACUAAGUGUUGUGCCUCGUCUUAAUCUAUCUAUAUAUCCUAUCUUCUAUUCGGCGACGUGGUUGCGCCCGUGGCGGAUGUGGUCGCCGCCAUGACUUGGUCGAUCUCCCUCUUCUGUAUUCGAGAAAAAAAGAUCUCCGUCUUCUCUUUAGAUGAGAUGGGGAGGAGAUGGUGAGAGAUGAGGUCAACGGCAUUGGGGAGAGGAUAAGGGUAGACGCCAGUGGUGAGGCGGCGUGAGGAAGACGAGGUGGUUGGCGGCUAGGACGCAUGAGGGGAGGGGAAGGGUGGGGAGUGGUGCGUGGAGGGAAGUGGGUGUGCGGCGUGCCCAAUUCACGAGAGAGGAGAGAGGUCGGCAAGGGAGCGACCCAUGGGAGUUUUUUUUCUUCUGAGUGAGCCUAGUUGGGCUAUCUGCUGCGUCCAAGGCCCAAUGCACCACAUGUCUUCAAAUUGGCCACCAGUAGCAGCCCUUAGAACAGACAUGGCCAUUUUGCAAAUUUAAAGACAUAAGUUUUUUGCACGCAUGAAAAACAUAACACGUAUCUUUUCACACAUAAUGAACUAUAGGUACUACCCAAAAAAACAUAAUGAACUAUAGGUUGUCACAAGAACUCAUGCCAUCCCACAACCUCCCUCUGACCCUGCCAACAUUGUUGCAACUGCACUCGCAAGUGUUAUCGUAGAUGAUCAUUUGCAUGAUUUCCCGUAAAACAAAAUAAGAUCUACAAACGAAUAGAAGCUACACAUACCUUGGCAUGCACACACAUUGCAAGCCAUACUAAGCAGAUAAGUGUUAAAAACUUGUACUCCCUCAUCUCAGUUUACAAGUCUUCCACGUGUAUCUAGGUCGUCAAUUUAAUUAUAUAAAAUAAAUUGUUUGACAUAAAUUAUAUCAUUAGAAAAUAGAAAUAUAUAUUUUGUAAUGUAUGCCUCUUAUUAAGUUGGUCAAAUUAACAAUCUAGGUACACAUGCAAGACUUUUAAACUAAGAUGGAGGGAGUACAACAUAUACAACACUUACGACAAGUAAAAGCAAUUUGAUGAGUCAUGGUCUAUCAAAGCAAGCUACAUUACUAAUCUAAUCUAUGUUAACAUGUCACACAUGAUUACAAUCUUUUUUGUGUGCAAGUCAAGCCUAUCUAGUCUACAUGUAACAACUUGUAGAACAUUACAAAAUUGAUGUUUGCUAAUAACUUUUAGAACACUACAACACUUGACAUGUAAAAAGAGUUUGAUGAGUCAUGACCUACUAAAGCAAGUUACAUUACUAGUCUCAUCUAUCUUAACAGGUCACACAAGAUUAAAAACUAAGUUCUGUGCAAGCAAUGCUUAUCUAUUUUACACAUAACAACUUGCAUAACAUUACAAACUUAGUUUUAGAAAAUUAGGCAACCUAGAUUAGUGUUUAGUUGUAAAGUGAAUAAGAUGAGUCAUGUGUGUUAUCACACCUUUUUAUGGUGGAAUGAUAGUGCCACCAAACACAACAUACCAAAAUAUGAUUUUGGGAAGCAUCCAAGCACUUUCCAGACAAGCAAAUGCCAAUUGUGAAAGAGAUAAUGCCAUGGCAGCUAUAAAUAGGCCUGUUGCAUGAUGAUCAUCCUUCCUCAUUCAUCAUUCUCAUAAGUAGAGUGCAUCAUUCAAGCCAAGCAAGCACUGGUCAAUACAAAUCCAUCAUGAAGACAUUUCUCAUCAUUUCCCUCCUUGCUAUCGUGGCGACCACCGCCACAACUGCAGUUAGAGUUCCAGUGCCACAAUUGCAGCCGCAAAAUCCAUCUCUGCAACAACCACAAGAGCAAGUUCCAUUGGUGCAACAACAACAAUUUCCAGGGCAGCAACAAACAUUUCCACCACAACAACCAUAUCCGCAGCCGCAACCAUUUCCAGGACAACAACCAUAUCCGCAGCCGCAACUAUUUCCACAGCCGCAACCUUUUCCGCCACAACUUCCAUAUCCGCAGCCGCAACCAUUUCCCCCACAACAACCAUAUCCACAACCGCAAACACAUCAUCUGCAACCACAACAACCAAUUUCGCAGCAACAAGUACAACAACAACAACAACAACAACAACAACAACAACAACAACAACAACAACAACAACAACAACAACAACAACUACUACUACAACAACAAAUCCUUCAACAAAUUCUGCAACAACAACAACUGAUUCCAUGCAGGGAUGUCAUCGUCUUGCAACAACACAACAUAGCGCAUGAAAGCUCACAAGUAUUGCAGCAAAGUAGUUACCAAGUGUUGCAACAAUUAUGUUGUCAGCAGCUGCGGCUGAUCCCCGAGCAGUCGCGGUGCCAAGCCAUCCACAAUGUCGUUCAUGCUAUUAUUCUACAUCAACAACAACAACAACAACAACAACAACAACAACAAGGACAACAUCAACCGUCGAGCCAGGUCUCCUACCAGCAGCCUCAGCAACAAUAUCCAUCAGGCCAGGGCUCCUUCCAGCCAUCUCAGCAAAAUCCACAGGCCCAGGGCUUUGUCCAACCUCAACAUCUGCCCCAACUCGAGGAAAUAAGUAACCUAGCGCUGCAGACGCUACCAGCAAUGUGCAAUGUCUACAUCCCUCCAUAUUGCUCGACCACCAUUGCGCCAUUUGGCAUCUUCGGUACUAACUGAGAAGAGAAGAACUCUAGUACUAGAUAUAUGAAACACCGUGUUCUUAGUCCAUGGUUUGGUCGUUGUACCGUUGAAAAUAUAAGGUGACAUGCACUAUCAUGUAAGAACCCGAACUAUACUAGUUCAAACAUGGGAAUAAAAGACAAACACAUGUCUUGUCUGCAUAUGAUUGUUUAUUUGAGUUCCAUUCCUAUGCCCAUUCACAAGUUCACCCGUAAUUAUAUAUAUUACACAUUAAGUAGAUAUUUAUGUUGCAUUAAUAUGAAGAUAACAAAAUGAGUCUGAAACUUGAAUUAAAUUGAAGUAUUUUCUUGGACUUUCAAAUUGUGUAUUAUUAAAGUAGUAAGGAUUAUCCACAUCCUUGGCUUGCCCUUCAUCAAUUAUUCCCAGAGAAGCUUUCAGUUCAUAAAUCAAUUACAUUGAUUUUUGUGAAUGGUACAUCUCCUCAUCACGAGUAUCAUUACGGCUACUCCAAAUCGCUCACAUAACCGAAGCAUUAAUAGCGCCCUUCUUGCAUCCGGAAAUAUGGAUCGAAGAUAUCACUUGACCAUGUUUCCAGGUGCAACCUUGGGAUUUUUAUGUCAAAAUAUUCUCAAGCAAAAUCCAAGAAUAAACUUGCAUGCUCACGUGUGAUGAGGGCAGAUGAAGUAACAUUUCCUCCCCAUGGCCACACAUAGGGCACACACAUAACCCCAUCACAUGCCUUUUUAGUUAUGCAUAUGAAAGGUAGGAUGUUUUUAAUUACUCUCUACCAAAAUACUCUUAACUUGGCUUGUACCCUAAUAUUUCGUUGCCUUUUCAAUUGUUCUUCCCCAUUAGACAAAGUAGACAGUCCAUCUACCACACCGUACCUUGUGUCCAUCAUUGCUCUGUACAACAAUUGAACAGAACAAAUGUCAUUUCUUUACGAUACCCACGACCAAAUGUCCUUUGCUGGAUUGUUUGGUCGUGGCAUAUUAAGGAUGGCCACCUCAUCUCAUGGGGUAAACACCUAAUGAAUGAAAGGAUUGUUCUAGUCGCCCGUGUUUUUCAUCGAUAAGAUCAUCUACAAGUUGGACCGAAGUUUCUCACAUGCAUCAUAGUGGUUUCAUUAGCGGCGUGCCCUGCACCCAUUUAUCACGUCGUAUCUCUGUAGUAUGUGCAUUCCCAAUUUGUCACAGCAUACCCUCCUUCAAACCUUCUUUCCCUUUCAGAUUAGCACGCCAAGUUAGCUAUGCACUAUGCGGGAACCAGCAUUUGAAAAAAAAGAAUCUCAUUUCAUGGUAUCUUCCAUGAAGGACCCUCGUACAUUAGCUAUCUAGGUAGAAAUAGCCAUGUAUGUUUGGCAAACUUUGCAUAAGUGAAUAGAUCAAGGUCGUGGAACCCCAAGCCUCCAAUUACACACGGCCUCUCUACCAAUAAGAUCUCCAAAGACAUCAAGGAUACAGACAGCCAAAAAAGAAAAUAAAAAGAAAAAAAAUAAAAAAUACCCUGCCAUGGUGAUCAAUCACAAGCAUCAGCAGCACUCUAACCACCACCAAAGACAAUGCCCAGAUUACAAAAAAAAAUUAUCCAAAAACAAUGCCCCCAAGAAGGAAACAAUACACAAGCGUUGUCGUUGCCCGAUCGAAGAUCGUGGGUUUUCACCCUGGAAAAUUUUUGAGUUCACCCAAAAACAAUGCCUUCAACAAGGCCAUUGCCAAGUACAACAAAUAUGGUCGAGACCUUGGGUUUUCACCCUAGGAAUUGAGACUCGAUGCUCGAGGAGUACCAGCAAAAAUGCAGUCCACUAGUGUUGCCGCCCCCACUUGGCAAGGCCACUGUUGCAAGUCACCAAACACCUGGCAUAUAGUUGUCAUCGCAUCCAAUACACCCUUCGGCCGAAGCUUCAAGACCUUGAUCCGUCUCCAGCGUAUCUAUAAUUUUUGAUUGUUCCAUGCUAUUAUAUUAUCUGUUUUGGAUGUUUUAUAUGAUUAUUAUGGUAUUUUAUAUGAUUUUUGGGACUAACCUAUUAAACUAGAGCCCAGUGUCAGUUCCUGUUUUUUCCUUGUUUUAGAGUUUCGUAGAAAAGGAGUACCAAACGGAGUCCAAACGGAAUUAAACUUUUGCGAUGAUUUUUCUUAGACCAGAAGACAUCUAGAGGACUUGGAGUGCAUGUUAGGAAAGCCACGAGGCUGCCACAACGACAGAGGUGCGCCCCCACCCUUGUGGGCCCCUCGUGACUCUACCGACAUAUUUCUUCCGCCUAUAUAUUCUCAAAUAUUCCAAAACAUACUAGGAGAGCCACAAAAACACUUUUCCACCGCCGCAACCUUCUGUACCCGUGAGAUCCAAUGUAGGGGCCUUUCCCGGCAUCCUGUCGGCGGGGGAUUCGAUCACUUAGGGCUUCUACAUCAACACCAUUGCCUCUCCGAUGAAGCGUGAGUAGUUUACCACAGACCUAUGGGUCCAUAGCUAGUAUCUAGAUGGCUUCUUCUCUCUCUUUGAUUCUCAAUACCAUGUUCUCCUCGAUGUUCUUGGAGAUCUAUUCGAUGUAAUACUCUUUUUGCGGUGUGUUUGCCAAGAUCCAAUGAAUUGUGGAUUUAUGAUCAGGUUAUCUAUGAGUAUUAUUUGAAUCUCCUAUGAAUUCUUAUAUGCAUGAUUUGAUAUCUUUGCAAGUCUCUUCGAACUAUCGAUUUGGUUUGGCCAACUAGAUUGGUUUUUCUUGCAAUGGGAGAAGUGCUUAACUUUGGGUUCAAUCUUGCGGUGCUCGAUCCCAGUGACAGAAGGGGAUGAUACGUCCCCAACGUAUCUAUAAUUUUUGAUUGUUCCAUGCUAUUAUAUUAUCAACCUUGGAUGUUUUAUAUGCAUUUAUAUGCUAUUUUAUAUGAUUUUUGGGACUAACCUAUUAACCCAGAGCCCAGUGCUAGUGCCAGUUUCUGUUUUUUCCUUGUUUUAGGGUUUCGAAGAAAAGGAAUAUCAAAUGGAGUCCAAACGGAAUGAAACCUUCAGAAAAUUUAUUUUUGGAAAGAAAGUAAUACGGGAGACUUGGAGUGCACGUCCGGGGAUCAACGAGGAAGCCACGAGGCAGGGGGCGCGCCCACCCCUCUUGGGCGCGCCCUCCACCCUCGUGGGCCCCUCGUGGCUCCCCAAAUGUAUUUCUUCCGCCUAUAUAUAUCCAUAUACCCCAAAACGACCGGGGAGCACAAUAGAUCGGGAGUUUCUCCGCCAGAAGCCUCCGUAGCCACCGAAAGCUAAUCUAGACCCGUUCCGGCACCCUGCCGGAGGGGGAAUCCCUCUCCGGUGGCCAUCUUCAUCAUCCCGGUGCUCUCGAUGACGAGGAGGGAGUAGUUCUCCCUCGGGGCUAAGGGUAUGUACCAGUAGCUAUGUGUUUGAUCUCUCUCUCUCUCUCUCUCUCUCUCUCUCGUGUUCUUGAGGUGAUACGAUCUUGAUGUAUCGCGAGCUUUGCUAUUAGAGUUGGAUCUUAUGUUGCUUCUCCCCCUCUACUCUCUUGUAAUGGAUUGAGUUUCCCCUUCGAAGUUAUCUUAUCGGAUUGAGUCUUUAAAAAUUUGAGAACACUUGAUGUAUGUCUUGCCGCGUGUAUCUGUGGUGACAAUGGGAUAUCACGUGAUUCACUUGAUGUAUGUUUUCGUGAUCAACUUGCGGGUUCCGCCCAUGAACCUAUGCAUAGGGGUUGGCACACGUUUUCGUCGUGAUUCUUUGGUAGAAACUUUGGUGCACUCUUUGAGGUUCUAUGUGUUGGUUGAAUAGAUGAACUUGAGAUUGUGUGAUCCAUAUCAUAUAAUCAUACCCACGGAUACUUCAGGUGACAAUGGAGUAUCUAGGUGACAUUAGGGUUUUGGUUGAUUUGUGUCUUAAGGUGUUAUUCUAGUACGAACUCUAGGGCUGUUUGUGACACUUAUAGGAAUAGCCCAACGGAUUGAUUGGAAAGAAUAACUUUGAGGUGGUUUCGUACCCUACCAUAAUCUCUUCGUUCGUUCUCUGCUAUUAGUGACUUUGGAGUGACUCUUUGUUGCAUGUUGAGGGAUAAUUAUGUGAUCCAAAUAUGUUAUUAUUGUCGAGAGAACUUGCACUAGUGAAAGUAUGAACCCUAGGCCUUGUUUCGACGCAUUGCAAUACCGUUUACGCUCACUUUUAUCAUUAGUUACCUUGCUGUUUUUAUAUUUUCAAAUUACAAAAACCUUUAUCUACCAUCCAUAUACCACUUGUAUCACCAUCUCUUCACCUAUACAAUUUACCAUUGUAUUGGGUGUGUUGGGGACACAAGAGACUCUUUGUUAUUUGGUUGCAGGGUUGCUUGAGAGAGACCAUCUUCAUCCUACGCCUCCUACGGAUUGAUAAACCUUAGGUCAUCCACUUGAGGGAAAUUUGCUACUGUCCUACAAACCUCUGUACUUGGAGGCCCAACAACGUCUACAAGAAGAAGGUUGUGUAGUAGACAUCAAGCUCUUUUCUGGCGCAGUUGCCGGGAAGGUGAGUGCUUGAAGUUAUAUCUUUAGAUCUUGCAAUCGAAUCUUUUUGUUUCUUGUUUUAGCACUAGUUUAGUUUAUAAAAGAAAACUACAAAAAAACGGAAUUGAGUUUACCUCACACGCUUCAUCUUUUUAAUAUCUUUCGUGAGUAUGAUGGAAAGAAAAAUUGUGCCAAAGUGUUAGAAGAAGAAUGCAUUAAACUGUUUGGCAUUAAAUAUUUGAAUGAUGAGCAUUAUUGCAAUGUUGUUAGUAUGAAUUCCUUGAAUAUCCAUAGUACUAAUGAUGAUUGCACUAGUUAUGAUGAAAAUGUCUCAUGUAAACAUGUCAAUUUUUGUGGAGUGCAUUGGGUUUGCAAGUACACACCAAUUAGGGAAGAUAGAUUUUGCAAGAGGCAUAAGUACUUAGAAACUAAAUUGUUGCAAGAAAGGCUAGAUGAAUGUGCUGAAAAUUUAAAUUUUCUUGGCCAUACUUGUGAGCUUUGCAAUGAACAUGGUUAUUUAACCAUCCGAUGCAAAUUGUUUCAUGAUCUAAUCGUUUCCAAAAAUUGUGAUGACUUGAUUUCCCUUGCACAUCAUAAUGAACUUAGUUUGCUUAUGGGUUAUGAGGAAAUGAAAUGUAUAACUAACUAUCUUCCAGUAUUUUCCCAUGAUAAACUUCUUGGAUUUGACCUAGAGGAAAUUUAUAUGUAUUGUGCGGUGAAUUGCAUUGAAAACCCCUAUAUUGUCAAUUACAUAAAGAAAAGAAAACAAAUAGAGGAUGAACAGAAUACUAAUGAAAGGGAAGAGACCUCCCAAUAUCCUCCUAUUAUUUCUUAUGAUGAACCAGGUAACGAGGAGGAGCCUCCUAUUCAACCAAUCUCAUUAAUAAGGAGCUCCAAAAAGAGGAUUGAACCCACACACGAUGUAGUGAAGAAGAAGAAAAGAAAGAGGAAGAGAGGUAAAAAGAUAUCUCUCCCAAAUAAUGCUGCUCCUAUUACUAUUGUGCCUCAUGAAAAUAUAAUUGUGGAAAAUAAUGAUACUUCUUAUGAUCUUGAAAAUCCUUUUGUCACUUGCUUGGAAGAAUAUGAUAAUUGCUAUACUAUUGGUGCUAUCCAUACUAUUAAUGAUGAGAGUGAUUAUGCUUAUGAUAUGAAAAGGCCCAAGCUUUGGGAUGCUAUGUUUGAUGAAGAUGAUGUUUUUGAGAAUAUAUUUGCUACAAUUAAUGUUUGUCCCAAGCUUGGGGAUGCUAUGUUUAAUCAAGAUGAUAUUUUUAGUCUCCCAAGUUUUGAUAUGCAAAUUUAUAAUGAUGAUAGCAUGCCUCCUACUUAUGAUGAUUAUUGUGAUGAUACUUAUGCUAUAAAAAGUAAUGAUUAUAUUUAUAAAACUUGUCAUGAUUAUGGUUACCCCUUUUCUGAACAUUACUCUUUUAAUGUGGAAACAAUUUAUAGUAUUCGAGUUUCUUAUGAUACUCCCACUAUUCCGAAUGAGAAGAAUUUUGCUUGUGUAGAGAGUAAUAAAAUUUCUAUGCUUGUAGAUCAUGAAAAGAAUGCUUUAGGUGCUGGUUAUAUUUUUGAAUUCAUUCAUGAUGCUACUGAAAAUUAUUAUGAGGGAGGAACAUAUGCUUGUAGGAAUUGCAAUAAUAUCAAGUUUCCUCUCUAUGUGCUUAAAGUUUUGAAGUUAUGCUUGUUUUGCCCUCCUAUGCUAGUUGAUUAUUGUUCCCAUAAGUUGUUUGCUCACAAAAUUCCUACACAUAGGAAGUGGGUUAGACUUACAUGUUCUAGUCAUAUGCUUCAUGAUGCUCUCUUUAUGUUUCAAUUCUUAUCUUUUAUGUGAGCAUCAUUGAAAUCGUCAUGCCUAGCUAGGGGCGUUAAACGAUAGCGCUUGUUGAGAGGAAACCCAACUUUAUUUUUGUUCCUUGAUUUUUGCUCCUGUCUAGCAAUAAAUAAUUUAUCUAGCAUCUGUUAUGAUUGAGUUUUUAUGUUAGAACCGUUGGGAAGACUUGGGGAAAGUCUUGGCGAUCAUGCUGUAAAAAAACAGAAACUUUAGCGCUCACGAGAAUUGCUGACAUUUUUUAUUGGAGAGUGCUAUUUGGUUAAUUAUUUUUGCAGAUGAUUAAUAGAUAAAUUCCUCACGUCCAGCAAUUUAUUUUAGAAUUUUUGAGGCUCCAGAAGUUUGCGUUAGUUACAGAUUACUACAGACUGUUCUGUUUUUGACAGAUUCUGUUUUUCGUGUGUUGUUUGCUUAUUUUGAUGAAUCUAUGGCUAGUAAAAUAGUUUAUAAACCAUAGAGAAGUUUUAAUACAGUAGGUUUAACACCAAUAUAAAUAAAUAAUGAGUUCAUUACAGUACCUUUAAGUGGUGUUUUAUUUUCUUUCGCUAACGGAGCUCACGAGUUUUCCAUUUUAAGUUUUGUGUUGUGAAGUUUUCAAGUUUUGGGUAAAGAUUUGAUGGAUUAUGGAAUAAGGAGUGGCAAGAGAAUAAGCUUGGGGAUGCCGAAGGCACCCCAAGGUAAUAUUCAAGGACAACCAAAAGCCUAAGCUUGGGGAUGCCCCGGAAGGCAUCCCCUCUUUCGUCUUCGUUCAUCGGUAACUUUACUUGGAGCUAUAUUUUUAUUCACCACAUGUUACGUGUUUUGCUUGGAGCGUCAUUUUAUUUCAUUUUUUUGCUUGCUGUUUGAAUAAAGUAUCAAGAUAUGAAAUUAUUAAGUGGGAGAGUCUUCACAUAGUUGCAUAAGUAUUCGACUACUCAUUGAUCUUCACUUACAUCUUUCAGAGUAGUUUGUCAUUUUCUCUAGUGCUUCACUUAUAUCUUUUGAGAGCACGGUGGUGGUUUUAUUUUGUAGAAAUAGAUGAACUCUCGUGCUUCACUAAUAUUAUUUUGAGAGUCCUCAGAACAGCAUGGUAAUUUGCUUUGGUUAUGAAUUUAGUCCUAAUAAGAUGGGCAUCCAAGAGGGAUAUAAUAAAAACUUUCAUAUAAGUGCAUUGAAUACUAAGAGAAGUUUGAUACUUGAUGAUUGUUUUGAGAUAUGGAGAUAGUGAUAUUAAAGUUGUGCUAUUUGACACUACUAGGAAAAGGCCUACUAAUGGCGCACCAGUUUUGCCUACUAAUGGCGCAUCACUGGUGCGCCAUUACUAGCACGCCAUUAGUAAUUUUUAGUAAUGGCGCACCACUGGUGCGCCAUUAGUAUCGGCCACGGUGCGCCAUUCGUAUAGGCCACUGGUGCGCCAUUAGUAUAGGCCACGGUGCGCCAUUAGUAUUUUUGGAUUUUGAAGGCGGGAAAAUAGUAGUGGCGCACCGUCUAACCCCCACCGUGCGCCAUUACUAUUUUUGAAUUUUGAAUUUGGAUCUGGAUCGUGAUUUUUUUGCCCAUUUUUUGCUCGUUUUUUUGCUCGUUUUUUGGCACAAUAUUAUUUCAAAUUUUGUUCUUGUUUUUGGAUCUUGUACGUUCUUUUGCCGUGUUCUUUUGCCGGAGAGGAGUUCGCCGGAGAGGAGGAGGAGGAGGUCACCGGAGAGGCGCUCGCCUACAUCGCCGGAGAGGAGGAGGAGGUCGCCGGAGAGGAGUUCACCGAAGCAUCGGAGAGGAGGAAGGAGAAACCAUGAGGGAAUGGGAGGAGAGGAGGGAGGAGAAACCAUGAGGGGAGGGGAGGAGAGGAGGGAGNNNNNNNNNNNNNNNNNNNNNNNNNNNNNNNNNNNNNNNNNNNNNNNNNNNNNNNNNNNNNNNNNNNNNNNNNNNNNNNNNNNNNNNNNNNNNNNNNNNNNNNNNNNNNNNNNNNNNNNNNNNNNNNNNNNNNNNNNNNNNNNNNNNNNNNNNNNNNNNNNNNNNNNNNNNNNNNNNNNNNNNNNNNNNNNNNNNNNNNNNNNNNNNNNNNNNNNNNNNNNNNNNNNNNNNNNNNNNNNNNNNNNNNNNNNNNNNNNNNNNNNNNGGAGAGGAGAAGGAGGUCGCCGGAGAGGAGGAGAUGGAGUGGAGGAGAGGAGGAGAUGGAGUGGAGGAGAGGAGAGGAGGAGAUGGAAUGGAGGAGAGGUGGAGUGGAGGAGGUGCGCCCAGCCAUGUAUACGACAUAGUAAUGGCGCACCGUGGGCAGGUGCGCCAUUACUAACUUUUUUUAUUUUUUGAUUUAUUUUGAAUUUUGAAGGCGGGAAGAUACUAAUGGCGCACCGUGGGCAGGUGCGCCAUUAGUAACUUUUUUUUUAUUUUUGACUAAUUUUGAAUUUUGAAGGCGGGAAGAUACUAAUGGCGCACCGUGGGCAGGUGCGCCAUUAGUAACUUUUUUUGACUAAUUUUGAAUUUUGAAGGUGGGAAGAUACUAAUGGCGCACCACGGGGUGGUGCGCCAUUAGUAACUUUUUUUUAUUUUGUUGACUUAUUUUGAAUUUUGAAGGCGGGAAGAUACUAAUGGCGCACCAUGGGCAGGUGCGCCAUUAGUAAGUUUGAAUUAUUUUUAAUUUUUUUGCCUCUCCAGAUCUUAAAAGCCCCAUAUAUUUUUUUCUGUUAGGUUUUUGAGGAUUUUAAAAAUGUUUAACGGAUUCCCCGGUUAAAUUUGGAUGUAACUUUUCGAGUAGAUGAUUUUUCAUAUAAAAAACUUUUUCAUCCGAGUUAGUAUGCAAAAGUUAUGCCCAUUUUUACAAAUUNNNNNNNNNNNNNNNNNNNNNNNNNNNNNNNNNNNNNNNNNNNNNNNNNNNNNNNNNNNNNNNNNNNNNNNNNNNNNNNNNNNNNNNNNNNNNNNNNNNNNNNNNNNNNNNNNNNNNNNNNNNNNNNNNNNNNNNNNNNNNNNNNNNNNNNNNNNNNNNNNNNNNNNNNNNNNNNNNNNNNNNNNNNNNNNNNNNNNNNNNNNNNNNNNNNNNNNNNNNNNNNNNNNNNNNNNNNNNNNNNNNNNNNNNNNNNNNNNNNNNNNNNNNNNNNNNNNNNNNNNNNNNNNNNNNNNNNNNNNNNNNNNNNNNNNNNNNNNNNNNNNNNNNNNNNNNNNNNNNNNNNNNNNNNNNNNNNNNNNNNNNNNNNNNNNNNNNNNNNNNNNNNNNNNNNNNNNNNNNNNNNNNNNNNNNNNNNNNNNNNNNNNNNNNNNNNNNNNNNNNNNNNNNNNNNNNNNNNNNNNNNNNNNNNNNNNNNNNNNNNNNNNNNNNNNNNNNNNNNNNNNNNNNNNNNNNNNNNNNNNNNNNNNNNNNNNNNNNNNNNNNNNNNNNNNNNNNNNNNNNNNNNNNNNNNNNNNNNNNNNNNNNNNNNNNNNNNNNNNNNNNNNNNNNNNNNNNNNNNNNNNNNNNNNNNNNNNNNNNNNNNNNNNNNNNNNNNNNNNNNNNNNNNNNNNNNNNNAAUUUUUUUACUAAUGGCGCACCGUGGAUGUGGUGCGCCAUUACUAGUUCAACUAGUAAUGGCGCACCACCCCCACGGUGCGCCAUUAGUAGUUUUGAAAAAAAUUAAAUUUUUUUACCAAUGGCGCACCGUGGAUGUGGUGCGCCAUUAGUAUUUGGACACUAAUGGCGUACCAACACAUGGUGCGCCAUUAGUAUAUAGUAAUGGCGCACCACAUGUCUGGUGCGCCAUUAGUGUCAAUUCCAUCUAUAGCCCUUUUCCUAGUAGUGUGAGUAGUUGUGAAUUUGAGAAAUACUUGUGUUGAAGUUUGCAAGUCCCGUAGCAUGCACGUAUGGUAAACGUUAUGUAACAAAUUUGAAACAUGAGGUGUUCUUUGAUUGUCCUCCUUAUGAAUGGCGGUCGGGGACGAGCGAUGGUCUUUUCCUACCAAUCUAUCCCCCUAGGAGCAUGCGUGUAGUGCUUGGUUUUUGAUGACUUGUAGAUUUUUGCAAUAAGUAUAUGAGUUCUUUAUGACUAAUAUUGAGUCCAUGGAUUAUAUGCAUUCUCACCCUUCCAUCAUUGCUAGCCUCUUCGGUACCGUGCAUUGCCCUUUCUCACAUUGAGAGUUGGUGCAAACUUCGCUGGUGCAUCCAAACCCCGUGAUAUGAUACACUCUUUCACACAUAAACCUCCUUAUAUCUUCCUCAAAACAGCCACCAUACCUACCUAUUAUGGCAUUUCCGUAGCCAUUCUGAGAUAUAUUGCCAUGCAACUUUCCACCAUUCUGUUUGUCAUGACACAUUCAUCAUUGUCAUAUUGCUUAGCAUGAUCAUGUAGUUGACAUAGUAUUUGUGGCAAAGCCACCGUUCAUAAUUAUUUCAUACAUGUCACUCUUGGUUCAUUGCAUAUCCCGGUACACCGCCGGAGGCAUUCAUAUAGAGUCAUAUCUUGUUCUAGUAUCGAGUUGUAAAUAAAUAGAAGUGUGAUGAUCAUCAUUAAUAGAGCAUUGUCCCAAAAAAAGGAAGAGAACGACCAAAUAAAAAAGGGAAGCCCCCCACCCAAAAAAGAAAAGAAAGGCCAGAUAAAAAAUAAAAAAAAUAAAAAAAAUAAAAGGGACAAUGCUACUAUCCUUUUUCCACACUUGUGCUUCAAAGUAGCACCAUGAUCUUUAUGAUAGAGAGUCUCUUGUUUUGUCACUUUCAUAUACUAGUGGGAAUUUUUUAUUAUAGAACUUGGCUUGUAUAUUCCAACAAUGGGCCUCCUCAAGUGCCCUAGGUCUUUGUGAGCAAGCAAGUUGGAUGCACACCCACUUAGUUUCUUUUGUUGAGCUUUCAUACAUUUAUGGCUCUAGUGCAUCCGUUGCAUGGCAAUCCCUAAUCCUUGCAUUGACAUCAAUUGAUGGGCAUCUCCCUAGCCCAUUGAUUAGCCGCGUCGAUGUGAGACUUUCGCCUUUUGGUCUUCUCCACAUAACCCCCUCAUUAUAUUCUAUUCCACCCAUAGUGCUAUAUCCAUGGCUCACGCUCAUGUAUUGCGUGAAAGUUGAAAAAAGUUUGAGAUUACUAAAGUAUGAAACAAUUACUUGGCUUGUCAUCGGGGUUGUGCACAAUGAGAGCAUUCUUGUGUGACGAAAAUGGAGCAUGGCCAAACUAUAUGAUUUUGUAGGGAUGAACUUUCUUUGGCCAUGUUAUUUUGAGAAGACAUGAUUGCUUAGUUAGUAUACUUGAAGUAUUAUUAUUUUUAUGUCACUAUUAAACUUUUGUCUUGAAUCUUAUGGAUCUGAAUAUUCUUGCCACAAUAAAGAGAACUACAUGGAUAAAUAUGUUAGGUGGCAUUCUACAUCAAAAAUUCUGUUUUUAUCUUUUAGCUACUCCAGGACGAGCAGGAAUUAAGCUUGGGGAUGCUGAUACGCCUCCAACGUAUCUAUAAUUUUUAUUGUUCCAUGCUAUUAUAUUAUCAACCUUGGAUGUUUUAUAUGCAUCUUUAUGCUAUUUUAUAUCAUUUUUGGGACUAACCUAUUAACCUAGAGCCCAGUGCCAGUUUCUGUUUUUUCCUUGUUCUAGGGUUUCGAAGAAAAGGAAUAUCAAAUGGAGUCCAAACGGAAUGAAACCUUCGGAAAAGUUGUUUUUGGAAAGAAAGCAAUACAGGAGACUUGGAGUGCACGUCAGCGGAUCAACGAGGAAGCCACGAGGCAGGGGGCGCGCCCACCCCCUGGGCGCGCCCUCCACCCUCGUAGGCCCCUCGUGGCUCCCCUAAUGUAUUUCUUCCGCCUGUAUGUACCAAUAUACCCUAAAACGAUCGGGGAGCACAAUAGAUUGGGAGUUCCGCCGCCAGAAGCCUCUGUAGCCACUAAAAGUGAAUCUAGACCCGUUCCGGCACCCUGCCGGAGGGUGAAUCCCUCUCCGGUGGCCAUCUUCAUCAUCCCGGUGCUCUCCAUGACGAGGAGGGAGUAGUUCUCCCUUGGGGCUGAGGGUAUGUACCAGUAGCUAUGUGUUUAAUCUCUCUCUCUCUCUCUCUCGUGUUCUUGAGGUGAUACGAUCUUGAUGUAUCGCGAGCUUUGCUAUUAUAGUUGUAUCUUAUGUUUCUUCUCCUCCUCUACUCUCUUGUAAUGGAUUGAGUUUCCCCUUCGAAGUUAUCUUAUCGGAUUGAGUCUUUAAAGAUUUGAGAACACUUGAUGUAUGUCUUGCCGCGUGUAUCUGUGGUGACAAUGGGAUAUCACGUGAUUCACUUGAUGUAUGUUUUCGUGAUCAACUUGCGGGUUCCGCCCAUGAACCUAUGCAUAGGGGUUGGCACACGUUUUCGUCGUGAUUCUUUGGUAGAAACUUUGGUGCACUCUUUGAGGUUCUAUGUGUUGGUUGAAUAGAUGAACUUGAGAUUGUGUGAUGCAUAUCGUAUAAUCAUACCCACAGAUACUUGAGGUGACAAUGGUUUGCUCACAAAAUCCCUAUGCAUAGGAAGUGGGUUAGACUUAAAUGUUCUAGUCAUAUGCUUCAUGAUGCUCUCUUUAUGUUUCAGUUCUUAUCUUUUAUGUGAGCAUCAUUGAAAUCAUCAUGCCUAGCUAGGGGCGUUAAACGAUAGCGCUUGUUGGGAGGAAACCCAACUUUAUUCUUGUUCCUUGCUUUUUGCUCCUGUUUAGCAAUAAAUAACUUAUCUAGCCUCUGUUAUGAUUGAGUUUUUAUGUUUUAAUUAGUGUUUGUGCCAAGUAGAACCGUUGGGAAGACUUGGGGAAAGUCUUUGCGAUCAUACUGUAAAAAACAGAAACUUCAGCGCUCACGAGAAUUGAUGGGCAUCUCCUUAACCCAUUGAUUAGCCGCGUCGAUGUGAGACUUUCUCCUUUUUGUCUUCUCCACAUAACCCCCUCAUUAUAUUCUAUUCCACCCAUAGUGCUAUAUCCAUGGCUCACGCUCAUGUAUUGCGUGAAAGUUGAAAAAAGUUUGAGAUUACUAAAGUAUGAAACAAUUGUUUGGCUUGUCAUCGGGGUUGUGCAUGAUGAGAGCAUUCUUGUGUGACGAAAAUGGAGCAUGACCAAACUAUAUGAUUUUGUAGGGAUGAACUUUCUUUGGCCAUGUUAUUUUGAGAAGACAUGAUUGCUUAGUUAGUAUGCUUGAAGUAUUAUUAUUUUUAUGUCAAUAUUAAACUUUUUUCUUGAAUCUUAUGUAUUUGAAUAUUCUUGCCGGAAUAAAGAGAACUACAUGGAUAAAUAUGUUAGGUAGCAUUCCACAUCAAAAAUUCGGUUUCAUUAGCGGCGUGCCCUGCACCCAUUUAUCACGUCGUAUCUCUGUAGUAUGCGCAUUCCCAAUUUGUCACGGCAUACCCUCCUUCAAACCUUCUUGCCCUUUCAGAUUAGCACGCCAAGCUAGCUAUGCACUAUGCGGGAACCUGCAUUUGAAAAAAAAGAAUCUCAUUUCAUGGUAUCUUCCAUGAAGGACCCUCGUACAUGAGCUAUCUAGAUAGAAAUAGCCAUGUAUGUUUAGCAAACUUUGCAUAAGUGAAUAGAUCAAGGUCGUGGAACCCCAAGCCUCCAAUUACACACGGCCUCUCUACCAAUAAGAUCUCCAAAGACAUCAAGGAUACAGACAGCCAAAAAAGAAAAUAAAAAGGAAAAAAAUAAAAAAUACCCCACCAUGGUGAUCAAUCACAAGCAUCAGCAGCACUCUAACCACCACCUAAGACAACGCCCAGAUUACAAAAAAAAUUCUCCAAAAGCAAUGCCCCCAAGAAGGAAACAAUACACAAGCGUUGUCGUUGCCCGAUCGAAGAUCGUGGGUUUUCACACUGGAAAAUUUUUGAGUUCACCCAAAAACAAUGCCUUCAACAAGGCCAUUGCCAAGUACAACAAAUAUGGCUGAGACCUUGGGUUUUCACCCUAGGAAUUGAGAGUCGAUGCUCGAGGAGUACCACCAAAAAUGCAGUCCACUAGUGUUGCCGCCCCCACUUGGCGAGGCCGCUGUUGCAAGUCACCAAACACCUGGCAUAUAGUUGUCAUCGCAUCCAAUACACCCUUCGGCCGAAGCUUCAAGACCUUGAUCCGUCUCCAACGUAUCUAUAAUUUUUGAUUGUUCCAUGCUAUUAUAUUAUCUGUUUUGGAUGUUUUAUAUGAGUAGGGCGUUUUGGUGCCCAGGCUCAUCUGCACCCGGUUAGAAAAAAUUCAUAAAAAAUUUAAACAAAUUCAAAAAAUUCCAAAUAAAAUUUGUAUGGUAGACAAUUUGAUGCGUGAGGCCCGCCUCAAAUUUCAAGUCAUUUGGAUAUAUGAGAAGCUCUCAGCAAAAAAGACAAAUCGGACUAAAACAGUACAUGAACAGUAAACAUUUUUACAGACCCUCAAUUUGUCUUUUUUGCUGAGAGCUGCUCAUAUGUUCAAAUGACUUGAAAUUUGGAGCGUGCCUCACGCAUCAAAAUUUCUAUCACACAAAUUUUAUUUGGAAUUUUUCGAAUUUUUCUAGUAUUUGUUUUGAUUUUUUUCGUCGGCACAGGUGCAGAUGAGCUCAGGUGCAGAAAUGGAUUUUCGGUUUUAUUUGCACUAUUAUGCUAUUUUAUAUGAUUUUUGCGACUAACCUAUUAAACUAGAGCCCAGUGCCAGUUCCUGUUUUUUCCUUGUUUUAGAGUUUCACAGAAAAGGAAUACCAAACGGAGUCCAAACGGAAUGAAACUUUUGCGAUGAUGUUUCUUAGACCAGAAGACAUCUAGAGGACUUGGAGUGCACGUUAGGAAAGCCAUGAGGUGGCCACAAUGACGGAGGGCACGCCCCCACCCUUGUGGGCUCCUCGUGACUCUACCGACCUAUUUCGUCCGCAUAUAUAUUCUCAAAUAUUCCAAAACCUACUAGGAGAGCCACAAAAAAACUUUUCCACCGUCGCAACCUUCUGUACCCAUGAGUUCCCAUCUAGGGGCCUUUUCCGGCAUCCCGUCGGAGGGGGAUUCGAUCACGGAGGGCUUCUACAUCAACACCAUUGCCUCUCCGAUGAAGCGUGAGUAGUUUACCACAGACCUAUGAGUCCAUAGCUAGUAUCUAAACGGCUUCUUCUCUCUCUUUGAUUCUCAAUACCAUGUUCUCUUCGAUGUUCUUGGAGAUCUAUUCGUUGUAAUACUCUUUUUGCGGUGUGUUUGCCGAGAUCCGGUGAAUUGUGGAUAUAUGAUCAGGUUAUCUAUGAAUAUUAUUUGAAUCUCCUAUGAAUUCUUAUAUGCAUGAUUUGAUAUAUUUGCAAGUCUCUUCGAACUAUCGAUUUGGUUUGGCCAACUAGAUUGGUUUUUCUUGCAAUGGGAGAAGUGCUUAACUUUGGGUUCAAUCUUGCGGUGCUCGAUCCCAGUGACAGAAGGGGAUGAUACGUCUCCAACGUAUCUAUAAUUUUUGAUUGUUCCAUGCUAUUAUAUUAUCAACCUUGGAUGUUUUAUAUGCAUUUAUAUGCUAUUUUAUAUGAUUUUUGGGACUAACCUAUUAACCUAGAGCCCAGUGCCAGUGCCAGUUUCUGUUUUUUCCUUGUUUUAGGGUUUCAAAGAAAAGGAAUAUCAAACAGAGUCCAAACGGAAUGAAACCUUCGGAAAAGUUAUUUUUGGAAAGAAAGCAAUACGAGAGACUUGGAGUGCACGUCAGGGGAUCAACGAGGAAGCCACGAGGCAGGGGCACGCCCUCCACCCUCGUGGCUCCCCUAAUGUAUUUCUUCCGCCUAUAUAUAUCCAUAUACCCUAAAAUGAUCGGGGAGCACAAUAGAUCGGGAGUUCCGCCACCAGAAGCCUCCGUAGCCACCGAAAGCCAAUCUAGACCCGUUCCGGCACCCUGCCGGAGGAGGAAUCCCUCUUCGGUGUCCAUCUUCAUCAUCCCGGUGCUCUCCAUGACGAGGAGGGAGUAGUUCUCCCUCAGGGCUGAGGGUAUGUACCAGUAGCUAUGUGUUUGAUCUCUCUCUCUCUCUCUCUCUCUCUCUCUCGUGUUCUUGAGGUGAUACGAUCUUGAUGUAUCGCGAGCUUUGCUAUUAGAGUUGGAUCUUAUGUUUCUUCUCCCCCUCUACUCUCUUGUAAUGGAUUGAGUUUCCCCUUCGAAGUUAUCUUAUCGGAUUGAGUCUUUAAAGAUUUGAGAACACAUGAUGUAUGUCUUGCCGUGCGUAUCUGUGGUGACAAUGGGAUAUCACGUGAUUCAUUUGAUGUAUGUUUUGGUGAUCAAGUUGCGGGUUCCACCCAUGAACCUAUGCAUAGGGGUUGGCACACAUUUUCGUCAUGAUUCUCCGGCAGAAACUUUGGGGCACUCUUUGAGGUUCUAUGUGUUGGUUGAAUAGAUGAAUCUGAGAUUGUGUGAUGCAUAUCGGAUAAUCAUACCCACGGAUACUUGAGGUGACAAUGGAGUAUCUAGGUGACAUUAGGGUUUUGGUUGAUUUGUGUCUUAAGGUGUUAUUCUAGUACGAACUCUAGGGCUGUUUGUGACACUUAUAGGAAUAGCCCAAUGGAUUGAUUGGAAAGAAUAACUUGGAGGUGGUUUCGUACCCUACCAUAAUCUCUUCGUUCGUUCUCCGCUAUUAGUGACUUUGGAGUGAUUCUUUGUUGCAUGUUGAGGGAUAGUUAUGUGAUCCAAUUAUGUUAUUAUUGUUGAGAGAACUUGCACUAGUGAAAGUAUGAACCCUAGGUCUUGUUUCAACGCAUUGCAAUACCGUUUACGCUCACUUUUAUCAUUAGUUACCUUGCUGUUUUUAUAUUUUCAGAUUACAAAAACCUUUAUCUACCAUCCAUAUACCACUUGUAUCACCAUCUCUUCGCCGAACUAGUGCACCGAUACAAUUUACCAUUGUAUUGGGUGUGUUGGGGACACAAGAGACUCUUUGUUAUUUGGUUGCAGGGUUGGUUGAGAGAGACCAUCUUCAUCCUACGCCUCCUACAGAUUGAUAAACCUUGGGUCAUCCACUUGAGGAAAAUUUGCUACUGUCCUACAAACCUUUGCACUUGGAGGCCCAACAACGUCUACAAGAAGAAGGUUGUGUAGUAGACAUCAGGGGAACCGACACAUAUUGUAGUGUUUCCAUCGAGGAUAACAAGAUGGGGUUUUCGUCAUAUUGCUUGAGUUUAUCCCGCUACAUCAAGUCAUCUUACUUAAUGCGUUAUCCUGUUCUUAUGAACUUAGUACUCUAGGUGCAGGCAGGAGUCAGUGGACGUGUGGAGUAAUAGUAGUAGAUGCAAGCAGGAGUCCGUCUACUUGAUACAAACAUGAUGCUUAUGUUCAUGAUCAUUGCCUUAGAUAUCGUCAUAAGUUUGCACUUUUCUAUCAAUUGCUCAGCAGUAAUUUGUUCACCCACCGUAAGAUUUUCUAUCUUGAGAGAAGCCUCUAGUGAAACCUAUGGCCCCGGGGUCUACUUUCCAUCAUAUAAGUUUCUGAUCUACAAUUGUGUUGGUUGAAUAGAUGAAUCUGAGAUUGUGUGAUGCAUAUCGUAUAAUCAUACCCACGGAUACUUGAGGUGACAAUGGAGUACCUAGGUGACAUUAGUGUUUUGGUUGAUUUGUGUCUUAAGGUGUUAUUCUAGUACGAACUCUAGGGCUGUUUGUGACACUUAUAGGAAUAGCCCAACGGAUUGAUUGGAAAGAAUAACUUUGAGGUGGUUUCGUACCCUACCAUAAUCUCUUCGUUCGUUCUCCGCUAUUAAUGACUUUGGAGUGACUCUUUGUUGCAUGUUGAGGGAUAGUUAUGUGAUCCAAUUAUGUUAUUAUUGUUGAGAGAACUUGCACUAGUGAAAGUAUGAACCCUAGGCCUUGUUUCAACGCAUUACAAUACCGUUUACGCUCAGUUUUAUCAUUAGUUACCUUGCUGUUUUUAUAUUUUCAGAUUACAAAAACCUUUAUCUACCAUCCAUAUACCACUUGUAUCACCAUCUCUUCGCUGAACUAGUGCACCUAUACAAUUUACCAUUGUAUUGGGUGUGUUGGGGACACAAGAGACUCUUUGUUAUUUGGUUGCAGGGUUGCUUGAGAGAGACCAUCUUCAUCCUACACCUCCUACGGAUUGAUAAACCUUAGGUCAUCCACUUGAGGGAAAUUUGCUACUGUCCUACAAACCUCUGCACUUGGAGGCCCAACAACGUCUACAAGAAGAAGGUUGUGUAGUAGACAUCAGGGGAACCGACACAUAUUGUAUUGUUUCCAUCGAGGAUAACAAGAUGGGGUUUUCGUCAUAUUGCUUGAGUUUACCCCGCUACAUCAAGUCAUCUUACUUAAUGCGUUAUCCUGUUCUUAUGAACUUAAUACUCUAGAUGUAGGCAGGAGUCGGUGGACGUGUGGAGUAAUAGUAGUAGAUGCAAGCAGGAGUCAGUCUAGUUGAUACAAACGUGAUGCUUAUGUUCAUGAUCAUUGCCUUAGAUAUCGUCAUAACUUUGCGCUUUUAUAUCAAUUGCUCAACAGUAAUUUGUACACCCACUGUAAGAUUUUCUAUCUUGAGAGAAGCCUCUAGUGAAACUAUGGCCCCGGGGUCUACUUUCCAUCAUAUAAGUUUCCGAUCUACAAUUUUAGUUUCCUAUCACUUCCUUUGCAAUCUUUUACUUUCCAUUCCAUAAACCAAAAAUACCAAAAAUAUUACUUUACCGAUUAUCCAUCUCUAUCAGAUCUCACCUUGCAAAUAACCAUGAAGGAUUGACAACCCCUUUGUCGCAUUAGGUGUAAGUUGCUAUUUGUUUGAGCAUGUAUUCAGUGACUUGUGCAUUGUCUCCUACUGGAUUGAUACCUUGGUUCUCAAAACUGAGGGAAAUACUUACUCUACUUUGCUGCAUCACCCUUUCCACUUCAAGGGAAAAACCAACGCAAGCUCAAGAGGAAGUAGGAAGAAUUUCUGGCACCGUUGCCGGGGACAUCUACGCCAAGUCAAGACAUACCAAGUACCCAUCAUAAACUCUCAUCUCUUGCAUUAUAUUAUUUGCCAUUCGCCUCUCGUUUUCCUCUCCCCCACUUCUAAAAUGAUUUGCCUUUUCUUCGCCCUCUUCCAUUCAUCUUCUUCGCUUGCUUUUUGUGUGCUCAUGUGUUGGAUUGCUUGCUUUGUCACGAUGUCUCAAGAGAAUACCAAAUUGUGUGACUUUUCCAAUACCAACAACAAUGAUUUUAUUAGUACCCCGAUUGCUCCCGCUACUAAUGCGGAAUCUUGUGAAAUUAAUGCUGCUUUGCUGAGUCUUGUUAUGAAAGAUCAAUUUUCCGGCCUUCCCAAUGAAGAUGCCGCAUCCCAUCUAAACAAUUUCGUUGAUUUGUGUGAUAUGAAAAAGAAAAAAGAUAUGGAUAAUGAUAUUGUUAAAUUGAAGCUAUUUCCGUUGUCACUUCGAGAUCGUGCUAAAACUAGGUUUUCAUCUUUGCCUAAAAAUAGCGAGUGUCAUUUUUUAAUGCGAGUGAUUAGUUUUUAAAGAAUGAUUGGCAUUCUUUCUUAAUUGCUCAUCUACUAAUCGUUUGGCGUGUUUUCUUAUCUUGUCAAAAUCAUAUCCCCUGGCUGUAAAUAUCAAAGAAUAAUUUCAUUUGUUGGGCUUGGACUGUACUGUCCGAGAGUCAGAGUAUAAAUACCAUACGAUUUCAAGAGCAAUAGCAACGGGGCAACCAUUAGUCCAUACUCUACACCAUAUGGCUAGAAAUUUUAUAUUAUAUAUAACAAAGUUGUGACAAAUUGGAAAUGGAAAGCAAUAAAAUGAAUAUGUUGCUAUAGGUUAUUAUUAUUACACAUGCACGUGUACCUUGAUCCUUGCUUGGACAUAGGGUCCGAGGAAGUUACAUUGCUUUGACUACUGAUAUUGUUUGUGUUAAAGUGUGCCACAAUGGCAUAAAUAUUGUCGUUGCAUAAUGGGAAACCACGUCAUAUUUAUCGAUGAUAUGUGGAAAUAGGGAUAAGCUACUUUAUGAAGAUAUAUAAGGAUGUAUGGGUUACGUUGGUGGAAAAUGUUGUUAUGAACACAAAUGCAGUUGCAUUUAUCAUGCAUUCGCGGUGAAGUGCGCUAUUGUGGCAUAUAUCUUCCUUUUUGCCACAGAAGCAUGGUAGAAUUAUAAAGAGAGUAUGUUUCUAUAGACAUUUCAAAAAAGAGAUUUGUGUAUACUCUCAUUAUACUGUAAUCACCAUAGAUUAUUCAGAUUAGAAGUUGUUGUCUCUACCACAUAUUUAGAUUUUCUAUACAUACUAAUAUCUAUAUCGCAUAGAAAAUCAUGUAUUUAUAUGAGAUCUUUGUGGUGCAUGAUAAAGCAAGAUUCCUUUUGUUAUUGCAGCAAUUUAUAAGUAUUUAAAUAUAUACUAAUAGCUAGUUUCUUCUGUGUUAUAAGGACAAAAUAAGACAUGCAUAGACAUGCAAAUACGUAUUAGAAAUCUGCUACUCCAAAUGUAUCAUGUUAAUCCAUGUAAGCCACGAAUCGCGUGCAUAUCAGGCAAAGCAGUUUUUUUUGUAAAAACAAUACAUAAUACUAAUCGAUGGUAUAGACGAUUCAAUACAUAUGCAUCAAGACACCGCUACCUUGCACAUAGUGAUAUAGGAUGGAAUUGAAUCUGAUCCGCUCCUUUCCAACUUAAUCGAGUAAUGUGUACUUCUCAUAAAUAGGCAUGUAUAUAGUAAUUGUUCUUUUGACCAAACGCUUGGUAUAUUAAUGAUCACAUUAUACAUUUAUGUAACAUUUCUUACUUGCGAAAUCUUUUACAAAUUGGAAUAUGGGAAUUUUAUUAAUACCUAGAAGAAAUACUACUAUUUAGAACAUAUAAUAACUGGUACUAUACUUUUUCUUAAUAUUGGUACUAUACUUAAUUGGACCAAAAGUUGCACAUAUUUUUGAUUAGUUCAUUUUUUUCUACAGAUUUAUCGGCGCCAUUAUUUCUCUAUGGUUGACAUGUAUAUGAACUACUGUCUGUAUAUAUUGAUCUGCAUUUAGACAAAUAUCAGGGACAAACACACAUACUGUUUAGCAUGUGUAGUUGUAAAGGUAGAAUACUGAUUUGUAGUAUUAAGAAAAUAUAUUUAUAAGAUCUUACUACAAUGUAUAUGGAUUGAGAAUCAGAGAAAUAACCAAGUGUUGUGCAAGGAUCAUUCUGACUAUCCAGUGGCAGAAUAAAAAUAGGAUGCUAAGCGCGGGGAGAAUACUUAUGUCCUAUAAACCUGCAAAUAAGAAGCAUGCAUUCACCAUAUAUUAGAAUUCCAAAUUUUAUAGUUCCUUUGCAUGUUGGAAAUAAGCUUUGCCCCUUGUGAUAUGGAUUAUCACGUAGAAUGGAAAGAGGAGAAAAAAAUUAUGGCUUAGCAGAAUCAAUGAGGAAAAGCACUACAUGUGAAGUAUCAAAACGUUGUGAUAGCACGAACCCCACCAGAUUUGAACUCGUGCUCUUAGUAUGACAUGAAAAGAGGGGCUACUCUCCAAUCGAAGUGAAAAUAGUAGAACUUUGAACUUAUAUAUAUAUACGCUUAAAAAUUCUAAAAGCAAAUGGUCAAAAACUCAGAAUAGCUUGAGCGGGCACUACUUGCUAACUCAAGCACAUGGCAACACAGUAUUAAGUCAAGAUUUUGCAACCGAGAGGGAAAGUCAAAUAAAUAAAUAAAUAAAUAAGGAUUCUCAUCAAACCUGUGAAUCCAAGCUAGUAUCUAACUAUUGUAUUGCUCAUAGUUUUGCAUACACCAUGGAACGUACGAUACAUAGCAUGUUGAAAAAUUAUAACCAAUUAAAUAGAAGAUAAAGGCAUAGUGCUAGGAGAUCAUCUCUCAGAGCAAUCAUCGCUGACAUAAACCUUCGGUUAAAUCACAUGUCUAAUUAGAACCUAGAGGUCUUUUACUUUUCCUUUAUAUGGAACCUUUAUUUUGACCUUUGGGGACUAUAGCCGCCUCAAAUAUGCAACUUUUUUUCGAAAUUUUAGUAUAGUGUAGUUGGAGCUUUUCCUGGUGUUCCAUAAAAAUAGCAAAGGGCAUAUUUCCUUUAGCCUACUUAUAUAUAAAAAAACGGCGUUCCUUAAUUAUUAUUCAAACUGAAAACACAUGCUAUCUUUAAAAGCAAAGAUGUACCUUAUGUGAGAAUCAUGCAUGUGUUAUUUCUAAUUAGUUAGGCAAUAAAAUAAUAGCAUCGUAUCAUUAGAUAAAUUAUUUUUCAACUGAAUCAGACAUGUGGGGUUUGACAAAAUUGAAAGUAUAUGCGAAGAUGUUAAGGAGAAAAUGUCAAUAUAAAAAAACUGUUUCUAUAGGCAGAUGUGAAUUACGUACAAAAAUAGGUCUGUUCGCUUUACAAAAGUUCUGGUGAAACCAAACUCCUGAGUUACUACAUGUAGAGCUCAAAAAUACCAGAUAUAGAGUAUAAAAUGAGAAUGGAAUACUAAGUGCAUCUUACAGAAAUUAUAAGAUCUUUUUAAUAGCUUCCUCAAUAUUACAUAGCAUACACAACAAUGAGGCAUCAAAUGAAUCAGUAUUCUAAAUAUGUAAAGAAGAAUAAGAAACACAAAGUAGCUGCUGCUCGAGCAACUACUACAUGCAAAUACAAUGCUUGAGAAUUUUCAAGCGUUCUGUUCGCUUUUUACCCUGAUUCAGCAUGGAUUAAAAAACCACAGUACUUAAUUCCGUGUAUCCUAAAUUCAAGCGUCAUGUUCGACGAAUUUCACCAUAGAUUUACAUGCCUGUGGACUUGUAGAACCAACAGCGCACUCUACAACAUCCGACAGAUAAAUCGAUCUGCUUUCCGUUCGCUGUAGGUUGUUCAUUGGGAAGCAGCACGAUCCACUUUAGACCACCAUCAGUAGACCUGAUCCUACGCUGCAUCGCAUUGUUAUAUUGCAGUCAGCUCGGAACUUAUGUCAAGGAGAAUAGUUAGACGAUGGAUUUGAUAUUUGGCCUUUUUGAGAUCUGAAACGUGUGUGUACUUCGUAGCUGUCAGCAGGUGGAAGGCCGUCCUGACAAAGAGGCAUAUUGCAUCCUAAAUUCAAGCACCAUGUUCGAAAAAAAAUCAGUAUGGGUUUACUUGCCUGUGGACUUGUAGAACCAACAUCAAACCCGACAAAAUCGGACAGAUAAAUCGAUCUGCUUUCCGUUCGUAGUAGGUUCUCCAAUGGGCAGCAGCACGAUCCACUUUAGACCACCUGAUCCUACGCUGCAUCUUGCAGUCAGCUCCGAACUUAACCCAGAAGAAUAGUUAGACGAUGGAUUUGAUAGUUGGCCUUUUUUUAGAUCAGAAUUGUAGGUGCAGGGUGGCUCGGCGAUCCUGACAAAGAUGAGAUUGAUCGGGGUCGCUAAUAAUCCCUUGUAGCACCUGCCGGGAUCCUUUGUGGUUCGCCGAGUGCACUUGAUGGCGAUGGGAUCAAGGGAAGAGAAGAAUUGAAGGAGGUGGGGUCGAGGGACAUGUUUUUCCUAUUUUAGGGGGAGAUAUCUUUCCUUUCUGUUUUUGCGUGAUUGUUUUCGUUUUUCAAUCGGCCGAAGAUUUUAUUGACAGAUCUAUUUUCUUUUUCUUUUCAUCACGGGAUUUUACAUGAAAGGAGGCUAUCUUUUUUUAGCAUGGAAGGAAGAUAUCUUUUUUAAAGGAACCGAUGGAUGCUUUGUUUGUUUGUUAAGCCAAUCUUGACGGUGUCGCGUUCCUUUAUUUUUUACGGGGCCAUAUAUGCUACCAUUGAUUGCAAUUAGUUUUUUUCUCUUGGAGAUGGAUUAUUUGUUUGUUGAACGUGUCUGCCUUAAUUAUGGAUGGACCAUCUGUGUAACGCAUGUUUACUUUUUAUCUUGGACGUUAAUUCUAUAAUCUAUCGGUGUAAUUAAUUUUGAUGAUGUGGAUUAAUGAGAAGGCCUUAAAAGGUGCCUCCAAUUAGUAAAUAUAUAAGAUAUAAGAUAUUGAUUCAUGGAAUAAGUUUAAGGAUGAAUUUAUUUCCAAGUAUUUUCCUCCCGCUAAGAUCAUCUCUCUUAGGAACGACAUUAUGAAUUUUAACCAACUUGAUCAUGAACAUGUUGCACAAUCUCCGUAGAGGAUGAAAUUGAUGAUAUGAAAUUGCCCUACACAUGGUUUGAAUAUGUGGAUGAUUAUACAAUUUUUUAUGCCGGAUUGAAUUUUGCUUCUAGAAAUCUUUUAGAUUCGGCCGUGGGAGGUACUUUUAUGGAAAUUACUUUAGGAGAAGCUACUAAACUCCUAGAUAAUAUUACGGUUAAUUAUUCUCAAUGGUAUACUGAAAGAUCUUCCACUAGUAAAAAAGUGCAUGCGAUUGAUGAGUUUAAUGUUUUGAGUGGAAAGAUGGAUGACCUUAUGAAAUUAUAUGCUAGCAAGAGUGCUUCUGUUGAUCCUAAUGAUAUGCCUUUGUCUACUUUGAUUGAGAAUAAUAAUGAAUCUAUGUAUGUGAAUUUUGUUGGUAGGAACAAUUUUGGUAAUAACGCUUAUGGAGGUAAUUUUAAUCCUAGACUGCUUCCUAAUAAUUCCCCUAAUAAUUAUGGCAAUUCCUACAACAAUUCUUCACUGGUAGAAAAAGGGCCUGUAGUCCCGGUUCGUAAGGGCCUUUAGUCCCGGUUCCUGAACCGGGACUAAAGUGUCGGUACUAAUACCUCCCACCUUUAGUCCCGGUUCAAUCCAGAACCGGGACUAAAGCCCAUCCACGUGGGCAGUGUGCAGAGCCCAGUCAGGAGACCCUUUGGUCCCGGUUGGUGGCACCAACCGGGACCAAUAGGCAUCCACGCGUCAGCAUUUCUGUGNNNNNNNNNNNNNNNNNNNNNNNNNNNNNNNNNNNNNNNNNNNNNNNNNNNNNNNNNNNNNNNNNNNNNNNNNNNNNNNNNNNNNNNNNNNNNNNNNNNNNNNNNNNNNNNNNNNNNNNNNNNNNNNNNNNNNNNNNNNNNNNNNNNNNNNNNCCGGUUCAAUCCAGAACCGGGACUAAAGCCCAUCCACGUGGGCAGUGCGCAGAGCCCAGUCAGGAGACCCUUUGGUCCCGGUUGGUGGCACCAACCGGGACCAAUAGGCAUCCACGCGUCAGCAUUUCUGUGGCUAGGGUUUUUAUUUUUAUUUUUUGAAAGGGGGGGGGGGUUGGGGGUUUUGGGGGGUUAAUUUAGGUGUUUCAUAUAUUGUGUUAGCUAGCUAUAAUUAAUAUAGAGAAGUGUCCUCUCUUAUGUCCGUGCUUGGUCGACGCUACGUACUAUACAUACGUAUAGAGAGGACUAGACACGCUGGCUAGCUAGUAAAGCAAACGAAGGAAACAGAAGAUCGUCAUGAACAUAUAUGCAUACAGAGAGAAGUGAUAUCGACCACCUCUCCUUCUCCGAGAGAUUGGUCGAACAACAAGUUCUCGUAUAUCUAUCUGACAGUACCGGCUACAUAUAUACAGUAAUUAUCUCUUACAAAUAUAAUCAUACGGACUCAGGUUUAACAUAGAAUUCUCCGUCUUCAGGGAUCACGUGGUCAAAAAAGAAUGCCGCCAAUUCCUCUUGAAUUGCUCGCAUGCGAGCUGGUGCUAGGAGUUCAUCCCGCUUCCGAAACAUCUAAUUUGAAGAAGGGGGUCAAUACAUAUAUAUAUAUAUAUGAAUGAAUGAAACUCAACACAAAUGAUGGUAAUAAAAUAAAAUUGUGAAUAUUGUUAUUUACGUACUUCAUAUUGUUCGUUAGAGUACCCGCCCCGCUCACACGUCGUGUGACGGAUGGACUCGCAGAUGUAGUAUCCACAGAAAUCAUUCCCUUGUUCCUGCCACAACCACUUUACAAGAAAUAGAGGUCAAUCAAACUGAUAAGCAAGAAUGCUAAAUGGUAUUGAUGAAACUAGCGCUUGAAUCACUAGGAGAUGCGCGGAACAUGCUACUAUAGUACUUACUUUCGGGUGUCUAAAUUCUAGCUCCUUCGGCAGUCCCGGAACUUUUUUGGUGAAUUUUCUCCAAACCAUGCCGGACAAAGAAAACAAUUACUUGAUAUCAGGAAAUGAACAAAGUUGCUGAUAUGGUGGAUAAUGAUCGAUUUAACUUACUUCUUGAGGAUUUCAGUCAUGUCUGCAUAGUCCUGCGGAUCUUUUCGUUUUGAGUCUAAGAAGGUUACUAGUCCCUGCUCAAGCUUAAUCUCUAGGAGAAUAUAGUGGAAACUGCACACGCAUGCAUAACUUAUGAAUUACAUUACUAUAACCUUGAGUAAUAUAUAAGGGAAACCGAAUACGCACAAGACAGUAGCACUCACUUGAAGUUGUAAGGAAAGAGUAUUAUAUCUUUGUUUUGAUUUAUUACGAACGAUUGUAGAAAGUUGGCCUCGGUAGCUGUGACAUGAAGUUUAACCUGAAUUGCAUCUAUGAGAUAUGUGUUAAUGAACCCAAUAUCACCGACUUGUCUUUUCUUCAAUUCGACGAUCUUCAAUCUGCAUAAUAUAGUGAGGAUGAUUAUAAAUACAUGCAAUGAAAGAGCUAAGCUAUAUAGAGAAACUUAAUGACAGAAGUAGUACUACUUACAGACAGUAGCAGGCGACCGUUGUUUUAUCGAGGGCCAAUUGAUUGAAAAACUGAUAGAACUCCUCAAAUGGAACAGGCAACAGAUCAAUUCCAACGAGGUCAUGCUCCUUUUUAACUCUCACAUACAAAGUACUCCUCCCCCAGAGUCUCUGCAGAUUUUCAAGUACCAAUCAUGCAAUCUUCGCAUCAUCGUUGAUAGAGAUCUUUCAUCUUUGACGAGAGGCUUCCCGUACUCGUAUCUUUGCAUCUGCAUGUCCAUGGGUUCAUAAUGUACUUCGUCGGGUAGGUAAUCUGCAAGAUUAUUAUAACCGGGCACCAUCCUCGGAUCAUUAGCGACUUUGUGGCUAGGCACCUUGAGCGAGGGGCAUGAUUGCUUCGCUUGUUUGCCGAGCUGGGCAAUUUGUUUCCCAGCUCGUCGUUUUUUCAGCCUUUCAUCACUGACAGUAGUUCCCGACCGCUCCGCUUCGGCAAAUUCCUUUCCAAUAAUGCGGUCAUAGUUUCCUUUCGGCGGAUCAGACUUUGGUGGUUUUGUCAGGGCAGCCAGAGUGCGCUUCACUUUCACCCCAUCUACCUUCUCCUCUGGAGGUGGAUGUUUCUUUGCUUUCACCCCUUCAAAGAAUUUCCUCACUUCUUCUCACGCGAUCUCGGCGUUCUCCUCCUGGGUCCUCUCGUAUGGUAACUUCUCUGGAGUCUUCAGAGAAGGACCGAAUCUGUAUGUCCUCCCGCCUCUGGUUGUACUGCUAGACGCCGACCGAGCAAACGAAGCGGUUGUCUUCUUUACUUGCUUAAGAGGCGGAGGAGAAGGACUACGACCCGCCGGAGCAGCUGGAGCGGCGGCAGGUCUCUUCUGCCCUUGCUGACGAGGCGGAGAAGGAGGAGGUUGGCUGCUCGGGCGCGUCGGCGCAGGCGGAGACGGAGGCGGAGUGCCGCCACGCGCCGGAGAAGGAGCCGGCCGAGGGCCCUGAUCCUCACUCGCCGGAGGAGGAGGUGGUGGAGGAGGCGGAGUGCCCUGACUCGCCGGAGGAGGAGGAGGAGGCGGAGGCGUCCAGUUCGGAAGGUUGAUGAGGUCCUUCCGCCAUAGGCAUGGAGUCUUCAGAGCAGACCCCAGCCGAGUCUCCCCUUCACCGGUAGGGUGGUCAAGCUGGAGGUCCUCAAAUCCCUCCGUUAUCUCAUCCACCAUCACCCUAGCAUAUCCUUCUGGAAUCGGCAUGCAGUGAAAAGUUGCGCCGGGUUCAGUAGGAUAAACAGAGCCAACAGCCGCCUUGACCUUCAAAUUCAUCCAUUGCGUCAUAAGGUGGCAAUUUUGAGACUCCGUUAUAGCAUCCACAGGAUAGCUGGCAGGAGCCGUCAAGGCAUGCUGCAGCUGAAGCUGCUCGGUGGAAGCCACGCUGCUUCUGCGCUGAGAUGGCGGGGUAGCUUCGGGGGAGGCUUCGGCAGUACGUUUGUUGCGAUUUGCUUCUCGUUCCUCUAUCGCUUGUACCCUUGCGUGCAGCGCCUGCAGUUCGGUCUGCUGCACUUUUUUCCUCCUCUCAUGGGAUUUGUAACCGCCUGCGUCCGGAAACCCAACCUUCCACGGAACGGAGCCUGGCGUGCCUCGUGUCCGUCCAGGGUGCUCAGGAUUCCCGAGGGCCAUUGUGAGCUCGUUGUGCUCUCUGUCUGGAAAGAACGUCCCUUCCUGCGCUGCGUCGAUAUAGUGCUUAAGCUUACUGACUGGUAUGUCCAUUUGUUCGUUCGUCCAAAUGCAGUUCCCUAUUUCAGGGUCCAAGGUUCCGCCACCCCCGAAGAACCAAGUCCGGCAACGGUCUGGCCAGUUAUUUGUCUCUGGUCCGAUCCCUUUAUGAACCAGAUCAUUCUCAACCAUGGACCACUUAGGCCGGGCUACGAGGUAGCCACCUGACCCCGUGCGAUGGUGAAGCUUCUUCUUCGCGGCAUUCUGCUUGUUUGUCGCCGACAUCUUCUUACUCUUUUCCGAUGUCUUGUAGGCCACAAAUGCGGGCCAGUGAUCUCUGAUCUUCUCAUAUCUUCCCUUGAAUUCUGGUGUCUCUUUUUUAUCGACAAACCUAUUCAGCUCUUUCUUCCACCUCCUGAAUAGAUCUGCCAUCCUCUUCAGAGAAAAAGACUUGAUUAAUUUCUCUUUAAUUGGGUUCUCUGGAUUAUCCUCUGGCGGUAGGGUGAAAUUUGACUUCAGCUCAGUCCAAAGAUCAUUUUUCUGCAUAUCAUUGACAUAAGACACCUCAGGGUCUUCUGUAGCCGGCUUAAACCAUUGCUGGAUGCUUAUCGGGAUCUUGUCCCUAACCAGAACCCCGCACUGAGCAACAAAUGCCCUCUUUGUCCGGAGGGGUUCAAUAGGUUGGCCGUCGGGCGCGAUUGCUGUGAUCUCAAGCUUUUCAUCCGAGCUCAACUUUUUCUUCGGGCCUCGUCUCUUUACCGAAGUUGUGCUCGAUCCGGAGGGCUAGAAAAAAGAACAAAGACUUAAUUAAUAUGUGUACAUACCAAAACAAUGAAUGCAUCAAUCAGCUAGUCAGCAUAGGCUUAACUAAUAUAUAUACCUGGCCGGACUCGGUUCGGUCACCGGAGCCGUCAUCACGGUCUCCUUCUUGCACCGGCAUUGGGUCACCGGCGCCGUCCUCAUGUUCUUCUUCUUGCACCGGCAUUAGGUCACCGUAGCCAGCUUGUUCACCCUCUCCUUCCGGACCAUCGAUGAUAUCGUUGAGAUAGUACGAGACGGCAUCACUUCCUUGUGCGAUUAUCUCCCUCAACAACGCUUCUUUUGUUGCUUCGUCUAGGGCGGUGUCCAUAGUUUCUACAAAUAUUUACAACAUGGCAAUUAUUAUUCAAACAUGACAGAUGGAUAUAUUAGUGCCAAACGUAGAACUACCUACCUAAUCAUAGUAAGCUAUCGGGAGGGGGUAUAUAUCGACAACGACGACACUACAUCUAUAUAUGUCCCUCGAUGACCCUCGUUCCUGAUAAAAAAAGAGGAAGAAGAAGAAAAAAAAGAGGAGAAGAAAGAAUAGAGGAGAAGAACUCCUCUAUUCUUUCUUCUCCUCUUUUUUCUUCUUCUUCCUCUUCUUUUUUUAUCCUCUUCUUCCUCUCAUGUUCGAGAGGAUCGCCUUGGGGUCGGGAGGUUGCCUAGUGUCAAAGGAUUCAACAAAACCAUGUCUUCAUCAUUAGGCGAAAGUAACAUGUGCAUGAUGGUAGGAAGCUCUUCAAAGUUGUUCUGGAACGGAGUCCCAGAUAGGAUAAUUCGCUUUUUGGUACAAAGUUCAGCAAGAGCCUUCCGAAUAUCGCUAUUUGGAAGGCCUUUGCUGAAUUCGUACCAAAAGGCGGAUUAUUCUAUCCGGGACUCCAUUCCAGAACAACUUUGCAGAACUUCAUACCAACAUGCCCUGGUUACUUCCGGCUAAUGAUGAAGGCAUGGAUUUCUUCAAUACUUUGACACUAGGAAACCUCUCUCGACCCCUCGGCGAUUCUUGACCCCUCGAACCCUCAACGACCCUGAAACCCUCGACGCUUGACCCCUUAACGACCCUCGACCCUCUACCCUAGUUCCCGACCCUCGACCAAUAGAGGAGAAGAAGAAAGGAAUAGCUAGAGGAGAAGAUCGAAGAAAAAAAAGAAGAAACAAAAGAGGAGAAGAAGAAAGGAAUAGUGGAGAAGAAGAGAAAAUAGAAUAUAUAUUCUAUUUUCUCUUCUUCUCCACUAUUCCUUUCUUCUUCUCCUCUUCUUUUUCUUCUGUUUUCUUCUUCUUAUUUAUUUCUCCUCUUCUUUUCGGUAGAGGAAACCCUAAAUAGCUAGCAAGUAUCGUGGGUGUGAGAUACAUGUGGCCUUCGGUGUCGGACACUACAUCCACGUCCCACAAGUGACGUGGGCGUCGAAACCCGCGCCACUUGUGGGAUGUGGAUGUAGUGUCCGACACCGACGGUACAUGUAUCUCACACCGACGAUACUUUCUAUUUAGGGUUUCUCCUCUACCACUCGGCGGCCCUCUCGACGACCCUCGUUCCCGAUAAUAUAAAGAGGAAGAAGAAGAAGAAAAAAGAAGAGAAGAAAGAAUAGAGGAGACGAACCCUCGAACCCUCGAACCCUAGACGACCCUCUUCUUCCUCUCAUGUUCGAGAGGAUCGCCGAGGGGUCGGGAGGUUGCCUAGUGUCAAAGGAAACCCUAAAUAGCUAGCAAGUGUCAUGGGUGUGAGAUACAUGUGGCCUUCGGUGUCGGACACUACAUCCACGUCCCACAAGUGACGUGGGCGUCGAAGCCCGCGCCACUUGUGGGAUGUGGAUGUAAUGUCCGACACCGACGGUACAUGUAUCUCACACCGACGAUACUUUCUAUUUAGGGUUUCUCCUCUACCACUCGGCGGCCCUCUCGACGACCCUCGUUCCCGAUAAAAUAAAGAGGAAGAAGAAGAAGAAAAAAGAAGAGAAGAAAGAAUAGAGGAGAAGUCUCCUCUAUUCUUUCCUCGCCUCUCUCAUGAAUGUCCGGCGUUCUCGACCCCCCCCCCUCCCCACGUGUCGAAGAAAAAAAAGAAGAAAAAAAAGAGGAGAAGAAGAAAGGAAUAGAGGAGAAAAGAGAAAAAUAGAAUAUUCNNNNNNNNNNNNNNNNNNNNNNNNNNNNNNNNNNNNNNNNNNNNNNNNNNNNNNNNNNNNNNNNNNNNNNNNNNNNNNNNNNNNNNNNNNNNNNNNNNNNNNNNNNNNNNNNNNNNNNNNNNNNNNNNNNNNNNNNNNNNNNNNNNNNNNNNNNNNNNNNNNNNNNNNNNNNNNNNNNNNNNNNNNNNNNNNNNNNNNNNNNNNNNNNNNNNNNNNNNNNNNNNNNNNNNNNNNNNNNNNNNNNNNNNNNNNNNNNNNNNNNNNNNNNNNNNNNNNNNNNNNNNNNNNNNNNNNNNNNNNNNNNNNNNNNNNNNNNNNNNNNNNNNNNNNNNNNNNNNNNNNNNNNNNNNNNNNNNNNNNNNNNNNNNNNNNNNNNNNNNNNNNNNNNNNNNNNNNNNNNNNNNNNNNNNNNNNNNNNNNNNNNNNNNNNNNNNNNNNNNNNNNNNNNNNNNNNNNNNNNNNNNNNNNNNNNNNNNNNNNNNNNNNNNNNNNNNNNNNNNNNNNNNNNNNNNNNNNNNNNNNNNNNNNNNNNNNNNNNNNNNNNNNNNNNNNNNNNNNNNNNNNNNNNNNNNNNNNNNNNNNNNNNNNNNNNNNNNNNNNNNNNNNNNNNNNNNNNNNNNNNNNNNNNNNNNNNNNNNNNNNNNNNNNNNNNNNNNNNNNNNNNNNNNNNNNNNNNNNNNNNNNNNNNNNNNNNNNNGGGACUAAAGGGGGGCAAUGGUCACGGUUGGUGCCACGAACCGUGACCAAUGCCACCUUUAGUCCCGGUUGGUGCCACCAACCGGGACCAAUGCCCUUGUGCGCCCCGCGCCCAGAAGUUUAGUCCCACAUCGCUAGCUGAAGGGCGCCGAUACUGGUUUAUAAGCGCUGCUCUGCCUCCCCUUUCGAGCUCCUCUCAAAUGCAGGCUUUCGGGCCUAAACUGCUACUGCCUGUGGGCCUAUUGGGCCUCUGCGGGCCUGAAUCCUGGCCCAUGUAGGGUUUCUAGUCGUAUUCAGGCCGUGGAGGCCCAGUAGGAGGCAUUUUUUUUGGUUUUUUCUUUUUUGUUUCUAUAUUUUUUUGGUUUUUUAUUUUUUUUAUUUCUACUUACAACUAAAUACUUACAGUUUUUUAGUGAUUUCUUUUUGCUUUUAGGUCACAAAAAUUAUAAACUUUCUAUUAGUGCCAUUAGUUUUAAAUUUUAAAUAGUUUAAAUUUGAAUUUUUAAAAAUUUGUGUGAAUCACUAGUUUAUGAAUAACUUUACUAUAAAGUUAGAAUUUGUUUUCUAUUUAUUUUUUAUUUCUACUUACAACUAAAUACUUACAGUUUUUUAGUGAUUUGUUUUUGCUUUUAGGUCACAAAAAUUAUAAACUUUCUGUUAGUGCCUUUAGUUUUAAAUUUUAAAUAGUUUAAAUUUGAAUUUUUAAAAAUUUGUGUGAAUCACUAGUUUAUGAAUUUUUUUCUUCUUUGCUAUUUAUUUUUGAUUUAUACUUACAAUUAAAUACUUAUAGUUUGCUUUUAGGUCACACAAAUUAUAUUCUUUUUGCUAUUGAAGAAUAUUAUAGUUUUAUUUUAGUUGAUCAUAACAUAAUAUUUUAAUUGAUUGUUUUUAUUUUCAUAAAAGUUUUGUAGUUCAUUCUGUUUGCUAUUAAUUCAUUCUUUGAGCUAAAUGACUCUGAAAUUGGAAAGCAUUUCAAAAUGAACUCUGAAAAGGUUGAAAGUUGGCAUGGUAUCAUCAUUUCACCCACAUAGCAUGUUCCAAAAAGUAGAGAGGGUUACGACAAAAACUUGAUGCACUUCGUGUACAAAAUGGACAAUCACUUUCGAAGUAUCAAAGUUUCAAACCAUAAGACAUGAAAGCAUUUCGAAUGAACUCUGAAAAAGUUGAAAGUUGGGAUGCAUGGUAUCAUAAUUUCACCCACAUAGCAUUUUCUUAUUGCGGGAGAAAGUCUUCACUUUUUCUUCGCUUGUGUCAUUUGCUUAUUGCGCCGUAACCAUGGAUAAUCUUCAUUGUUUUUAAGGAUGCUUGGGUCAGCCUUGACAUUGAAGGGAGGAAUUUCAUGAAACUUUUCAUAAUCUUCAGACAUGUCUGUCUUGCCGUCCACUCCCAGGAUGUCCCUUUUUCCUGAAAGAACUAUGUGGCGCUUUGGCUCAUCGUAUGAUGUAUUCGCUUCCUUAUCUUUUCUUUUUCUCGGUUUAGUAGACAUGUCCUUCACAUAGAUAACCUGUGCCACAUCAUUGGCUAGGACGAACGGUUCGUCAGUGUACCCAAGAUUUUUCAGAUCCACUGUUGUCAUUCCGUACUGUGGGUCUACUUGUACCCCACCGCCAAACAGAAUGACCCAUUUGCACUUAAACAAAGGGACCUUAAAAUCAGGUCCGUAGUCAAGUUCCCAUAUGUCCACUAUGUAACCAUAAUAUGUGUCCUUUCCUCUCUCGGUUGCUGCAUCAAAGCGGACACCGCUGUUUUGGUUGGUGCUCUUUUGAUCUUGGGCGAUCGUGUAAAAUGUAUUCCCAUUUAUCUCGUAUCCUUUGUAAGUCAAUACAGUCAAAGAUGGUCCCCUGGACAACAAGUACAACUCAUCACAAACAGUGUUGUCACCUCUGAGACGUGUUUCCAACCAACUCCUGAAAGUCCUGAUGUGUUCACAUGUAAUCCAGUCGUCGCAUUGCUCCGGGUGUUUGGAGCGCAGACUGUUCUUGUGUUCAUCGACAUACGGGGUCCCCAAGGUAGAGUUCUGUAGAACUGUGUAGUGUGCUUGAGACCAAGAAUAUCCGUCCCUGCAUAUUAUUGAGUCUCUUCCAAGAGUGCCUUUUCCAGUCAGUCUCCCCUCAUACCGCGAUUUAGGGAGACCUAUCUUGUUAAGGCCAGGAAUGAAGUCAACACAAAACCCGAUAACAUCCUCUGUUUGAUGGCCCAUGGAGAUGCUUCCUUCUGGCCUAGCGCGGUUACGGACAUAUUUCUUUAGGACUCCCAUGAACCUCUCAAAGGGGAACAUAUUGUGUAGAAAUACGGGCCCCAGGAUGACAAUCUCGUCGACUAGAUGAACUAGGACGUGCGUCAUGAUAUUGAAGAAGGAUUGUGGGAACACCAGCUCGAAACUGACAAGACAUUGCGCCACAUCACUCCUUAGCCUUGGUACCAUUUCUGGAUCGAUCACCUUCUAAGAGAUUGCAUUGAGGAAUGCACAUAGCUUCACAAUGGCUAAUCGGACGUUUUCCGGUAAAAGCCCCCUCAAUGCAACCAGAAGCAGUUGCGUCAUAAUCACGUGGCAGUCAUGAGACUUUAGGUUCUGAAACUUUUUCUCUGGCAUAUUUAUUAUUCCCUUUAUAUUCGAUGAGAAGCCAGUCAUGACCUUCAUACUAAGCAGGCAUUCAAAGAAGAUUUCUUUCUCUUCUUUCGUAAGAGUGUAGCUGGCAGGACCUUUAUACUGCUUCGGAGGCAUGUCAUCUUUUUUGUGCAAACGUUGCAGGUCCUCCCAUGCCUCCGGCGUAUCUUUUGUCUUCCCAUACACGCCCAAGAAGCCUAGCAGGUUCACGCAAAGGUUCUUCGUCACGUGCAUCACGUUGAUUGAGGAGCGGACCUCUAGGUCUUUCCAGUAGGGUAGGUCCCAAAAUAUAGAUUUCUUCUUCCACAUGGGUGUGUGUCCCUCAGCGUCAUUCGGAACAGCUAGUCCACCGGGACCCUUUCCAAAGAUGACGUAGGGUAAAUCAUUGACCAUAGCAAGCACGUGAUCACCGGUGCGCAUGGCGGGCUUCUUUCGGUGAUCUGCCUCGCCUUUGAAAUGCUUGCCUUUCUUUCGACAUUGAUGGUUGGUCGGAAGAAAUCGACGAUGGCCCAGGUGCACAUUCUUCCUGCAUUUGUCCAGGUAUAUACUUUCAGUGUCAUCUAAACAGUGCGUGCAUGCGUGGUAUCCUUUGUUUGUCUGUCCUGAAAGGUUACUGAGAGCGGGCCAAUCGUUGAUGGUCACGAACAGCAACGCCUUAAGGUUAAAUUCCUCCUGUCUGUGCUCAUCCCACGUACGUACACCAUUUUCAUUCCACAGCUGUAAAAGUUCUUCAACUAAUGGACUUAGGUACACAUCAAUUUCGUUGCCGGGUUGCUUAGGGCCUUGGAUGAGAACUGGCAUCAUAAUGAACUUCCGCUUCAUGCACAUCCAAGGAGGAAGGUUAUACAUACAUAGAGUCGCGGGCCAGGUGCUGUGAUUACUGCUCUGCUCCCCGAAAGGAUUAAUGCCAUCCGCGCUUAAAGCAAACCAUACAUUCCUAGGGUCCUUUGCAAACUCAUCCCAGUACUUUCUCUCGAUUUUUCUCCACUGCGACCCGUCAGCGGGUGCUCUCAACUUCCCAUCUUUCUUUCGUUUCUCACUGUGCCAUCGCAUCAACUUGGCAUGCUCUUCGUUUCUGAACAGACGUUUCAACCGUGGUAUUAUAGGAGCAUACCACAUCACCUUUGCAGGGACCCUCUUCCUGAGGGGCUCGCCGUCAACAUCACCGGGGUCAUCUCGUCUGAUCUUAUACCGCAACGCACCGCAUACCGGGCAUGCGUUCAGAUCCUUGUAUGCACCGCGGUAGAGGAUGCAGUCAUUAGGGCAUGCAUGUAUCUUCUCCACCUCCAAUCCUAGAGGGCAUACGACCUUCUUUGCUGCGUAUGUACUGUCGGGCAAUUCGUUAUCCUUUGGAAGCUUCUUCUUCAAUAUUUUCAGUAGCUUCUCAAAUCCUUUGUCAGCCACAGCAUUCUCUGCCUUCCACUGCAGCAAUUCUAGUACGGUACUGAGCUUUGUGUUGCCAUCUUCGCAAUUGGGGUAUAACCCUUUUUUGUGAUCCUCUAACAUGCGAUCGAACUUCAGCUUCUCCUUUUGACUAAUGCAUUGCGUCCUUGCAUCGACAAUGACCCGGCGGAGAUCAUCAUCAUCGGGCACAUCGUCUGGUUCCUCUUGAUCUUCAGCAGCUUCACCUGUGGCAGCAUCAUUGGGCACAUCAUCAUCUGGUUCCUCUUGAUCUUCACCAGCUCCCCCCGUUGCAGCAUCACCGUAUUCAGGGGGCACAUAGUUGUCAUCGUACUCUUCUUCUUCGCCGUCUUCCAUCAUAACCCCUAUUUCUCCGUGCCUCGUCCAAACAUUAUAGUGUGGCAUGAAACCCUUGUAAAGCAGGUGGGAGUGAAGGAUUUUCCGGUUAGAGUAAGACCUCGUAUUCCCACAUUCAGUGCAUGGACAACACAUAAAACCAUUCUGCUUGUUUUCCUCAGCCGCAUCGAGAAACUCAUGCACACCCUUAAUGUACUCGCGGGUGUGUCUGUCACCGUACAUCCAUUGCCGGUUCAUCUGCGUGCAUUAUAUAUAAUUAAGUGUCCAAAUUAAUAGAAGUUCAUCAUCACAUUAAAACCAAAGUGCAUACAUAGUUCUCAUCUAACAACAUAUAGCUCUCCAGAGCAUCUAAUUAAUUAAACCAUACAUUGAAACUAUGUAAAACAUUUCAAUGCGAAAACAAAUGCGAUCAUAAUCGCAACCAAGGUAACAAUUGAUCCAACGGCAUAAUGAUACCAAGCCUCGGUAUGAAUGGCAUAUUUUCUAAUCUUUCUAAUCUUCAAGCGCAUUGCAUCCAUCUUGAUCUUGUGAUCAUCGACGACAUCCGCAACAUGCAACUCCAAUAUCAUCUUCUCCUCCUCAAUUUUUUUUAUUUUUUCCUUCAACAAAUUGUUUUCUUCUUCAACUAAAUUUAACCUCUCGACAAUAGGGUCGGUUGGCAUUUCCGAUUCACAUACAUCCUAGAUAAAUAAAAUCUAUGUCACGUUGGUCAGCAUAAUUUUCAUAAACAAUAAAUGAACCAAUAGUUAUAAAGAUAAUAUACAUACCACAUCCGAAUCAUAGACAGGACGAGGGCCGACGGGGGCGGAUACCAAAACCAUCGCACUAUAUAAGAUGCAAUAAUAAAUGUAAGAAAAUGAUACAAGUAUCUAUCUAAACAUACAAGUAAGAAUAUUUUUCCUUUCAGAAAGAAGAUAAGAACAAGAGGCUCACCACGGUGGUGUCGGUGAUGAGAUCGGCGCGGGUGAUCGACGGCAGUGAAGACGGGGACGGGGCGUGACGGACCGCUAAAUCUAGACAAAUCUCGAGGAAAAUGGAGCUUGGAGGUCGAGCUUCGAGAGGAGAAAGCUUAAGUAGUGUGGCUCGGGCAUUCCAUCGAACACCUCAUGUGCAUAGGAGGUGAGCUAGAGCACCACAAAGCCCUCUCCCCCUCGGCCAGAGAAAACAGAGCACUGGGGUGCUCUGCUCACGAGCGAGGGGUAUAUAUAGGCACCUCAUUGGUCCCGGUUGGUGGCAUGAGCCGGGACUAAAGGGAAGCCUUUGGUCCCGGUUCGGGCCACCAACCGGGACCAAUGAUGGUGGGCCAGGAGGGAGGCCCAUUGGUCCCGGUUCGUCCCACCAACCGGGACCAAAAGGUCCAUACGAACCAGGACCAAUGGCCCACGUGGCCCGGCCGGCCCCCUGGGCUCACGAACCGGGACCAAUUCCCACAUUGGUCCCGGUUCAAGACUGAACCGGGACUAAUGGGCUGAGGCGGCCUGGACCAUAGCCCCUUUUUCUACUAGUGCUUAUGGAAAUUAUAAUAAGAUGCCCUCUAAUUUUGAGAAUAGUGUUAAAUAAUUUAUGAGUUCGCAAAAGAAUUUCAAUGCUUUGAUUGAAGAAAAAUUGCUUAAGAUUGGUGAUUUGGCUAGGAACGUGGAUAGAACUACCCUUGAUGUCGAUUCUUUGAAACUUAGAUCUAUUUCACAUAAGCAUGAUAUCAAUGAGUCUCUCAAGGCUAUGAGAAUUCCCAUUGAUGAGUGCAAGGAAAGAACCGCUAAGAUGCGUGCUAAAAAAGAUUGGUUUAUAAAAGCGUGUUCUUCUAGCUAGUUUCCGUGAAAAUAAUGAUGAAGAUCUUAAAGUGAUUGAUGUGACUCCUAUUGAAUUUUUGUUUUCCAAUAUAAAUCUUGAGAAAGAUGGGACUGGAUAUGAGUCAACUUUAGUUAGAAGGCGUCCCAAUGAUUCGGAGUUUUUAGAUAUUAAUGCAAAAAUUGAUAAAAGUGGGAUUGGAGAGGUUAAAACUUUAGGUAGUAAUGAACCCACUCUUUUGGAUUUCAAGGAAUUUAAUUAUAAUAAUUUCUCUUUAAUAGAUUGUAUUUCCUUGUUGCAAUCCAUGUUGAAUUUUCCUCAUGCUUAUAAUCAAAACAAAGCUUUUACUAAACAUAUCAUUGAUGCUAUGAUGCAAUCCUUUGAAGAAAAGCUUGAAUUGGAAGUUUCUAUUCCUACACUAGUAGACAAAGGGUCAAACAUGAAGCACAUUAGUGCCGGUUUGAAUUUGAGCCGGCACUAAUGUGUGCAUUAGUGCCGGUUCCAACGGCUAGCCGGCCGCUCUCAUUAGUACCGGUUCAUGGCGAACCUUUAGCACCGGUUCGUGCCACGAACCGGUACUAAAGUGAGUGGUGGCAGGAUGUUGUCACUCCGGGGCCCCUCCAGCACCUUUAGUACCGGGUCGUAUCACGAACCGGUCCUAAAGGCCGUCCUACAUAGACCCUUCGUCCACCCGAGCUCGCUCUGUUCUUCCCCUUUCCCCUCUCCUCUUUGUACUUUUCCCUCUUCCUCUCAAUCUCAUCACACAUUUUGCCCAAAAUUUGUCAAGAUUUGAAGGCCCCCAUCCAUUCAAAUGAUCACAAAGGUUAGCAACUUUUUCCUUUCAUCUCUCAUUGCUAGAUUAGCUCGUGCAAUGCUUUAUAUAGUGAUUGAUUUUUGAGUUUAGUAAUUUGGGAGGAAUUAUAUAUAUGUGCUAGUAUUUGAUUUAUAUGCAAUUUUAGGUCAAAAAUAACACUUAGUUUGCAUAUGUAGGUGUGGUUUACGUAGUACCUUCUAAAUCUCCGUCGUAACCACCGUCGAUCGCUCGCAACGUCCCGUCACCAGCACCACCUUUUGGUGAGCCUCUUGUUCAUGAAGUUUUAUAUAAAAAAUUGAUGUUUGUGUGAUUUGGAUAUAUAGUUACUCGUAUAAUUAUCUUACCCAUACGUUGUUUGUUAUACAUAGUGCCAUGGUUUUGAUAUCCGUCCCCGUUGGCCCUCGUCCGGGUUAUGAUUCGGAUGUGGUAUAUUCUAUUUUAAAACUAUUCAUUGCAUUUCGUGUUUAUGACAAAUUAUGCCCAUCAAGUUGACAUAGAUAUUUGUAUGUAGGAGGUAGUUGAAACGGAAAUUCCAACCGACCCUAUUGUCGAGAGGUUAAAUUUAGUUGAAAGAGAAAACGAGGAUUUGAAGGAAAAAUUGAAAAGAAUUGAGGGGGAGAAGAUGGAAUUGGAGUUGCAUGUUGCCGAUGUCGUCGAUGAUCACAAGAUUAAGAUGGAGAAAAUGCGCUUGAAGAUUAGAAAGAUUAGAAAAUAUGCCAUUCAUAGUGAGGCUUGGUAGCAUUAUGCUGUUGGAUCAAUUGUUACCUUAGUUGCGAUCUUGAUCGCAUUUGUUGUUGCAUUUAAAUUCUUUAGCUAGGGACUUAUUUGUUUGUUGCAUUUAAGUGUUGUAUGAUCUUUAUGUAUGAACCUUAUGUAUUGUAUUAAUUUGAUGUUUUCGGUGUUGUGUAUUGAAGAUGAGCCGGCAAUGGAUGUACGAUGACUGAUGCUCUCCCAAGUUCAUUAAUGGCGUGCGUACUUUUCUGCUUGCGGCUGAGGCAAACAAGCGAGCGGAUGGUUGUAUGCCUUGUCCAUGUGCUGGCUGUAAGAAUGGUCACAGUUACUCUACGUCAAGAACCAUUCACGUCCACCUGUUUGAGUCUGGUUUCAUGCCCCACUAUAAUGUUUGGACCAAGCAUGGAGAAAGAGGGGUUAUGAUGGAAGACAAUGAAGAAGAAGAGGACGACGAAAGCUAUCCUGGCCAUGGGUUCCCUGAAUACGGUGAUACAACAAUGAGGGAAGAAGCUGAGCCGGUAAUGCGGGAAGAAGCUGAGCCGGCAAUGCGGGAAGAAGCUGAACAAGAGGCACGGAUGAGCCCGUUGAUGAUCUAGGUCGGGCCAUUGCCGAUGCAAAGAGAAACCGCGCUAGUGAUUUGGAGAAGAAGAAGUUGCAGCGCAUGUUAGAGGAUCACAAAAAUUGUUGUACCCGAAUUGCGUAGGUGACAAGAAAAAGCUAGGCACCACACUGGAAUUGCUGCAAUGGAAGGCAAAGAAUGGUGUAUCUGACAUGGGAUUUGGAAAGUUGCUGGUAAUGAUAAAGGAUAUGCUUCCAAAGGACAACAAAUUGCUCGAGAGUACGUACGAAGCAAAGAAGAUUGUCUGCCCUCUAGGGUUAGAGGUGCAGAUGAUACAUGCAUGCCCUAAUGAUUGCAUCCCCUACCACGGUGAGUAUGAGGAUUUGAAAGCUUGCCCGGUAUGAGGUGCAUUGCGCUAUAAGAUCAGCCACGAUGACCAUGGUGAUGUCGAGGGCGAGCGCCCCAGGAAGAAGAUACCUGCCAAGGUGAUGUGGUAUGCUCCUAUAAUACCAUGGCUGAAACGUUUGUUCCAAAACAAUGAGCAUGCCAAGGCGAUGUGAUGGCACAGAGAAGACCGUAAGAAAGACGGAAAGUUGAGAGUACCCGCUGACGGGUCGCAGUGGAGAAAAAUCGAAAGAAAGUACGGGAAGGAGUUUGCAGAUGACGCAAGGAACGUAUGGUUUGGUCUAAGCGCAGAUGGCAUUAAUCCUUUUGGGGAGCAGAGCAGCAACCAUAGCACCUGGCCUGUGACUCUAUGUUUGUAUAACCUUCCUCCUUGGUUGUGCAUGAAGCGGAAGUUCAUUAUGAUGCCAGUGCUCAUCCAAGGCCCUAAGUGUCAGGACCCCGAUUCCAAGUCACAUCGUUCUAGCCGGUAACACCUCAUAUCACUUUGCGGCCUCAUGCACGGUAUCCCACAGGUGUCGCCUUACCAUGGCCCGGGACCGUUUGCGCCUUUUGGCUCACGUAUAUGAUAGUGUCGCUAGCAUCCAUAUGACAGAGAACCCGGGCCGACAUGGCUAGUCGUGAACCCAAAGCGGCACAGACCUAUGGAGACAGGCAUACAUGAAUCACAUCAAGCAUGUCAGUCAUCAGUGAGUGAAUCCGGGCUGUAGCACUGGGCUAACAGGACUCCGGGGAACCCGGGCUGUAGCAGGCUAGGCAGGACUCCGGAUGUCACCGCGUGACAUUUCCCCGAAGGGACAGACAUAGGAACGACGUGAAACACAUGCCGGCCAGUCAAGUGUCCUGAGCAGUAGUGCUGGGCUAGCAGGACUCCGGUGAACCGGGCUGUAGCGGACUACUAUGGCUCGAGGAACACUAGACUACGUUUCCCCAUAAGAAAGGCUGCCAAGGAUAAACAACUAGAUUGUCGGAUCCCACUCAUACCAAGCAUUUCAAUCAUACACACAAUAUGCCCGAUAUGAGUACAUACAACAUGGCAUCACAAGAAAACUCUACAACUCAAAUACUUUAUUUAAAGGCUCCAGAGAGCCAUACAUAACAUGUUCAUACAGAUAGGGGUCACAUGACCCGACACUCAAGUCAUACAAUCAUACAAGCACAAGCGGAAGCAACUAGUCUGAGUACAGACACUAGAAAGAAAGAAGGCUUCUCGAAGCCUGUCUAUCUACAUAGGUCUCUCCAUGGCCAGGAUCACCACCUGGGUGGCUAGUCACUCGUCGACGUCAAGGUCUACGUAGAACCCAUCGGAGGGGCGGUGUUGUCAUCUGAAAACCGUAAUUAAGCAAACAUGAGUACAAAGGUACUCAGCAAGUCUUACAACAUAACCUACUAUAAAUGCUCAUUCUCAAGAAGGUGGUGGGGUUAUUGCAGCAAGCCAGCUUUGACUCUUGGCUAAGCUAUCCUACGGAACUCCACUAGUAAAAUAGUUUUCGCACACGAGUCCACUACUCACCAACAUAAUACUCCACCGGGGAUCCUCUCUCGUCAUCCUACGAGAGGGCCAUCCUCGGUACUCACACUUAUCUUGAGUCUUUUAGUAAUAACCAUUAACUUGUCUAUGAACUGUAUAGGCAACCAGGUAGUCCUUUACCGCGGACGCGGCUAUUCGAAUAGUUUUAUACCCUGCAGGGGUGUACUUCCUCAUACACGCUUUCACCACUUACCGCCGUUUACACGACAUGUACUCGGCAACCUUCAAGCCUUGGCCCAACGAGGGUGUCGGCCACGGCCUACCUAAACACUCAAAUCUCUAGUCCAGGUGCAUCGCCUAUCCAAGUUCCAUCCGCAGGGAGUCCGGCCGAGGUUUCCACAUACGGCCCCGAACGAUGUGAACAGGGUUCCCGAGACACCAAACAGGUGACUCGGUACACCGUGCCACGGUGUAUCUACCGCAACAUAGCCCACCCCUAGGGUCAGUGCUACGCACGGCCGCCAACACAUAACCUACAAACACCAGAAACUAUUUGCAACUCCUGGACAGAGUACUAGGGUAUUUAAGAAGCCGAGAGGGUCAAUUAAGGAUCCCAAUGCAUGGUAGUAGCUGAAUCUUAAAAUCACACAUACAGAUCUCAGUUCUUAGGGACGGCCUCAAUAAAACAACCCACCAUGUACUCCUACAUGGCCUCUCAUCGAUACCUUUACCAAAUCAUGUUCAUCACAUCCCUCACAUUACCGAUAUAACCAUUUCACUCUAGCCCAUCACCCAGAUGGACCAGACCUGACACAACUCUAAGCAUAGCAGGCAUAGCAAGGUAGGAAACACAUACCUGGCUCAAUCAACUCCUACACAUGCUAGUGGGUUUCAUCUAGUUACUGUGGCAAUGACAGGUCAUGCAGAGGAAAAGGGUUCAACUACCGUAGCACACAACAAUUUGAAUCGCGUUGUCUUAAUGCAGUAAACAAGAGCAGAAGCGAGAACAUGGGUUUGUAUCAGAAUGAUCAAUGGUUGUUUGCCUGUUGUAGUGGUAGUAGGGUACUGCCCUUCAGACGGAUACUCGGGGUUAUCCUCGGAGGCAGAACCUACCACGAAAGAUACACCGAACAUAAUCAACACAUGACAAUAUGCAACGGUAUGAUGCAUGCUAUGACAUGGCAAAAUGAAUGUGUCUUGGCCUAAUGCAAGCUGAAACAGGAUGGAAUGAACUCAUUUGAAUCAAAGAUUCAAAUGUUAGCUCAUUUAACAUGGCCUUAUUAGUGCAUUAUCUUAUUCUGCUUAAAUAGCAAGGUUAACUUGUUUUGUCAUGCAUGAAACCAUUACAGAUGGACAGAUUGAAUUUUUUUGAUCAUUUUUCAUAUAUAAAUCUUUGCAUUUGGAGCUAUGGUUGAUUUUCUAAGAUUUUUAGAAGUUUUGGCUAUUUACUGGAAUUUCCUAUUAAAGAAUAAAUCCAGUAAUUGAAUUAAUGCGUCAGCAUGACAUAGGUGUGAUGUCAGCGGGUCAACUGGGUUGGCCAGGUCAAACCUGACUGGCGGGCCCUGUCUGUCAGUGACUCAGCUAAUUAACAGAGUUAAAUUAACUCUAAUUAACUAAAAGUGGGGCCUGGGCCCACAUGUCAGUGACUGAACUAAUUAAAUUUAGUUAAAACAAAUCCUAAACUAAUCAGCAGGCCGGCCCCACCUGUCAUAGACUAACCUGGGCCCACACGGGGGUCAAACAGGGUAAACUCGCCGGCGUCUAGCCGCCGGCGAGGCCAGACGCGGCGGAGCAGUGCGGGAUUUGCACUCUGGCGACCAAAUGGGCGGCGGAGACUAUCUACGUGAUGCGGGGAGGAAGCCGCCUUUGGAAAUAUGCCCUAGAGGCAAUAAUAAAUUGAUUAUUACUAUAUUUCCUUGUUCAUGAUAAUCGUUUAUUAUCCAUGCUAGAAUUGUAUUGAUAGGAAACUCAGAUACAUGUGUGGAUACAUAGACAACACCAUGUCCCUAGUAAGCCUCUAGUUGACUAGCUCGUUGAUCAAUAGAUGGUUACAGUUUCCUGACCAUGGACAUUGGAUGUCAUUGAUAACGGGAUCACAUCAUUAGGAGAAUGAUGUGAUGGACAAGAACCAAUCCUAAGCCUAGCACAAGAUCAUGUAGUUCGUAUGCUAAAGCUUUUCUAAUGUCAAGUAUCAUUUCCUUAGACCAUGAGAUUGUGCAACUCCCGGAUACCGUGGGAGUGCUUUGAGUGUGCGAAACGUCACAACGUAACUGGGUGGCUAUAAAGGUACACUACAGGUAUCUCCAAAAGUGUCUAUUGGGUUGGCACGAAUCGAGACUGGGAUUUGUCACUCCGUGUAAACGGAGAGGUAUCUCUGGGCCCACUCGGUAGGACAUCAUCAUAAUGUGCACAAUGUGACCAAGGAGUUGAUCACGGGAUGAUGUGUUACGGAACGAGUAAAGAGACUUGCCGGUAACAAGAUUGAACAAGGUAUCGGCAUACCGACGAUCGAAUCUCGGGCAAGUAUCGUACCGAUGGACAAAGGGAAUUGCAUACGGGGUUGAUUAAGUCCUUGACAUCGUGGUUCAUCCGAUGAGAUCAUCGUGGAACAUGUGGGAGCCAACAUGGGUAUCCAGAUCCCGCUGUUGGUUAUUGAUCGGAGAGUCAUCUCGGUCAUGUCUGCAUGUCUCCUGAACCCGUAGGGUCUACACACUUAAGGUUCGAUGACGCUAGGGUUAUAAAGGAAGUUUGUAUGUGGUUACCGAAUGUUGUUCGGAGUCCCGGAUGAGAUCCCGAACGUCAUGAAGAGUUCCGGAAUGGUCCGGAGGUAAAGAUUUAUAUAUGGGAAGUCCUGUUUUGGUCACCGGAAAAGUUUCGGGUUUUAUCGGUAACGUACCGGGACCACCGGGAGGGUCCCGGGGGUCCACCAAGUGGGGCCACAAGCCCCGGAGGGCUGCAUGGGCCAAGUGUGGGAGGGGACCAGCCCCAGGUGGGCUGGUGCGGCCCCCCACCAAGGCCCAAGGCGCAAGGAAGAGGGGAAGGGGGCAAACCCUAGGGCAGAUGGGCCCUAAGGCCCACCCUGGUGCGCCUCCCCCUCUCCCCUCCCCUUGGCCGCCCCUAGAUGGGAUCUAGGGGGCUGCCGCCACCCCUAGGGAGGGAACCCUAGGUGGGGGCGCAACCCAUCCCCUCCCCCUAUAUAUAGUUGAGGUUUGGGCUGCCCAAUACACAUGAGUUCCUCUCUUUCUUGGCACAGCCCUAUCCCUCUCUUUCUCCUCAUAUCUCGCAGUGCUUGGUGAAGCCCUGCUGGAUCACCAUGCUCCGCCAUCACUACCACGCCGUUGUGCUGCUGUUGGAUGGAGUCUUCCUCAACCUCUCCCUCUCUCCUUGCUGGAUCAAGGCAUGGGAGACAUCGUCGGGCUGUACGUGUGUUGAACGCGGAGGUGCCGUCCGUUCGGCACUAGGAUCUCCGGUGAUUUGGAUCACAACGAGUACGACUCCUUCAACCCCGUUCUCUUGAACGCUUCCACUUAGCGAUCUACAAGGGUAUGUAGAUGCACUCUCCUUCCCCUCGUUGCUGGUUUCUCCAUAGAUAGAUCUUGGUGACACGUAGGAAACUUUUGAAUUUCUGCUACGUUCCCCAAUAGUGGCAUCAUGAGCUAGGUCUAUUGCGUAGAUUCUAUGCACGAGUAGAACACAAAGUAGUUGUGGGCGUUGAUUUUGUUCAAUAUGCUUACCGUUACUAGUCCAAUCUUGUUUCGACGGUAUUGUGGGAUGAAGCGGCCCGGACCGACCUUACACGUACUCUUACGUGAGACAGGUUCCACCGACUGACAUGCACUAGUUGCAUAAGGUGACUAGCGGGUGCCAGUCUCUCCCACUUUAGUCAGAACGGAUUCGAUGAAAAGGGUCGUUAUGAAGGGUAAAUAGCAAUUGGCAUAUCACGUUGUAUUUUUGCGUAGGUAAGAAACGUUCUUGCUAGAAACCCAUAGCAGCCACGUAAAACAUGCAAACAACAAUUAGAGGACGUCUAACUUGUUUUUGCAGGGUAUGCUAUGUGAUGUGAUAUGGCCAAGAAGAAUGUGAUGAAUGAUAUGUGAUGUAUGAGAUUGACCAUGUUCUUGUAAUAGGAAUCAUGACUUGCAUGUCGAUGAGUAUGACAACCGGCAGGAGCCAUAGGAGUUGUCUUUAUUUAUUGUAUGACCUACGUGUCAUUGAACAACGCCAUGUAAUUACUUUACUUUAUUGCUAACUGGUAGCCAUAGUGGUAGAAGUAAUAAGUUGGCGAGACAACUUCAUGGAGACACAAUGAUGGAGAUCAUGGUGUCAUGCCGGUGACGAUGAUGAUCAUGGAGCCCCGAAGAUGGAGAUCAAAAGGAGCAAUAUGAUAUUGGCCAUAUCAUGUCACUAUUUGAUUGCAUGUGAUGUUUAUAAUGUUUAUACAUCUUAUUUGCUUAGAAUGACGGUAGUAAAUAAGAUGAUCCCUCAUUAAAAUUUCAAGAAAGUGUUCCCCCUAACUGUGCACCGUUGCGAAAGUUCGUCCUUUUGAAGCACCACGUGAUGAUCGGGUGUGAUAGAUUCUUACGUUCGAAUACAACGGGUGUUGACGAGCCUAGCAUGUACAGACAUGGCCUCGGAACACAUGCAAAACACUUAGGUUGACUUGACGAGCCUAGCAUGUACAGACAUGGCCUCGGAACACAAGAGACCGAAAGGUCGAGCAUGAGUCGUAUGGUAGAUACGAUCAACAUGAAGAUGUUCACCGAUGUUGACUAGUCCGUCUCACGUGAUGAUCGGACACGGCCUAGUUGACUCGGAUCAUGUAAUCACUUAGAUGACUAGAGGGAUGUCUAUCUGAGUGGGAGUUCAUAAGAUGAACUUAAUUAUCCUGAACAUAGUCAAAAGGACUUUGCAAAUUAUGUCGUAGCUCACGCUAUAGUUCUACUGUUUAGAUAUGUUCCUAGAGAAAAUUUAGUUGAAAGUUGAUAGUAGCAAUUAUGCGGACUAGGUCCGUAAACUGAGGAUUGUCCUCAUUGCUUCAUAGAAGGUUUAUGUCCUUAAUGCACCGCUCAGUGUGCUGAACCUCGAACGUCGUCUGUGGAUGUUGCGAACAUCUGACAUACACAUUUUGAUAACUACGUGAUAGUUCAGUUAAACGGUUUAGAGUUGAGGCACCGAAGACGUUUUGAAACGUCACGAAACAUAUGAGAUGUUUCGAGGGCUGAAAUUGGGAUUUCAGGAUCGUGCCCACAUCAAGAGGUAUAAGACCUCCGACGAUUUUUCUUAGCCUGCAAACUAAGGGAGAAAAGCUCAACUGUUGAGCUUGUGCUCAGAUUGUCUGAGUACAACAAUCAUUUGAAUCGAGUGGGAGUUGAUCUUCCAGAUGAGAUAGUGAUGUUUCUCCGAAGUCAUUACCACCAAGCUGCUAGAGCUUCGUGAUGAACUAUAAUAUAUCAGGGACAUAUAUGAUGAUCCUUGAGAUAUUCGCGAUGUUUGACACCACAAAAGUAGAAAUCAAGAAGGAGCAUCAAUUGUUGAUGGUUGGUGAAACCACUAGUUUCAAGAAGGGCAAGGGCAAGAAGGGAUACUUCAUGAAAUGGCAAUUCAGCUGCUGCUCUAGUGAAGAAACCCAAGGUUGAACCCAAACCCGAGACUAAGUGCUUCUGUAAUAAGGGAAACAACCACUGGAGCAGAAUUACCCUAGAUACUUGGUAGAUGAGAAGGCUGGCAAAGUCGAUAGAAGUAUAUUGGAUAUACAUUGUGUUAAUGUGUACUUUACUAGUACUCCUAGUAGCACCAUGGUAUUAGAUACCGGUUCGGAUGCUAAAUGUUAGUAAACUCGAAAUAAAAGGCUGCAGAGUAAACGGAGACUAGCCAAAGGUGAGCUGGCAAAAUGUGUUGGAAGUUUUUCCAAGCUUGAUGUCAUCAAGCAUCGCACGCUCCCUCUACCAUCGAGAUCGGUGUUUGCGUUGAGCAUAGACAUGAUUGGAUUAUGUCUAUCGCAAUACGGUUAUUCAUUUAAGGAGAAUAAUGGUUACUCUGUUUAUUUGAAUAAUACCUUCAAUGGUCUUGCACCUAAAAUGAAUGGUUUAUUGAAUCUCGAUCGUAGUGAUACACAUGUUCAUGCCAGAAGAUAUAAGAUAGUAAUGAUAGUACCACCUACUUGUGGCACUGCCAUGUAAGUCAUAUCGGUAUAAAACGCAUGAAGAAGCUCCAUGUUGAUGGAUCUUUGGGCUCACUCGUUUUUGAAAAGUUUGAGACAUGCGAACCAUGUCUAUUGGUGUAUAUGCAUGAAGAAACUCCAUGCAAAUGGACCGUUUGGACUCACUCGAUUUUGAAUCACUUGAGACAUGCAAAUCAUACCACAUGGGCAAGAUGACUGAAAGCCUCGUUUUCAGUAAAAUGGAACUAGAAAGAAACUUGUUGGAAGUAAUACAUUUUGAUGUGUGCAGUCCAAUGAGUGCUGAGGCAUGUAGUGGAUUUCAUUAUGUUCUUACUUCACAGAUGAUUUGAGUAGAUACUGAGUAUAUUUACUUGAUGAAACAUAAGUCUGAAUUAUUGAAAGGUUCAAGUAAUUUCAGAGUGAAGUUGAACAUCGUCGUGACAAGAGGAUAAAAUGUCUAUGAUAUGAUCGUAGAGAUGAAUAUCUGAAUUACGAGUUUGGCACAAAAUUAAGACAUUAUGGAAAUUGUUUCACAACUAAUACAGUCUGGAACACCACAGUGUGAUGGUGUGUCCGAAUAUCAUAACUGCACCCUAUUGGAUAUGAUGCAUACCAUGAUGUCUCUUAUCAAAUUACCACGAUAGUUUAUGGGUUAGGCAUUAGAGACAACCACAUUCACUUUAAAUAGGGCACCACGUAAUUCCGAUGAGAUGACACCGUAUGAACUAUGGUUUAGAGAAACCUAAGCUGUCAUUUCUUAAAAGUUUGGGGCUGCGACGCUUAUGUGAAAAAGUUUUAGGCUGAUAAGCUCGAACCCAAAGCGGAUAAAUGCAUCUUCAUAGGACACCCAAAAUAGUUGGGUAUACCUCCUGUCUCAGAUCCGAAAGCAAUAAGGGAUUGUUUCUAGAAUCGAGUCCUUUCUCGAGGAAAGGUUUCUCUCGAAAGAAUUGAGUGUGAUGAUGGUGGAGAUUUGAUGAGGUUAUUGAACUGUCUCUUCAACUAGUGUGUGGCAGGGCACAGGGAGUUGUUCCUGUGGCACCUACACCAAUUGAAGUGGAAGCUUAUGAUAGUGAUCAUGAAACUUCAGAUCAAGUCACUACCAAACCUCGUGGGAUGACAAGGAUGCGUACUACUUCAGAGUGGUACGUAAUCCUAUCUUGGAAGUCAUGUUGCUAGACAACAAUGAACCUACAAGCUAUGGAGAAGCAAUGGUGGGCCUGGAUUCCAAAAUGGCUCGAAGCCAUAUAAUCCGAGAGAGGAUCCAUCUAUGAAAACAAAGUGUAGACUUUGGAAGAACUACUUGAUGGUCGUAAGGCUGUUAGGUACAUAGGGAUUUUAAAAGGAAGACGGACAAUGAUAGUAAGUAUCACCAUUAAGAAAGCUUGACUUGUCGUUAAGAUGUUUUCCGACAAGUUCAAGGAGUUGACUACGAUGAGACUUUCUCACUCGUAGCGAUGCUAAGAGUCUGUUGGAAUUAUAUUAGCGAUUACUGCAUUAUUUAUGAAAUCUUGCAGAUAGGAUAUCAAAACAUUGUUUCCUCGAUGUUUUUUUGAGGAAAGGUUGUAUGUGAUACAACCAGAAGGUUUUGUCAAUCCUGAAAGAUGCUAACAAGUAUGCAAAGCUCCAGCAAUCCUUCUAAGGACUGGAGUAAGCAUCUCGGAGUUGGAAUGUAUGCUUUGAUGAGAUGAUCAAAGUUUUGGGUGUAUACAAAGUUUAUGAGAAACUUGUAUUUCCAAAGAAGUGAGUGGGAGCACUAUAGAAUUUCUGAUGAGUAUAUGUUGUUAACAUAUUGUUGAUCGGAAAUGAUGUAGAAUUUCUGGAAAGCAUGCAGAGUUAUUUGAAAAGUGUUUUUCAAUGGAAAGCCUGGAUUAAGCUACUUGAACAUUGAGCAUGAAGAUCUAUAAGGAUAGAUCAAAACGCUUAAUGGUAAUUUCAAAUGAGCACAUACCUUGACAUGAUCUUGAAGGUGUUCAAGAUGGAUCAGUCAAAGAAGGAGUUCUUGCCUGAGUUGUAAGGUAUGAAGUUAAGACUUAAAGCUCGACCACGGAAGAAGAAAGAGGAAGGACGAAGGUCGUCCCCUAUGCUUUUGUCAUAGGCUCUCUACAGUAUGCUAUGUUGUGUGCCGCACUUGAAGUGUGCCUUGCCAUGAGUCAGUCAAGGGGUACAAGAGUGAUCCAAGAAUGGAUCACAAGACAACGGUCAAAGUUAUCCUUAGUAACUAGUGGACUAAGGAAUUUUCUCGAUUAUGGAGGUGGUAAAAGAGUUCGUCGUAAAGGGUUACGCCGAUGCAAACUUUGACACUAAUCUAGAUUAUUCUGAGUAGUAGACUGGAUUCGUAUAGUAGAACAGUUAUUUGGAAUAGCUCCAAAUAGAACGUGGUAGCUGCAUCUAGGAGAUGACAUAGAGAUUUGUAAAGCACACACGGAUCUGAAAGAUUCAGACCCGUUGACUAUAACAUCUCUCACAAGCAUAACAUGAUCAAACCCAGAACUCAUCGAGUGUUAAUCACAUGGUAAUGUGAACUAGAUUAUUGACUCUAGUAAACUCUUUGGGUGUUAGUCACAUGGGGAUGUGACCUUGAGUGUUUAUCACAUAUCGAUGUGAACUGGAUUAUUGACUCUAGUGCAAGUGGGAGACUGUUGGAAAUAUGCCCUAGAGGAAAUAAUAAAUUUAUUAUUAUUAUAUUUCCUUGUUCAUGAUAAUCGUUUAUUAUCCAUGCUAGAAUUGUAUUGAUAGGAAACUCAGAUACAUGUGUGGAUACAUAGACAACACCAUGUCCCUAGUAAGCCUCUAGUUGACUAGCUCGUUGAUCAAUAGAUGGUUACAGUUUCCUAACCAUGGACAUUGGAUGUCAUUGAUAACGGGAUCACAUCAUUAGGAGAAUGAUGUGAUGGACAAGACCCAAUCCUAAGCCUAGCACAAGAUCAUGUAGUUCGUAUGCUAAAGCUUUUCUAAUGUCAAGUAUCAUUUCCUUAGACCAUGAGAUUGUGCAACUCUCGGAUACCGUAGGAGUGCUUUGGGUGUGCCAAAUGUCACAACGUAACUGGGUGGCUAUGAAGGUACACUACAAGUAUCUCCAAAAGUGUCUGUUGGGUUGGCACGAAUCGAGACUGGGAUUUGUCACUCCGUGUAAACGGAGAGGUAUCUCUGGGCCCACUCGAUAGGACAUCAUCAUAAUGUGCACAAUGUGACCAAGGAGUUGAUCACGGGAUGAUGUGUUACGGAACGAGUAAAGAGACUUGCCGGUAACGAGAUUGAACAAGGUAUCGGCAUACCGACGAUCGAAUCUCGGGCAAGUAUCGUACCGAUGGACAAAGGGAAUUGCAUACGGGAUUAAUUAAGUCCUUGACAUCGUGGUUCAUCCGAUGAGAUCAUCGUGGAACAUGUGGGAGCCAACAUGGGUAUCCAGAUCCCGCUGUUGGUUAUUGACCGGAGAGUCAUCUCGGUCAUGUUUGCAUGUCUCCCGAACCCGUAGGGUCUACACACUUAAGGUUCGAUGACGCUAGGGUUAUAAAGGAAGUUUGUAUGUGGUUACCGAAUGUUGUUCGGAGUCCCGGAUGAGAUCCCGGACGUCAUGAGGAGUUCCGGAAUGGUCCGGAGGUAAAGAUUUAUAUAUAGGAAGUCCUGUUUUGGUCACCGGAAAAGUUUCGGGUUUUAUUGGUAACGUACCGGGACCACCGACAGGGUCCCGGGGGUCCACCAAGUGGGGCCACAAGCCCCGGAGGGCUGCAUGGGCCAAGUGUGGGAGGGGACCAGCCCCAGGUGGGCUGGUGCGCCCCCCCACCAAGGCCCAAGGCGCAAGGAAGAGGGGAAGGGGGCAAACCCUAGGGCAGAUGGGCCCUAAGGCCCACCCUAGUGCGCCUCCCCCUCUCCCCUCCCCUUGGCCGCCCCUAGAUGGGAUCUAGGGGGCUGCCGCCACCCCUAGGGAGGGAACCCUAGGUGGGGGCGCAGCCCCUCCCCUCCCCCUAUAUAUAGUUGAGGUUUGGGCUGCCCAAUACACAUGAGUUCCUCUCUUUCUUGGCGCAGCCCUAUCCCUCUCUUUCUCCUCAUAUCUCGUAGUGCUUGGCGAAGCCCUGCUGGAUCACCAUGCUCCUCCAUCACCACCACGCCAUUGUGCUACUGCUGGAUGGAGUCUUCCUCAACCUCUCCCUCUCUCCUUGCUGGAUCAAGGCAUGGGAGACGUCAUCGGGCUGUACGUGUGUUGAACGCGGAGGUGCCGUCCGUUCGGCACUAGGAUCUCCGGUGAUUUGGAUCACGAUGAGUACGACUCCUUCAACCCCGCACUACUAGGAAAAGGCCUACUAAUGGCGCACCAGUUUUGCCUACUAAUGGCGCAUCACUGGUGCGCCAUUACUAGCACGCCAUUAGUAAUUUUUACUAAUGGCGCACCACUGGUGCGCCAUUAGUAUCUGGUAUACUAAUGGCGCACCACUGGUGCGCCAUUAGUAUAGGCCACAGGUGCACCAUUAGUAUACCAGAUACUAAUGGCGCACCGCGUGGUGCGCCAUUAGUAUACCAUUCGGUGCUCCACUGGUAUUCCCUCCAGGUGCGCCACUAAUAACCUUAUAGGUGCGCCACUAGUAAUAAAGGAAGGUGCGCCACUAAUAAGGGCUUAAAUGCGCCACUACUAAUGUAUUUGGAAAACAAAAAAAAAUCUAAAUUUACAGAAAAAAACCUAUAAGGAAAAAUAAUUUAAAAACAAAAAAUGAAAUAGAAUCAUAAUUUUUAUUAUAGUAAGAAUAUUACAAUGUCUUUACAAGUUUCCAAUAAAAGGGAAAUUGCAAGGAAAUAAAAAAAAUCCUAAAGCUAAUCUUCUAGUAAUCUUCUCUUCUUUUUCUUCACUUUAUCCCUGCAAAAUGUAACAAAAUAAACACAAACACAAACAAACUAUUUAUAACAUGUCAAUACUGUCAUUUUUUCAGACCAAGUAACUAACAACUUCAGUGAGACAGGCACAGUGCAGUGUGAAUUUCAAUUGGCUAAAUCAUAUAUAGAAAUCAGUAUCUUCUCUAUGAACCUGAAACUGAGAUGACUGGACUAAUUUUGCACAUUUGAUUUAUGAAUUUAUUCUUCUUCGACAACCAACUAAACUUCGGAUCACCUACUAAGCAUCUGUACAUACUACAUAGGCUGAUUAAUCCAACAGCCACAAUGCAAAUAUUGACUAUUUCCAUUCAACUUCUUCACUUACUCAUUAUUAUCUAAUGAAACCAUUCGUAACUAAUGAAGCAGAUUGGCUAAAGUUAUUAUCAAGUCCUAAGUCCUAAUUGAAGCAGAUCUGCUAGGGUUCUUCUCGCUAGCCCCUCAUGGCCAACCGUUUCGGAACAGGCAGGCAGAGCUGCUUGGCCGGUGGCUAGGGAGUCGCUGGUGAUGUUGGGCAUCUCACACGAGCACCUGGCUAUUUGAGGAAACCGAAAUAGUAGCAUAAACAAGAUUGAUUCCGAGGAAAUGAUAGAACCUAUUCUAUCAAAGUGCUACUCCCCCCGUUCCAUAAUUCCAGUCGUGGUUUUUUAACUAAAACCAUGAAGAGAACUAUGGAAUGGAGGGAGUAGAAAACAAUAGCAUGCUUAAAAUUCUACCAUACACAGCAGCAACAGACAUUACACAAGCAUUUAUUUAUUUAUUGCAUUUGGCACAAGUUAAAAAUUCUCACAAGCAGAGGCGGUCCUAUCAGACAAAAAGAACAUGGACCGCUCAUUACAAAGCACUUCUACUGCAGUAUCAUGGAGUAGGAAAAGGGGCUUAAGCAGCAAAGAAGUAUAAUAAGAGAAAAAAACACUAUGGCGGCUGGAACUAGAAGAGCACCAUCACAGGUUCGAAACAUCACCAUGGAGUCGAUGGCCGGCAUAGCCCAUGGCAGGGCUGGAUGGGCAGCAUAAUAACACAAUAAAAGUUUGAUGUAUACUUAUUCGUUUGAAAAGAUGCAAGCUUAUUUACACCCUAGGACUGUUGAUUAGGGUCUGGAUGGUAUUUUUGUUCCUUGCGUAAGUAAGAGAAGGACUAGCAUCCAUAGUAGAAAGAAGGGUAAACAUACAUAAAGGAAAGUUUUUAUAGCGUCACGACCGAAAGAGGCUACGUGCGGCUGGGUGAAAUGGACAAGGUUUCAUGUAUGCAAUAUAUUAUAGAAAAAUAAGUGUUGACAGAAAAUGAAAGAUUUCCUGUCAAACAAACAGAGCUUCAUUUUGUAACAUUUCUGACCCACAUGAUAAUUGUACAACAUAGUAGAGGAGACCACUGUACAUACAUGUGUUGAAUGAAGCAGACUAAGAAAUAUUGGGUGGGUAUAAAGAAUACAAUAGUACGGUAGCUGAUGUAAACAAGUGCAGAGUUGCAUCCACAGAAUAGGUAACAAAUUAAAUAGCCCUGGUGCCAACAGUAGAGUUCGUGUAUCCAAUCCAUCCUUUGUUUAACACAGCAGCUCCAACUCUUGUGUAACAAAUUAAGUUUGGCAUGGGCACACAUAAAGCACUGACAUUUUCAUGGCUCGAUGGCCGUGGGCUAAGGGAGCAGAGGAGGAGGUGCGGCUCACCUCACAUGGCGGCGGAACCGAGGGAUGAAGGUGCGGCGCACCGGAGCAGGCAGAGGUGCCUUGUGUUGGCCAAACACGUGGCCAGCAGCAGAGAAGCGCUUCUCUUGCUCGACGGAUGUUGGGUGUGUGUGAGGCGUGCUCCUGCCUGCCUGCCUGCGUGAGGAACGGGAGGACCAUUAGAGAAGAGAAGGGAAGGGAAGAAGAGCAGGUAGAGGAUGGCAAGGGGAGAGGAGGGAAUCAAAAUCAAAGAUGAGAAGAUGACCUUGAGGAGGAGCAGGGGAAGAGCGGAGCAGCAGAAACAGAGGCCUUCCUCUCCCGGUGGUGAGGACCGAGGCGACCUCCGUCACGGCCUAGCCAGGUCGACGACUCUGGCGACCGUGGCUGCCAGAUCCGGUGUCACCAUGGCCGGCCUCCUCCUGUGGUGCCUGCUAGGUCGCCAUGGCCGCGGGCUCCUUGUCCGUGGCGGCUGGAUCUGGGGCCUUGGGGUGGCGGGGAGCUCCUCCUCCUGCAGCUCGGCGGCCUCCACACCCCGGAGCAACGCCGUCGCCGGAGGACGUGGUCACCUGCUCUCCUCUGGAUCCGGUGAGGAGGGUUGGGGAAGGAGCUCACCACGGCUCCAUGCCCUGGAUCUGGUGUGAGGGAGGGGGAAGGGAGCUCGCCGUGGUCAGGAGGGAGAGGAAGAGGCGGGCGGCCGGGGCUUCCCGAUCUAAAUCAAAGUCGAGGGAGGUGGGUGGGUGUGUCAGGAGGAAGGUGAGGGGGAGAGAACGUGACAAGAUGGAGGGGAUAAGGGGUGAUAGCAAUGGCGCACUGGUAGGGGUGCGCCAUACGUAUAGAUAGCAAUGGCGCAUCUCUUACUGGUGCGCCAUUACUAGUUUAAACUAGUAAUGGUGCACGGUGGAACAGUGCGCUAUUAGUAGUUUUGCAAAAAAAAGUAAUAAAAAUAUAAUAAAAAAACAACAUUAGUGGCGCACUUUUCGACAGGUGCGCCAUUACUAGUUACAACUAGUAAUGGCGCACUGUGUCUGGAUGCGCCAUUAGUAUGUUUGGACAGGCGCACUAGUUCAAAAAAAAUUGAUACUAAUGGCGCACCCUGGGCCAGGUGCGCCAUUAGUAGUUUCAACUCUAAUGGCGUAUCAGAAGGUGGUGCGCCAUUAGUAUAUACCCUUGUAGAGGACUUAGGACUUGAUAAUAACUUUAGCCAAUCUGCUUCAUUAGUUACGAAUGGUUUCAUUAGAUAAUAAUGAGUAAGUGAAGAAGUUGAAUGGAAAUAGUCAAUAUUUGCAUUGUGGCUGUUGGAUUAAUCAGCCUAUGUAGUAUGUACAGAUGCUUAGAAGGUGAUCCGAAGUUGGAGAGGUCGGGGAUGAGCUGAUGCGGCGGGGGUGGUGAAGGGGAUCUCUGGUGGCCGGAGUUGAGGACGAGCUCGGUGCAGCGUCUCCGAGGCGAGCAAGCGCUCGGGCGCGGCCUACUCGAUGUAGUCGAUGGCGGCGGAGCUCGUGGACACGAUGGCGCGGCGCGAGGACGACGGAAGGCACGGCUACGACGACGGUGCGGCGACAGAAGUGUCGGCCAUGGUGGGGAACGGCGAAGGGAUAGAGACAGGGGGGAAAUGGCGUGUCCAGGGGCUUCGGGGUGCGACGUGGAGGCGUCCAGGCGUCUAGGGGCGCGGGCGGCAAGCAGGUGACGCCGUGGUGAGCUCGGGCACGCCGGAGUCACCUCCCUGCCUGCGUGGCGGGGAAGAAGCAGCUGGCUGGCGCGAGCCAGCACAGUGCUGGGCCGCCUGGUGGGCCGGCGGGUGAGAUAGCUGGGCCGCGCCAGGUAAGCUUCUCUCUCUCUCUCUCUUUCUUAUUUGUUUUCUUUUUCUAUUUUUCUGCAACUGUUGGGCUUUAUUAAAAAUACCUAGACAUCUUUAAAAAUCCUGAAAAUAAUCAGGGGCUCUGUUUAGAUUAUUCCCAACAGCCCACACUUAUUUCUAGAAUUAUUUGAGCAUUUAAAUUAUUUUAUAGCAUUUAAAUGCCCAAAUUCAAAUACUUAUGAUUUAAUUCAAGAAAAUCCAGAAUGUCCUAGAAAAGAGUGCACCAUUUUUGCCAGGGGUUUUAGCCCAAUCCAGAAAUGAUGAACAUUUUGUGAAAGGCAUUUUGGGUUCAUUGAAAAUAAUUUUAGUAAACCCUAGUUGUUUCCAGGGGGUGCUGGGGGUUCUGUCAUCCCCAUUUCAAAUUUAAAAGGAAUUUAAACAUGAUGCACACUCUAAUGCUUGAACUAGCUAGGGUGUGACACUAAGCAACCCGGCAACGACAUAGAUGUGUACCUAAGGCCAUUAGUUGAAGAACUCUUACAACUGUGGAAUGGAACAGGUGUACGUGCGUGGGAUGAGCACAUGGGGAAAGAAUUUGACCUAAAGGCGUUGUUGUUCGUGACCAUCAAUGAUUGGCCUGCUCUCACUAACCUUUUAGGACAGACAAACAAGGGAUACCGCGCAUGCACGCACUGUUUGGACGAUGCCGACAGUAUAUAUUUGGCUAAAUGUAAGAAGAAUGUGUACCUGGGACAUCAUCGAUUUCUUCCGAGCAGGCAUCCCGUAAGAAAGAAAGGCAAGCAUUUCAAAGGUGAGGCGGAUCACCGGACGAAGCCUCGCCACCGUACUGGUGCUGAUGUACAUGAUAUGGUCAACGAUUUGAAGGUGGUCUUUGGAAAGGGUCCUGGUGGACAACCUAUUCCGAAUGACGCUGACGGACGCGCACCCAUGUGGAAGAAGAAAUCUAUAUUUUGGGACCUGCCCUAUUGGAAAGACCUAGAGGUCCGCUCCGCAAUCGACGUGAUGCACGUGACGAAAAUCUUUGUGUGACCCUGCUUGGCUUCUUGGGCGUGUAUGGGAAGACAAAAGAUACACCUGAGGCACGGGAGGACCAACAAUGUAUGCACGGAAAAGAUGGCAUACAUCAGGGUCAUGCAAGCUACGCUCUUACCAAAGAAGAGAAGGAAAUCUUCUUUGAAUGCCUGCUCAGUAUUAAGGUACCGUCUGGCUUCUCGUCUAAUAUAAAGGGAAUAAUAAACAUGGCAGACAAAAGUUCCAGAACCUAAAGUCUCAUGACUGCCACGUGAUUAUGGCGCAACUGCUUCCGGUUGCAUUGAGGGGGCUUCUACCAGAAAACGUUCGAUUAGCCAUUGUGAAGCUAUGUGCAUUUCUCAAUGCAAUCUCUCAGAAGGUAAUCGAUCCAGAAAUAAUACCAAGGUUAGAGAAUUAUUUGGUGCAAUGUCUUGUCAGUUUCGAGUUGGUGUUCCCACCAUCCUUCUUCAACAUCAUGACGCACGUCCUAGUUCACCUAUGCGAAGAGAUUAACGUUUUGGGUCAUGUAUUUCUACACAAUAUGUUCCCCUUUGAGAGGUUCAUGGGAGUCUUAAAGAAAUAUGUUCAUAACCGUGCUAGGCCAGAAGGAAGCAUCUCCAAGGCCAUGAAAAUGAGGAGGUCAUUGAGUUUUGUAUUGACUUUAUUCCUGACCUUAAGCCGAUUGGUGUUCCUGAAUCGCGGCAUAAGGGCAGACUGGAUGGAAAAGGCACGCUAGGAGGGGAACAAAUAAUAUGUAUGUACGGACAUUCUCUCACUGAAGCACACUACACAGUUCUACAGAAUUCCGCCUUGGUGGCUCCAUAUAUGGAUGAACACAAGAAUUUGCUACGCUCCAAACACCCGGAGCGGUCUGAUGACUGGAUUACACGUGAACAAACCAGAAGUUUCGCCAGCUGGUUGCAGACACGUACCAUGCAUGACACCUCUAUUGAAGAUGACCUGUACUUGCUGUCCCAGUUACCAUCUUCGAAUAUAAUGACUUUCAAAGGGUACCAGAUAAAUGGUAAUACAUUUUACACGAUCGCCCAAGAUAAGAAGAGCACCAACCAAAACAGUGGUGUCUACUUUGAUGCAGAAACCAAGACGGGAAAGGAAACAUAUUAUGGUUAUAUACCGGACAUAUGGGAACUUGACUAUCGACGUGGUUUAAAGGUCCCUUUGUUUCGGUGCAAAUGGGUCAAUAUGACACGAGGCGGGGUAACGGAAGACCCGCAGUACGGAAUGACAACAGUGGAUCUCAACAAUCUUGCGUAUGCAGACGAACCAUUCGUCCUAGCCAAUGAUGUGGCACAGGUUUUCUAUGUGAAGGACAUGUCUACCAAGCCAAGAAAAAGAAAAGAUAAGGAAGCGAAUGCAUCGUACGAUGAGCCAAAGCGGCACAUAGUUCUUUCUAGGAAGAGAAACAUCGUGGGAGUGGAUGACAAGACAGACAUGUCAGAAGAUUAUGAAAAGUUUGAUGAAAUUGCUCCAUUCACAGUGAAUAUUGACCCGAGCAUCCCGUUAAAUGAUGAAGAUUUUCCAUGGUUACGGCGCAAAGGGACGCACGCGAAGAAAAAGUUUCACACCCAAAGAUCUGGGAUGUGAUCGGCUUCACUAUCAUCACUUUCUUCUGUGUUUCACACCCAGGAGGGAAUCUCUGUAAUAGUUAGGGUAGUUAUGUGUUUUGGCAUUUGAAACGCGAAGAAAUUUUAUGUGCAAACAAAUUCUUUCAUGCCUUUACUGAUUUUUAAAGUUAAGUUAUUCACAAACUAGUGAUUCACACUAAUUUCAAAUAAUUCAAAAUUUAAACUAUUCAAAUUUGAAAACUACAGGCACUAACAGAAAGUUUGUAAUUUUUUGUACCUAAAGCAAAAAUUGAAGGAAAUAUGCCCUAGAGGCAAUAAUAAAGUUAUUAUUUAUUUCCUUAUAUCAUGAUAAAUGUUUAUUAUUCAUGCUAGAAUUGUAUUAACCGGAAACAUAAUACAUGUGUGAAUACAUAGACAAACAGAGUGUCACUAGUAUGCCUCUACUUGACUAGCUCGUUAAUCAAAGAUGGUUAUGUUUCCUAACCAUGGACAAAGAGUUGUUAUUUGAUUAACGGGAUCACAUCAUUAGGUGAAUGAUCUGAUUGACAUGACCCAUUCCAUUAGCUUAGCACCCGAUCGUUUAGUAUGUUGCUAUUGCUUUCUUCAUGACUUAUACAUGUUCCUAUGACUAUGAGAUUAUGCAACUCCCGUUUGCCGGAGGAACACUUUGUGUGCUACCAAACGUCACAACAUAACUGGGUGAUUAUAAAGGUGCUCUACAGGUGUCUCCAAAGGUACAUGUUGGGUUGGCGUAUUUCGAGAUUAGGAUUUGUCACUCCGAUCGUCGGAGAGGUAUCUCUGGGCCCUCUAAUGCACAUCACUUAAGCCUUGCAAGCAUUGCAGCUAAUGAGUUAGUUGCGGGAUGAUGUAUUACGGAACGAGUAAAGAGACUUGCCGGUAAUGAGAUUGAACUAGGUAUUGGAUACCGACGAUCGAAUCUCGGGCAAGUAACAUACCGAUGACAAAGGGAACAACGUAUGUUGUUAUGCGGUCUGACCGAUAAAAGAUCUUCGUAGAAUAUGUAGGAACCAAUAUGGGCAUCAAGGUCCCGCUAUUGGUUAUUGACCGGAGACGUGUCUCGGUCAUGUCUACAUUGUUCUCGAACCCGUAGGGUCCGCACGCUUAAGGUUUCGAUGACAGUUAUAUUAUGAGUUUAUGAGUUUUGAUGUACCAAAGGAGUUCGGAGUCCCGGCUGAGAUUGGGGACAUGACGAGGAGUCUCGAAAUGGUCGAGACGUAAAAAUCGAUAUAUUGGACGACUAUAUUCGGACAUCGGAAAGGUUCCGAGUGAUUCGAGUAUUUUUCGGAGUACCGGAGAGUUACGGGAAUUCGCCGGGAGAAGUAUUGGGCCUUAUUGGGCCAUACGGGAAAGAGAGAGGGGCUGCCUAGGGUAGGCCGCGCGCCCCCCAAGGCCUAGUCCGAAUUGGACUAGGGGGAGGGGCUGCGCCCCUUCCUUGUUUCCUACUCCUACUACAUGGAAGGACUCCUACUUGGACUAGGAAAGGGGGAAUCCUACUCCCGGUGAGAGUAGGACUUCUCUAGGCGCGCCAUAGAGAGGGCCGGCCCUCCCCUCCUGCACUCCUUGAUAUACGGGGGCAGGGGGCACCCCAUAGACACACAAGUUGAUCCACGUGAUCAUAUUCUUAGCCGUGUGCGGUGCCCCCUUCCACUAUAGUCCUCGAUAAUAUUGUAGCAGUGCUUAGGCGAAGCCCUGCGACAGUAGUACAUCAAGAUCGUCACCACGCCGUCGUGCUGACGGAACUCUUGCCCGACACUUUGCUGGAUCGGAGUCCGGGGAUCGUCAUCGAGCUGAACGUGUGCUAGAACUCGGAGGUGCCGUAGUUUCAGUGCUUGAUCGUCGGGCCGUGAAGACGUACGACUACAUCAACCGCGUUGUCAUAACGCUUUUGCUAUCGGUCUACAAGGGUACGUAGAUCACACUCUCCCCUCUCGUUGCUAUGCAUCACCAUGAUCUUGCGUGUGCGUAGGAAAUUUUUUGAAAUUACUACGUUCCCCAACA
rnacentral:lncRNA from 1 species